AACCAAACACCUUCAGAACAAAUUUACUAGGAGCAUCUCUGACAUUUGUUUUUUUUUUUUUUUUGAAGAAUCGCAUCUACGACAUUUUAUUUAAGGUGUUAAUACCUUUUCACCUCUUCUGUUUUUUUUUUUAUUCGAGAGAGUGAUACUUGAGUUAUUAUCCCGUUUUCAAAAUUAUUAGUGAUAUAUUAUAAAAAGGGUAAUCUCAACCAAAAAAAUGAAUAAUUUUGUCUCUAAAUGUGUAGUGAGUCUUCUUCAUAAUAGUUUCUCUAAUGAAAUUAUAAAAUUGUGCAUUUGUUAGUCAAAGUAAUCAUUGAUGAAAACAAAUGCUUCUAUUUUCGAUCAAGAAAUGCUCACAUGUCCUUUCUAUUUUAACCCUCCGCAUGGUGACUCCUUAUGCUUCAACCCUCCAAGAACUCCAGAACCAUGGCAUUAAAGGAAGCAUUUUAACGUAAGAAACUACUUUGACGAAUAGGAAUGAAGACUAUUCUAUAAUUUCUUUAGGUUGAAAGACUAUUAUGAUUACUCAUUAUCCAUUACACAUCCAUAAACAAAACGACUACUUAUCUUAAAAAAAUUAUUAUGAAUUUUUUUAAAAAAUAACAUUCUAACUAAUUCAAUCCGAUUGCAAUAUAAUAAGGGUCAAACCAACUAACAAAUUGGUCGAUUUUCAAUUUCAGGUUUAUACCAAUUUUUAAAACAUUGCAAAAUAUGAAUAAUUAGAAAAUAAAGAAUAAUGUGAUAAUUAUAUAAUAAUAUCUUAAAAACAAUAAACAACUAGCAAGAAUAUAUUUGUUCUUAAAAAAAAAAAAUUGUUGUUUAAUAUAAGUUGGCUAAUCAUAUAAUCAUCUAAUACUCUAAGCCGCCUCAUUGCAUUGCGCAUGUCCUUUUAGCAUAGAAAAACACAAAAACUAAAAACCAGCUGACACAUAGCAACCUAGAGGAUAGAUUGUUCAUGAACUGAAUCCAAUUCAUGGAAAAAUAAUCUUAAAAAUGGUUUACCUAUCUUACGUCCAAACACAAGAUUAUCAAAAUCAUUUUUUAUAAAAAUUCAAUAACUAACACAAAAGAAGUUAAGUAUAUUAAGAAUAUUCAUAAUCUUUCAGUGUGUAAUCAAUUUUUUCCACACAAAUUUUUUUGUUUGCAUAAUCAAUACUCUAAUGGGUACGUUGCCUUAGCAAACUCUUGUUGUUAGGGUUGUUGUUUAAAGUACUCAUAAAAGGAAAUAUUAUUUUAUAGAUAUAACUCACACAUUUGACAAAAUAAUAUAUUCACUAAUUUUGUUUUUCCUAAACAAUGCUAUGCAAAGACACUUUUUAGAAUUGAUGUUAUAACAUGUGUUUGGUUCUAUGGUGCCAAAAUUGAUUUUGUAGAAUAAAUUUUGGUUAAAAGUAAUUUUAAUAAAAAAUUAUUUGUGUUUUGAAUACUUUUAUUUAAAAUGAGUUGAACUAUAAAUUUACGUCAAAAUCAAGUCUAGAAUAAAAAACUAUAAAUCCUAACUUCAAGUAGAAUCAACUCUAGAGUUAAAAUCAAUUCUAUUAAAUAAUAAUUAGCGAAAUGUUAACAAGUUCUCUCGAGGCACUUUUUAAGGACUUUGAAUAGUAAGUUUUUAUGAAAAUUUGUGUAAUCAAUGCAUUGAAAAUUGAAAUAUUUAACUUUUUUGAGAAAUAAUUUCUUAAUUUGGAUUGCUUAAUGAGUGCUCCGGAAACACUCGUUAACAAGACCCUAAUAAUUAAACAUGUCAAAAUCAAUUUUACACCUUUAAAAUUGUUGGUUUGCAAGUGUGAGUUAUAUGUCCCAAAUCGGAUAAAAUAGUAAAUGUUGAAAACCUUAUAAGUAAGAGGACCCAUAAACCCAUUGCCUUAAAGUUUUGGGUAAGAGUGUAGUGUCUCUCUUGCUUGAGUGGUUGUUCUAGCCUCGAUGUGGACGGUCCCCCGAACUUCCCCAGUGACCCAACAGUGAUAUCAGAGCCCCCAUUCGACGAAGGGUGCGACCGAGGCAGCCGGUCGUUGCACAGAAAGCCGCAACGGCGGUACAAGCAGCAAGUAGCUCCUUGUGCAGGAACGGCGAUACAGGUAAAGUAAGAGCGGAAGGACUCACACUUGAGGGGAGUGUUGGUUUGAAAGAGUGAGUUAUAUAUCCCAUAUCGGAUAAAAUAUUGCCUUAAGAUUUUAGGUAAAAAUGUGAUGUCUCUCUUACUUGAGUGGUUGUUCUAACCUCGAUGUGGACGGUAUCCCGAUCUUCUCCGGUAACCCAACAAAAAUUAAUUAUAAUCCCUCUAAGUGAAACCAAGCGUACUCUUAAUACUUCAAAACUUCUGGAAGCACUAUUUUGAGACUCGGGUGUAGUAAAAAGCAUAUAUUUACCUAUCUAUUAAAUUACAUGGUUGAUGUUAGACAACAUCAUGUAAUCAUAUGUAUCUAGAAGCAGCCACAUUGCACAUGUCGUUUGUAGCUUAGAGAAACACAAAUAUUAAAAAACAAGUUUACACAUGACACAUAGCAACAUAGGGGAUGAAUCUCUCGCCACUUGGUGUGGCUAACUAUUAGUAUAUGCAUCAUAUAAUAAGAGGCCGCUUUUAACAAGCCCUCGUGUGCAUGCAUCGUUUAAAAAUUGAUGCUCAAUUCUCAAUGCUUCUAUCUCGGAUUAACUGAGUCAUAUGUUCAAAUCACACAUAUUAAGACAAAUAUAUAAAUGAAGGAGUGAAAAAAAUAGUUUUAAGUGCUCUUGUUAAGAAUUGAUCAAUUCUCACUUAUUUUGGGACACUUUUUUUAUUAAAAAUGACUUAAUUAUUAUGGAACGGAGGGAGUACCUCAAAACUUCUAGAAACUCUUUGGAGACUCAAGUGUAGUGUGUGUAUACGUUUGAUCAACUGCGUUUAAAUUAUUGAAUAAGCCAUACGAAAUUUGUUCUUACUUGGGGAUUAAUUUUUUGCUUCAAAAAUGUCCUUGCUUGCACUCUAAAUCCUUGAAUAAUAGGAGAACAUGGAGAAAAGUCAAGGUCAAAGUUUGAAGUCUACGGUUGAGGAUAAUAUGCAAACCUGCAAUUCAAGGUCUACCAUAAUGUCGUAAGAACCCACGUGCGGUGUCUUUUGGCAGUUGACGCCAUGUCACUAAUUUCUUAAUUAGCUUAGACUAAUCUUGGAUUUUUUUUUUUAAGAAUUAAUCUUGAAUGAUAUUUGAACAACUUUUCCACUAUUAUUUUUACCAAUAAAAAUAAUGAAAAGAAAAAUCGACACAAAAAUUAUCAUUAAAUAGUUGUAUAACUAUUAUUAUUUAUUUGUACAAUAAUUUUGCGAUAACUUUUUAAAACACCUCUCUCACACAUUUUCAUUGUAUUUUAACUCUCUCUUUAUUAUUUUGUCCAAAAAAAAAGAGAUAUUGAAUAAAAAAGUGGUCAUAAAAUUAUUUUUUAUUGGACUUUUUAUUAACAAUUAUGUCCAAAAUCUAUAACGGUGAAAAAUAUUUCAUUUUCUUCUUAAAAAAAAAAUUAAAACAUUUCAUCUUGGUUUGGCUUUGUUUACUACACGUGUCGAUUUUUCUUGUGUUUACUGUUAGUGAACCAAAUUCAUUGGUGACACCAAUGCCCAAUUCAUAAGGGUGAACAAAGUGGGAUCUAUCAUCCAAUUAUGCUACUAUGUAAUAUUUCCAUAUUAAUAUGUUAAAAAUAAAUAUCCACAAAGGUCUAGCAGCGCAACUUGUUGUCUGCUUGCCUCCUAUUCAUGUGUAAGUAAUAUUGAUAGAAAAUAAAUUAAAUUGCAAAACUUAUUUUUGUUAAAAAUAUUUUUGGUCUUUGAGAUACAAUACCUAACCAAACUUCAGGUACUCCGAAGAAUACUCUUCAUCAAGACCUCUUCAAAAUUUUGUUUCAUAGUUGGGUUGAAAAUAGAUUGAGUCAAGUUAGACUUUAUAAUACUUAAAUCUGAUUUAUUAGAUGUCUUAAGAUCUAAGUCUGGUCUAUGACAUGUUAUAGACUUAUUUUUUCAAAUAUAAACUUGACAUUUUCAAAGUUUAUUUCAUAUGAAUAUAUUUAAAUAAGUAAUCAAAUAUAUAUUUAAUUAGACUAACGAACUAGUAAACAUAAGAUUCAAAUUUCUUUCAACCAAUUCAAUUUUUGGGUGCUUUUGUGUAACUCACACAACCUAACAUCCAUCACAUCAAGGGUUUUGUGGUUCCAUUCAUUGAUGCUGAUCUCACUUUGGGUUUGCAACUGUUCAGAGCAUUCUACGACGGUGGCUGAGUUUUGUUUUACAAUCACGCCACCAUCGUCACUUUGUCCACGUCAUCCCUUUAGAUUGGCUUCAGUAUCCUUGACUGAUCAAAAGGGCCUUGUUGAUGUAGUAUUUUUGCAUCAAACAAUUGCAAGUAUUUAUAUCGUCUCCUCAGGGACUAGUGCGAUAUUGCAGACCGUUCGACACCAAUUAUCAUUCUAAGUUAAAAGAUAAGUUGUUUGUUUGUUUUAGUAACUAAAUUGCAAAUGAUAAAAUUGAGAUUAAUAGGGCGUAAAACUUGUUAGGAUUAGAGUUCCUUGAUCGAGCGUCGCACGUAACCUAAUGAUCAUACAUGGAUUCUAGCUUUUCUUUGAUAUUAUCACGUAUCCCUCGACAACAUCAUUCGUGUCCAAACAAUAUUGUGAAAUCAAUUGUAUCAUUCAAUGGUCGAUGUCUCAAACUAUUGAAUGAUUCAAGAGUCGAUCUUAUCGUUCAAUCGAUGAUUUCUCAAUCUAUUAAAUGAUAAGAAAGCUUUAGGCUUGGAUACUCAAGGUGAUUAUCAAAACAUCGAUUCCAUGUCUAGAAACUAUGUUUUGAUAGAUGGUUAUUCUAAACCUAGAUUCAAAAGUAUUUCUCAAUCACAAUUAAAUCAAAGAUAAAGAUUAAAGUGCAAGAAUAACCUCAAUAUCAAUUCAAAUGCUAGAACCAUAUAUUUAUAGAUCAAACGAUUACAUGUUAAACUAUGAUCAAGUACCUCUAAUCCCAACAAAGGAGAUUUAGCUACUCAUUGUCAUGGAAGCCUUGCAAGAAUGAAUUGAAGAAGCAAGAUUCAUUACAACUUGUGAUGUCUCAACAAAGGAUGAAGAAUCCACUCUCUAUCACUCUCACUCUAUAAAGCACAAGCCCUAUCUCUCUCUCUCUAAGAAUAUUACAAGUGAAAACACAGAGAGAAACUAAGUGAAAAACUAUGUAAAAACUACUUUCUCUGAAAUGGUUGAGUGGGCUAUUUAUAGAAUUCUGAGUCUGCCUUCACUCGCCUCGCGAGCUGCUUCAUUCGCCGUGGCGAGUUGAAGUUUCUUCCCCAUUGGGUUUGUGCCACGUCAGCAUUUAGAGGCUAAACCGCCCUUACUCGCCUCGCGAGUCCUUCCAUUCGCCAUGGCGAGUAAGCUCGCCUUCUACUCGCCAUUGCGAGUUGGUGGCGUGUGAUCUUUGUUGCAUUCUGGAAUUGCUCGCCUUUGCUGCUUGCCAUGGCGAGUUGGAGGCGAGUGAUCUCCUUUUUCUGCCUUUUUGUACUUUUCUCGAUUUUCUUCUCUUUGCUUGAUGUCUUGAGUUCGAAUCCUGCACAAAUGGGUGAAGUAAGAUAGAUAAAGCGUAAAAGGGCAAUAAUCACUUAUUUCUCAGCUUUUCCCUUAAUAACUUGCAAAACAAGUAACAAAAGUGCCUAAAAUAUAUCACUUAAAUUACAACUUUCUAGCACUUAUCACUUGUCUUCGUGAUCUGGAUGCCUUUAUGUAUUUUAGGUCAUUUGAUGGUCAUUGAUGCAUGGUGUUGUGGAUUUCAUUGCAUUGAGUUGUUAUUAGUUCAUGGAUCUAUUUUUGUGUUGAUGGUCAGAUUCAUUCAUCGGUUUUCAAGAUUUGAAAUCAAGGUUCGAUUAAGCUCGUCUUUGGUUUGGUGCUUGUGAUCGUUAACACACCACUUUUCUUUUUUUUGCAAUUUGAUUUCGCGCUCAUAUACGAGUUUGCUUGUGCUUGUGGUGGAUGCUCGUUUUCUUAAAAUCAUGUUUACUAUCCGUUAGGGUUGUCUGUUUAUUACAUUUUAGGGUUGGUUCCACUUUUGUAUAUUUUGACAUUGUCUUCUUUUUCUUUUCUUUUUUUGACAAUAUUUUGGCAUCGUCUGUAUUACUCGUUAAGGCUGACUUACAUUUUUUCUUUGAUUUACUAUAUCAUGUUUUUGCUCUCCAAUCUUGUAUUUCCUUUCUUUAUUUUAGUCUACUUUUUUUUUGCUUAAAAAAAAACUUGCUAGUAUAACCCCUCGAAAUUGAACCUCUAAUUUUCUAGUCUCUAUCCCAACACAAAAAGUUCCCCAGUCAUUGGACUGAGAACUAACAUACGGUGACGACAUUGUAGGGACAUUGUGCAACAAAUUCUUGAUCGAACAAUGACUUCAUUUAAACUUGUUAUUUGUGGUUCAAACAUAUAAAGUGUUUGUAAUUGACUAGUCUAGUGGUUUUUUAUUGUGGUACCAAGGCAGUUUAGCAAGUGUUUUAGAUGGAAUAGUAAUGGAACUCAUAGUAGAUAUUGUUGAAUUGUUGAAGGGUUCCUCAAUGGCUGAUAGGCUGAAAUGACAUAUAUGGUUCCUAUAAUUGAGUUCGGUGUUAGAUUAUGUGGGAUGAUCGUUCAUCUUCUGGUUAAUUGUUAGCUCAAUGGUGUGUAACAUUUAUGAUUGAGAAACGAAUAUAAUUUGGUUAGUUGGAUGAUUAUAUUUAAUAACUAAAACUUAUUUGUUUUGAAAAAUAUAAUAGGGUUUUUGAGGUAGGAUGUGGUCCUUAAUCUAGGGUGGUUGAGGGUUGGUCUCAUUCUUAACAUCGGGGGAAUGAAGAAGUGCAAGGUUCGACGAGGGGUUAGGGGUUGAAGGCAGCACAUCAUAGAAAAGAUGCAAGGCUUGAUAUUUUAACAAUGGCACCGAGACAUAGAAGAUUGAGAAAAGGAGAAAUGUGAUUAGAGCAUGAAAUAAAUAAAUAAAUGAAGAAAUGAGAAAAGAAAAGGAACAUAGGAAAAAGUUUAAAUUGAGGUGAUUUGAUGGUGAAUAGUAUAUUCAGUUUGGUUUCAGGUUAAUCAAAUUUGAAUUUCCUUGACUUAAUUAAUACCCAACCAAUGAUCUCAGGUUGGCUAUUUUAGGAUAUUAACUAUUCAUGCAAGCCUACCCAAAUUUUCUAACUUGUGUGAGAUUUGUGAAAUUGAAGGGUCAAUUAACUUCUUUUUUGCGGGCUUUGUGGAAUUGUGGUUGGGUCGAGUGUUUUAAGCGAGUGUGGUUUCUGAUAAUAACGUGUCAAUGGCUGAAAUGAUUAACAAUGAUUUAGGUAUCAAAGGUGGUGGAUUGGAGAAGCUUAGGUGAUAUGUGUGGUGAGGAAUCUAUAUUGUAAAGGGAGUUUAUCAUCUGCUUAUGGAUGACAAUCUUGAAGGCACAUAUUCAUUUUGCAAAAUCAUUUAGAGUUAUGAGGUGGUUUUGUUGAAAAUGUCAAAUCUUUCUUAGACUUUUUAAUGAUCAACUGUCCCUGAAAAUUAAUAUUGUUCAGACAUAGUAUUUAAAAUUUAGAUUCACUUUUUUUGUUUUGGGGUGCGAAUGUGACGAAUCAUCUUUUUAUUUAGUGUAUUUGAUUGUCCACUAAUUACAAAUAUAUGAUAUUCUUUACCUUUCAUAUUAGGCAGUUCAUUUGAGUUCCAUACGGAUAUUAUAAAAUGGAUAAAUAAUUUGAGAUUAAGAAAAUAGGGUUAAUUAAGUAAAUGAUCUUUAUAAAAAGUCAUAAUUUUGUUUUUAGUCCAUACAAAAUAAAAUCACACUUUUUAGUGCAUAUAAAUUUUUUCAUCCACAUUUUUAGUCCGUAUAAAAUUUUUCUAUCAUCAUUUUUCGUCCCUGUCAAAAAUUUUCAUCAAUAUUUUUUAUCCCUAAAAUGUUUAAGGAAAAUGUCAUAGGGACUAAAAAAUGUGAUUUUAUUUUGUAUGGACUAAAAACAAAACUGUGAAUAUUUAUACGGACUAAAAACAUAAUUAACCCAAGAAAAUAAUAGAAAAUAGGCAAAAUUACACUUUUAGUCCCUUAACUUAAUUUCAGGUAAUAGUUUGGUCCUUUAUCUGUUUUUCAUUUCAAUUUUGUCCUUUUUGUCCAUUUUCAUAUACAUUUUCAAACUUCAAAUCUAAUAUUCUUAUGCAAACAUAGACGAGGAUCAUAGAUUUGAAGACUGGAAGACCAUAAGAAAAUAAAAUCAUGAAUUUUAAGCUUAAAAAUAUAUAUGAAAAUGGACAAAAAUGAUCAAAUUGAAAUGAAAAAAAGAUAAAGAACCAAACUGUUAUCUAAAAUUAAGUUAAUGGACUAAAAGUGAAAUUUUGUCUAAAAAAUAACCCAAAAACAAGGGCUGAGGGAGUAUAUGGUGUUAGUUUGUCUUGUCAUUAAUUAAGAUUAAUUAUAAGAGCAUAAUUAUCGGUGCUGGUAUAACAGAGCCAAAUGCAAUCUUGUCAGUGUAGUAUGAAUAAUUGACAUUUCUACCCUAUCUUUACUUUUUCACGGUGGCUCUGCAUUACUACGGUGUCUUUACCUUCCAUUCUUUACUUUUGCUCACUUUUAUUAUUUUUUAAUAAUAGGUGUGUGUUUUCAUUAUUACUUUUGGGACAAUGUUAACCGAUGCGGGGGCAUUGGUUAAGUAGUUAAAAGAGGUAAAAUUUUAUUAAAAAGUGAUGCAAUAAUUAGUUAGUCAAAAGUAACGGUUUAUAUUUCUAAGAUAAGAUUUUGGAUUCCUUAACCAAGAUAAUUUUCCAAGACCCUUACUUUUGAGGUAUAUUGUAAGAUUAGUGGGACCCAUUUAAGAGUUUUAAAAGAGUAGUAUGAAUAUUUAAAAAAUGUAGUUGAGUAGUUAAAAUAAUUGAGAAGUGGGAAGUAAUAUAAUAUAUUAUGUAAGACCCAUUUAUACUAUCCAUAUAGGUGACAUGGAAGUGGAUGCUCUUAAUUGACACCCUUUUUUUGUACCAUCCUUGUACACCUCCACGUGGUGCUAGGAAGAAGAGAGAGAGAGAGAGAAAGAGACAAACUUAAUGAGUGUGUAGGGUCACGUCGCCACAUGUCACUUUUGUGUGUAGAGGUACAAAGGAUAUAUGUCACAUGGCGUGGUUAACCUAUCAUGCUCUUAAUAAAAGAGGACACCCCACAACGCAUGCUCGACAUUUUGAUGGUAAGGUGGUUCGUGAAAAGUUUAUUAUUAUUUGAUUAGCGUGCAUUUGGGUUAUCUGAAAAACAUGAAAUAAUGUUUUUCAUGAAUCAUGAUUCAUGGAUGCGUUGUUAAUGAAUUGUUUGAUCAUAUCAAGCUAUUGUCUUGGUGUUGACGUAAAUCAAAAAUCAAAAACUUCAAUUUUCAUUUUAAAUUAAAGGAUCAUGCUAACUUGUACAUUUAUGACACAUGUUAAAUAUUUUAUAAAUGGUAAAUAUUUAUUACAAAAUUUUAAUUUUUAAUCUCUAAAAUAAUAAAUUAACACAAUUUUUUAGACAAAAUUUUCAUUUAAGUUCCUAAAUAUGUGUCCUUAUGACAUAAGUUAGCAUUUCUCAAAAUUAAAUGAGUUCCUCUUGAAUGUUUUAACAUUCCUAAUCAUUAAAUUGCUAAUCUUUGUAUUUGUUAAUGUGUUGUGGGGUUUGCUAAACUCGAUAUAGAGUUUGAUAUUUAGUUUUGACAGUUUUGGAUUUUCUUUGCUAAAUAAGUUAAACUUGGCUUGUCUUGUCCUUAUCUUUUGUUACAAUAAUGGUGGCGUUAUUUUGUUUGCAUGCAUAUUUCAUUGCAGAUUUUUUGGGUUAUACUAUACUUCUCACUAAAAAUAACAAUUGAUAUAAUUGAUCAUGGCGAUGAACUCAUCAAAAUUAGAAGGGUCGUUUCUCAUUUUCUAACCCAAUUCUUUACACAGUUUUGGAUCAUUACAUUACCAAUUAGGAAAUAGAAAAGCCAAGGUGGGUCUCAUCUCAUUUAUCACAAUUAACACAUUCAUAACUUUGAUCAAACAAAUAAGAAUUUCUAUAUUCACAAAGUUACAUCGCAUAACCCCACUUCAUUCACUAUCCUUUAAACAUCAUUAUUUCAUUUCUCAUUUUUUCAAUUUUUGUUUUUCUCCCGCAUUUUUGUCUCCCUCAUGAAUCACCAUUUUGCUACAUUUUCAUCCUUUUCCUUGGUUCCAAAAUUGUGUAGGCACAAAAGAAGGAAUAGUUGCAUAGUGCUAUACACAGUACACACAUGUCUUCGGAUAAUUACAAAUUGCAUUGAAGAAACACAACACAACAUUAACCUAAACAUUUUUUGUUCCUAGUACGGUAGAACCGUAUAUUAAGAAACCAAUAACUGUCCUCCACGUGUACAUUGUUGUGCCACUUGACUUCCCACUUGUCCUGUUUUUAAUCCACUCUGAGCUGUCAUUACUUUCUUCCUCUUCGCCGGAGAAUUACUUUCCGAUGACGAAGAGCGUUCCGGCGAAGAACGUUUUGAAGCUAUUCUAACCGGGUCGGGUUCACCGGAGUUAACCCGAAGUGGAAAAUUCAACAAAGCUCUUGACCCUCUCAUCCUAUACGCAGCUCUAUCAUAAGCCAAAGCCGCAUCCUCAGCGGUUUCAAAUGUUCCAAGCCAAACUCUAGCUCCGUUCUUCGCCGGAUCACGAAUCUCCGCCGCAAAUUUCCCCCACGGCCGUUGUCUCACACCGCGGUAGUGUUUUCCUUUCACCGGAGCAGCUUUUGGCCCCUCAGGAACCACUUGCUCCGCUGUUGAAGCUACCGGGAGGACAUUCUCCACCGGCAUAACAUCCGGCUCCGGUUUCACCGUCAUUUCUAACGGAAAAACCGAUGAGACACUUUCGGGUGACCCGACUUCGAGAGACGGGACCCACCCAACAUUUACGGCAUCGCGGAGGACGCCGUAAAGUACCAUAUCUUCAGAAUCAUCUUCUUUGAGUGGUAGUUCACCCCAAUUGUCACUUAAACAUGGGUAUAAGCUGCUGAAACUGGAGCUCCGAGAGAAAACUCGGGUAUUACCCGAAACAUUUGUUGGAGCACCGAAUAUAAAUUCGGAUUCUCCUAACAAGUGGCGGCGAAUAGAGUCUAAAAGGGCAAGAUCGGAAUCAAAAUUACUAUUUCCGUACAUGUUGUGGCCUUUGGUAAAGUUUUUGUGUUGUAAUUUGCUAUGGAGAUUGGAGAGUGUGGAAGGAAUGAAAUUUUCGUUUUGUGAUGUUUUUUAGAGAGAGGGUUGAAUUGAAUAUUCGAAGUUGAAAUGUUGAGAAUAAGUGAGGUAUUUAUAGGAAUGUAGGUUCAUGAAUUUGGAUAUAAGGUAUUGAAUUUUUGGAUUUGAUAUUUUAUUAAAGUCUAAAUGGGGAUGGUGACUAUUAUUUUAUUGGGAAACCAUAAUGAAUUACAUGGACUAACUAAGGUUCGAUGAAGUUUCGCAUGUGUUAAAAGUUGCCCAAGUGGGAGAGGAUUUUCAUCACGUGGUUAAUUUAUCUUGCUUUUCUCAUUUUAUAAAAUUAAUUUUCUUGUCCAUUUUCCGCAAUGGAAGUGUAUAUGUGUGACGUCAUUCAUCGUUACAACUUGCUGCUCUCUUUGUCAUCUUUCUUGUCCAACAAUUGUCCCUUUCAAUGUCUCCAAAUAAUCUUUCUUUUUGUUGGUAUUUAUCGAUAAUUUUGUCCACUCAAAUUUAUUAAAACAAUACAUCUCCGUUACUAUAAUUUUGAUGUGUAAAUGCAUGACCCCUAAAAAACAAAAGUGUAAAGGCAUGACUAAUGUCAUCAAUUUUCUGAAUAUAUACAAUUAUAUAUUUAUAUUAUAUAUAUCAUUAAUGAAAAGUCAAUUUACUUGAGUUUGUUUGUUAGUCAUGAAUUGAGAAUUUAGAGCAUAUUUUUCUUAAGAUUUUGAUUUCGAUUCUCCCAGAUAUUAUGAGUUAAAGAGUUGAUAGGGGUAAUAUAGAAAAUGUGAAUGUGGACUUUAAUAAAUAAGAGAAGACCAAGUGAAAAAUGCAUGAAAAUUAUGAUGUCAUAAUCAUCUUCUUUUUUAUCUGAACUCUCUUUCUUUAGAUUCUCUUUAAUUCUUCCUUCUUUAUUGGACUCAUUCAAGUUUAUGCAUUAGCUAUCAAACUUAUUUUACUUCAUCAAUUCAAUAAAACCAUUUAAGGAUUCUACUCGGUUUUAAGGUCUUACACCAGAUGUCGAUGAUUAGCAAAUGCAAGAUGAACUACAACAUAAGAACCCAAAAUUUUAAGAAGGCCCUAGUUAAUUGUGUGUCUAUAGAAAGAUAUGAUGGGAUAAAUUCUAUUUAUAUUUUCCAAUAUUAUUUCUCCUAUAAUACAAUCGUUUCUAUUUCAAUGUGAUUUGGACAAUAUGAUAAAAUCGUAAAUACAAUAGUUUAAAUGAAUGGUGUGACGGGAUAUGUACAACAAAAUAUAGCAUUCCUUCUAUAUAUCGUAUAGAGUUAUUUACUUCUAAACUAUAUUUAUGGACAUCUCAAUUUCCUUUAUAAAAUUGAGAGGAUUUUAUUCUUAACUAAGGUUGAAAAUAGGCUAUAUCGAUAUAGAUUUUGUAAGUUAUAAGUCUCACUUAAUCAUUAAAUGUUAAAGUUUGACCUCCUACCCGGAACUUAUGUUAGAGCCUAAGUGUGAUUUUUUGUAAGUCUUGUAUAAGACAUGUUAGUUAUUUAAAGACCUAAUUCAUAUUAACAUCUUUAAGUAAGUAUUUGACAUAAAAUUAAGUCAACUUAAAAAGCUAAUAUCUCAAUGAGAUUAAGUUCUAUUUUAAAAUUUAACAUGAGAUUUCGGGGCUAUGACUUUAUUUUAGUCUUUUUUUAUUUAGGAAUUUGUAUAUGACAACUUAUUUUAAUUAUAUUUUGUAAUAAUAUAUUUAAAUAUGCCCAUAAUUUUUUUUUUGAAGAAGAAAAAAUGAAAUAUAUUAACAACGGCCGCGAAUCCCCUAAAGCAUAAGAUGUGCUCAAGAGGUCGCCCCAAAAAACAAGUUGUCACUGUACAAAGAAUGAAACAAAAGUUAGUCAAUACCCAAACAAAGUAACGGGUCUGACCACCACCUUUGAGUACCUAAUGCAAAAGAAAUGUUAUUGGCUUUUAGCCACCACAACGAAUUAAACUUAACCUUUUCCAACAACUGUAUCGUGGAAUUUUGAACAUUAUUGAAAAGUCUGUUAUUCCGUUCCGUCCAUAGAAUCCACACUCCAAGUAACCAAAGAAGCUGCAUAAAAGAUCUUCGUAUCCUUGAAUAUCCUAAAGCAUAAGUAAACUGCAGAAAAUGGUCACUAACAGAAUACGGAUCAGCUCCAGAGACACCUAGUCAAUGUCGUAUAUGUUGCCAUAAAGCUCCAAAAGUAUUGUAAUGAAAGAACAAAUGAGGAGCCGUUUCAUCGUUUCCACACCCCGUGACAUAGUACUUAGCCGUAGGGUGGAUAAUGCCCCGCCUUAGCAGAUUGUUUCUUGUUGGUAGCCUGUCCCGCAAUAGUCGCCACGCUAGGAUAGAGACCUUCGCAGGUACAUGUUUAUGCCAUACAAGCUCUCGAAUGUCAUCAUCUAUCUGUUGCACCUGGUGUGCUAGAAUAUGAUAUGCCCCGCGCACAGUAUACCCACUCGAAGUGUCAGGAAGCCACUGCCACCUGUCAGAAACAUCAGUCUGCACAACAAAAUCAUCAAGUAAACGGCGACACUCGCCUAUCAUCUGCUCCUCCCAAUCCCACAAACGCCUCCGACAACCCCACACAGCACCCCCUUCCUCCCACCCAAGAGAGAACAUCUCGGCCACUGUGCUCGACUUAUAGAUUGAUAAAUCAAACAGGCGACUAAAACGCCUACACAAUGGAACAUCACCUAACCACCUAUCCUGCCAAAAUAGAGUAUCAGUCCCUGACCCUACCCAACUCGCCACCCUAUCUGCAAACCAACUCCCUCCUACAUUUCCUACACCAUCCUUAAUUUUCGCUAACUCUCUCCACCAAGUAGAAACACUCCGGCCCCCAACCUCCAACCGCCCAGCCUCCUCACCAUAAAUAUGCCCAUAAUUAAUAUAAGUUAAUAAAAACUUACCAUUAAAAGUAAUUAAACAACGAUCUAAGUUGUAACGAUCCUCUUAAUAUCUUAAAAUAAUUGUGAAAAUUAAUUUUCAAUGAAUUGAUUUUUUAUAAUUGAUCCUCAUAAAAAGUGAAUUGAAUACUAAGUUAUUUAUGUUUAAAUAUAUUUAGAUAAAAGUGAAUUCAACAUUAAAUUCAAGAUAAAAAUUAAUUGUAAUAGUCAAAAGUUAUAAAUUUUAUCUUCAUGUAGAACAAUUCUAUAAACAAAAUCAAUUAUACUUUAAAAUAUGUCAAAAUCAACUAUACUCUUUUAAAAUCAAUUUAACCAUUUCAAAAUUGAAACCAAACUUAUUUAGUUAAGUGUAGUAGAACAUUAAAUAAACAAAGGGAAAGGGAAAUGGGGCGACGAAAUUGGAGAAUAGGACUAUGAGAACGACAUUUAUCAAGCAAAACGGAUACAAAGAUUGUGGACACAUUUGCAAGUUUGCAAUGGAUAAGUAUCUUUCAAAUUCAAUAGGCCCCCACAAUGCUCACAAUUUGCAUUUAUGCUUUAUGCUUUAUACUGCCUUACCCAUGGAUUCCCACGAAUUGCAAUUCGACAAACAAAAACUUACCUUUUGAUUUCUUGUCAUCAUUUGCUGUUAACAACACUAUGCAAAUAUGUAUGAUCAAUUUAGUAGCCAAAUUGACCAUUAUUUUAUUCCAUAAUUAGGUGUCGACACUGACUAAAAACAGCUAUAAUCUUAUGCAGUUGCAUAUUGAUGUGAACGGGGUUGAGUUGAGUUUAGUUGCUUGCUAUGGCCGCAUAACUUGGACGUAAAUGAGUGUAGGUAGAUUCUCAACCUUUUUAUUUUCAAAUUUUAUAAAAUACACAAUUAUUAAACUAAAUAGUUGAAUGAAUAUUUUAGGUAAGUUAAUUGUCUAAUCGAUUCAUAGUAGUAUUAACAUUUACCUUUUUUUUGACAUGGUUCAAAGUCCUUGAUGCACCAUCCCAUAGAAAGCUUCUUGCUAUUUUGUUAAGCUAGUUGCACGCAUUAGUAGAGAUAUGAUGGAGUUGCAUCUUCUUAUAUAUUAAAGUUAAUACAGAAGUAUAUUUUAGCCCUAAUUUUAACCUAAACCUAUUGCAUAAAUUUACUAUUUUAACCCUGAUGUUAAAUUCCUUGUUUAACCUUAUUGAAUUUCCCCCCUUCUCAAUUUCUCGAUACAUCUUCUUAUCUUCUUAUAUAUUAAAGUUAACACAUAAACAUAUUUUAGCCCUAAUUUUAACCUAAACCUAUUACAUAAAUUUACUAUUUUAACCCUGAUGCUAAAUUCCUUUGUUUAACCUUAUUGAAUUUUCCUCCUUCUCAAUUUCUCGAUACAUCUUCUUAUCUUCUUAUAUAUUAAAGUUAACACAGAAGCAUAUUUUAGCCCUAAUUUUAACCUAAAUCUAUUGCAUAAAUUUACUAUUUUAACCCUGAUGCUAAAUUCCUUUGUUUAACCUUAUUGAAUUUUCCCCCUUCUCAAUUUCUCGAUACAUCUUCUUAUAUAUUAAAGUUAACACAGAAGCAUAUUUUAGCCCUAAUUUUAACCUAAACCUAUUGCAUAAAUUUACUAUUUUAACCCUGAUGCUAAAUUCAUUUGUUUAACCUUAUUGAAUUUUCCCCUUUCUCAAUUUCUCGAUACAUCUUAUAUAUUAAAGUUAACACAGAAGCAUAUUUUAGCCCUAAUUUUAACCUAAACCUAUUGCAUAAAUUUACUAUUUUAACGCUGAUGCUAAAUUCCCUUCUUAUAUAUAUGUUCUUAUCUUCUUAUAUAUCUUCUUAUAUAUUAAAGUUAACCCGUAAGCCCUAAUUUUAACCUAAACCCUAUUGAAUAAUUUUACUGUUUUAACCCUAAUGCUCACACCUAAUCUCCUAUUUUCAUGAACAACCCUAAUGCUCACACUUAAUCUUCUUAUAUAUUAAAGUUAAUGUAACGUCCACUUUCGUUUAAUUGUUUAAUUAAUUGAGUUUAGGCUAUUAUAUUAUAUUUAUAUAAUAUAUGCAUGAUUUUGGUAUGUUUUGAUGAUUUGCGAUGAUUUAGAUGAUUUGAUUGAUAAUGUGAUAAGUUAUGAGUUGAAGGUUUUGAUAAGGAUAUGAGACUUAUUUUAUUGUUAAAUAAAAUAAAGAUUUGAAAAUAAUAUAAAAUAUUUAGUUAAGGGUUGUUUUGAGAUUUUAGAGAGUUUUGGGGGAGAAAGUGAGAUAAGAUAAGAUAUUAGGAAGAGAUAUAAAUAGGGGAAGACCUAAUUGUUAGAAAAACUAUUGUACGUGAAAACUUUUGGAAAAUGGAGAAAAAGCUUAGAAGGGAGAAGAUCAAAGAGAGAGCUGCGAUUUCUUCAUAACCAGGUAAGGGUGAGACUAAUAACUCAGUAAUGUUAAUUGAUUGUAAUUCUGAUGAUUAGUUAGCAAGCUUUAGGAUUGAAUUGGAGAAAACGAAAACUAGGUCAAAUCCCUAGAAUUGAUGAUCAAACGGUAGGAAUUGGUUAAAUUGAUGUGGAAAGUGCUCCUGGACCGGAGAUAAUGUUUAGGACGAACUUUGGAAUCAACGUUAGGCUUAGAACCAUGUGAAUCGUUGAAUUUUUGUGAAAAUAGCAAGUCUGGCCGUAGCGACAUUCAUCGCUCGCCACAACGAGCUAUGAGUCUCGCCUCGCGAGUGAUGAACAUUCAUCGCUCGCCUCGCGAACCCUUUUCCCCCGCCUCCCGAACCCUUUUCCCUCGCCUCGCGAGUUGCACAAUGCAGCUCGCCAUAGCGAGCAACCUUACUCGCCAUAACGAGUUAGGGCAGAGAGCAUGUAAGAUUUUGCAAUUUUGACAUUUUAGUUGGACCUUGAGUGCCUGAACAUACCUAGUAAUGAUUAGGAGUGAAUGUAGGACAAGAUUGAACCUAGAACAACAUUAGUUGGGAAGUUCGCUUGUACUCGCCAUGGCGAGUAGAUACUCUCGCCUCGCGAGCACUUCCAGAUUGGAGUGCAUUGAGUGCUUGUGCGAUCUGUGUCGCACGUUUUGAUCAAGAGUGAACCCCUGAUUGGUAAUGAAACCUAAUGAUGACGUUUAAUGCAAUCUGUAAGGCCGUUUAAGAUAUGUUGUUAUUAAUUGAGUAUGAGAUAAUGUAUUAUGCAUUAUGUAAGAUAUGAAUGAAUAAUUAUGAUGCUAUUGAAUUGCAAUUGAUAUAUUGAUAUCAUCCGUUAUUGUGACUUGACUAUGUUGCUGCGGUUAUUUAACUAAGUGCAUAAUGUCUAUAUAUGAUGAAUAAGAUGACGUUUAGCUCCAAAUUAUUGGAUGCAUAUUGAUAUGAUGAUUACGAUGUUUUGUUGAUAGAGUCCAUGCAUUAGCAUUCAUUGAGCUUAGUCCUCACCAUGAUAGGAGCUUUGUCUUCCGCACGAUUAUUAGGAGCUUUGUCCUCCGCACGUUUAAAGUAUAUUAAUACUUAUGAUGACGAUUGGUACCACAUGCAUAUAAGGAGUCUAAGAGCAUUGUCGCAUUGUCGUGUCUAAGAUGUUAUGUUGUUGAUGAUGAUUGAAUAUGUGAUUACGUGAUAAUUGUUUAUCAAAUAUGCAAAGUUGUUUAAGAUUGAUAUGAUGUUAAUUAUGAUUCAAAUUACUUUGAUUAAUAUUAAUUUGUUAUGAAAUCUCACCCCUUCUGCUUGAAAAUGUUGCCCUUCGUAUGGGUAACUUGCAGGUGAUCGUGCUUAGUGUGCAGUUGCCGUCGUGAGUGGCCUUGCCUUCACUGUGUCAUCUAGGUCGCUCUGAUACGUAACGGGAUGGGGCUAUAUGUUAUGCAUGCUUCGUUCUAUUACGUGAAUAAUAUGCUAUUUGUGAUAUUGAACUAAACCUUUUGAGAUUAUAUUGAUGGGGCCUGCGUGCCAAAACGUUUUAUGGAUUAUAAUAUAAUUUCCGCUGCAAUGUUUAAGUUAUUUGGUUAAAUUGUUAUUUAACUGUUUUGGAUUAUGUUAAAUGUGAUAUCCCGUUGUUUAUGAUGUUUACUCUGAUAAAUGUUUAGAAAUUUUUAUGUUGGGAAAACGGGGUGUUACAGUUAACCCGUAAGCCCUAAUUUUAACCUAAACCCUAUUGCAUAAUUUUACUGUUUUAACCCUAAUGCUCACACAUAAUCUCCUAUUUUCAUGAACAACCCUAAUGCUCACACCUAAUCUCCUAUUUUCAUGAACAAAGCAAAUCGGCAUCGCUUUAUUUCCCCUAUUUCUUCAAAACAAAUCGCCCUAUUUCUUCAACAAAAUAAAUCGCCAUAUUGGAAUAAAAGGGUUUUGAAAGAUUAUAGCAAUAUUUUUUUUUUGUUAAUAUUACAAACAGGUGGAAGAAACAUUUCAACAAACAGUUAAAGGGUAUCAUUUACGCUAAAUGUCAAAUAUUCGAUAAAAGGAAAAUUAUUUAAAUAAAAUAUUUUACAUGUUGAGGUUAAGAAUGAGCUAUUUUUAGGUACAUAAUAUAACAUUAACAUAUAAUUUUUACAAAAUAAUGAAGUAACAUUUUGUCAAAAAAAAAAAAAAAAAGAUGAAGUAACAUACCAAUAAUAUAACAUUGACAUAUAAUUUUAACAAAAGAAUGAAGUAAGACACGAUCGAUAAAAAUUAAUAUUUUUAAGGUGAAUAAGUGUGGUGUCUGAGGUUCGAAUUUCAGCAUCUGCAUAUAUUUGGGACCACAUGUUUUAUUCUCUUUGAUAUGCAUUGAGAUUUGUUUUUGUCUACUAUAUCUACAAUGUAUAUGACCCGUACGGCAGCACGGAUGGAAAGUCUAGUUGUAUAUACUAAAAUAGCCGUAGUAACAAGUUUUAACCUAACAAGCCCUACCGACUUUAUGAGUAUACACAUCAAUGAAAAUCAAUGAUUUCUCGUAAGUUGAUUUCUCAUAACAUAGUGUUAGCUUGAUGAAAAAUCAAUGAAAAUAUGUUGUCAAGUUGAUUUUUCGUCAAACAAACAACUAAGAAAAACCACAACAAUUUGGCAAGUUAUUUCUUGCUACACAUAACUCCUUUUGACGAAAACUAGUGACAAACUUGUAAAUCUCAUUUCUUGCAAAACUUGAACUCAUAAUUUUUUUUUAUGAGUAUAAGAUCACCACACAACUCGUUAUAUUUAUAUAAUCUACUUAUUAGACAUUGUUGUUAGAAGUGGUACGUAGAUUUUAGACAAAAUUACUUUCGCAAUUUCUUAACCUAUAAUUUCUAGUUUUAGAUUAACUAGUAAUUUAUCGUUUAUUUUCUAAAGUAGUCCUUUGUGAUAUAAACAUUAACUCUGUACUGUUUAUAUGUCUAUUACCUAGCACAAUCACGCAACAAAGCAAUAUCUCACUAAGUGAGGUUGACUAUCUCCUAACACGGUCAUCAUUUUUAUUAAAAGAACAGUAGGGUUCUUUUCAAAACUUGGUAUUGCUAAUUUGGAGAUAUGUAAGCAUUGACGAGUAUUGCCAUAGAAAACUAGAAUUUUAGAAAUUAUAGAUAAGAAAUCGUGAUUAACAAGCAACUUACCAGCAUUUUUGGCUAAAACUACAAGAGUUCUAUUCAACAAAAAAAAAUCAAGAGUAAUUUAUCCAAGUUUUAUAUCGAACAAAAAAUUGUAAACAGAAAUACAGUCCACGUAACAUAACUAACAUAAGCACAGCAAAGCCCUUGAAGCUGACCAUUGACCGUAACAAAGUGAGACAUUUGACUUUGACUUGAAAAAUUCUCAAUUAAAAUAUUAUUGUCAAGCAUAUACUUUUUUAAUUACAAAUUAGUCACUACGUGCCAACUACCAACUCGUGCGGAUCACCGCAAUCUUUGAGUAUUCCUCUUUUUUCUCUGCUGUAUAUAAAAAUUGAUAUGAAACACAUACACUAUUUGACGUAUUUCGAUAUCCGACGUUGGUACAAUACCAACAUAUAUAAUUACAUUAAAUUAUUUAAUUUUUUAAGUUAUUAUCAAUGUUAAUAUAUCAGUGUUUGAAAUCUGUGUCUGUAUUUGAGUUUCACAUAUCUACACUAAAAAAACAAAUUAGUUUGAACAUGAGAGGCCCACAAUGGAUUAACCUUUUCUUUUACCUGAUGAACUUUGAAAUUGAAAACAGACAAAAAAAUAAAAAACUAAAAAUGUUCACGUGCGUGCUGAAAGCGAAUCAUAUUAGCAAAUUAGCAAUUGAAUUCCUAAUUUGAUUGAAUCAUGAAAAAUAUAAUAUCUUAAGUCUGCAUAGUUAUUAAUUUAAGAGCAAGUUGUUGAAUAUUCCAACUAAACAGUUUGGCCAUAUCUUUGCAAAGUUACGUAAAAUAUUUUCAUUCAAACAAGUUGAAAUUCUUUUCAAUAUAAAAAUCUAUCUUUAGAUCAAGUUGCUUAUCUUUUAAUAAUUUAUGUUUUCGUCAGGACCCUCUCUUUGGAACUGUGUUUUGAAAGCUAAAUAAUUGAGGGGAUGCAUGUGUUUUUCUCCAAUAGUAGAACAUAUUUCAAAGUAAUUACAUCAGAAUUAAUAAUGCAAUUCUCUAAUGGUCAAAUAAACAAUAUUUUAAAUCUAGCUAUGAUUGAACUAUGUAACAAACUAAAUUCAUUAUUGAUUCAGCUCUGGAACUAAUCUGUAAAUAUUCUUGAUUUCUUUCUUAAAUUCUUCAAUUCACAAAAAAAAAAACUCACAAUAAAAAUUUAAAAAGUCGAAACUAAGAGUUGGUUAUAACAACAAAGAAACUCAAACGCAUAAAUAAUGAUUUCUUUCUUAAAUUCUUUAAUUCACAACAAAAAAUUCAGGUUAGAAAUUUAAAAAGUCGAAACUUAUAGUUGAUUAUAACAACAACAAAGAAAAUCAAACACAAAAAUAAUAUAUAUUGUCAUAUUAAUGUAUAGAAGAUGUUAAAUAGGUUUGAAUCUAAUCUCAAAAGGUAGCUCAAAGGAUAAGGGGACUGAAAUAUAUUUAUACAUUCAACAACCUGGGAACCUGAACAACAAAAUACAAACAACUUCAAAACCAACUUCAACAUCCACCCUCAUAUCUGGCAUAUAACUGAGUCCAAUUCUAACAUCGCAAUCCUUAACCCAAUAUGAUACCAUAUUAACAUAGAUAAUCUUACAUAACAUUUGAAAAGGAAUAAGAGAAUAAUCCAUGGAAGUUAGAGUUUCAAACACAUAACAACAAAGUAUAAAUGCAUUGUCUUACGAUAAGAAUAUACUCCAUCUAUUUUACAUGAGAAGUGUUAUUUGAACAACCAAUUUCGUGACUACUUAUUUUACAACCAUAAUUUACAAAGAAAAAGUAGUAUUGGCACAAAAAUCAUAGCAAUAAAGUGAUAAAGAAAAAAAUAAUUUGAGUAUGAUAUAGAAAGUUGUUACAAAAGUUGUCAUCAAAUGGAUGUUCAAUUAUCAUUUCUCAUUUCACAUUGGUUAAUGUUUAAGAUUUGUGUACAUAUAUACGUAAAAGAAGUUAAUAGUGUUUGAAGAUUAAAAUAUAACGAAUUGAUUAUUUGGUUCUCAAUUUCUUUUUUCAUAAAUUGUUUUAAGAAUUUUUAAUUAACUUAACUAAGAAUAUAGUUAAUUUUUUUUUAUUAAUUGUACAUUAAUCGAUUUCUAAAACAUCUAUGGUCUUACUCAUACAACCAAGUAUUUCCUCUCAAAAAACAAGACCAAGUAUUUUUUGCGUCAUUUUGUAGAAGACAAUCAAAGCAUAUAUAUUAUUUUGAAUCGCAGGUCCUACAGCUUUAAGGUAGGGUUGCUCUGUUUCCUUUUAGUUCCUGGUUAAAUUGAUAUUUUCAUUUAAAACAAAAAUAAUAUUUCAAUUCCUCCCCAAAACUAAUAAAUUUGCGGCUCAAAGCCUCCACAAUUGUAGUGGACAAGGCAGCUAGCCAAUGUCUGUCAAUAAAAAUACUAAUAGCUGAAUUAUUAUACUAUACAUUUCAAUUUUUAGUAGAUUCUUAAAAAAAAAAAAAAAAGUUAGUAGAUCAUUAGCAAAUAAAAAACUAUUGCUGUAUAUAUAGUGGCAUAAUCAUUGCUUCUUCUUUUUUGUGUUUCAAUGAAACAGCCAAAAUACUUAAUAAUAUUAAAAAAUAAUUGUCCAUCCAUGCAUAAUUCAAUUGACAGAGACAUUGAAAUAUAGUAAGGUCAGAGUUUGAGUCUCAUAUUUCGCACUUAUUUGUCUUAAAUAGUGAGUUUAUAGUCACUAAAUUUCUUGACAAAAAAUAUAUUGCAAAAAUACUAUUACAACACAUAGGCAUUUGAUUAAUGGUUUCCACUUCUUCAAUUUGCGAUGAAUGAUUUCCGUAACUAAGUUAUUUGAUUAAUUGUUUUUUGAAAUAUGUAAUCUAUAAAAGAUAUAUUGGAGUUCAUAAAUAAAAAUAAAACAUAAAGUAGUAAAAUACUUCCCUUCUUCACAUUCUCUUGAUUUAUCCUAUUUAUUGAAAAUAAAACAUAAAGUUGUAAAAUACUUCUAAAAACAUAAAUAAAAAUACUAAUUUAUUUAAUAAACCAUAACAAUAAAAUGGGUAAAUACACAUCUUAUCAUCCUUACCCUAAUGUAUUUGAUUGUUCCUUCCUCGCUUGACUUAUAUAUAACUUGAAAAUCUUUGAAUUUGAGUGAAAACUAAAGCAUAUGACAAAUAUGUGGAAGGAAGUUGGUUUAUAAUAAAGAUCACAUAUAUCACUUACUCAAUAAAUCUAAUAAAUAAAUUUUUUAUUUUUAAUUGUGAGCGAAAGAUGCACAUUCUUGAUUUAUUUAUUUAUUUUUGGAAUUUUAGAUCCUCUUUAGUGUAACUUCUCCUGAUAUUGGUCUUGCCAUCUUCCCAUCCAUUCAUCUAUGUUUUUUUCUCUCUCUUCUCAACCAAUUUAUUCUUACUUUUUAAUUUUCAUUUUUUUCUCAAUUGUGCACAAGAGAGAUAGCAGAGUAUAAUUUGCAAGAUACAUACGAUUCCCUUUUCUUGCCACGUUCGUUCAAUAGCUAAUUUGAAAAUAUUUUGUAACUGCGCCAUGCAUGGUCGGUUAUUCUAUAGUGCACCAUCAUUUAAUUGGAGUUAAAGACGUCCAUUUAUAUCAACUUAUGUGUUUUUGUGUAUUUUUGUAUAUAUACUGAUAUAACCAACAUAAGCUAAAGACUUGGCAAUGUUGUGCAAUUGAUGAAGCAUAUUGUUCAAUUCUCUUCUUAAAAUGAUUUUUAAAUGAAGUGUUUAGGUCUUUUGUUUUUGGUAUGCGCAAUUGCUUUAAGGUUUUGGGUGAAAAUGUUAUGAUCAACUCAUUUAUACGAUUGUCCUAAGUUUAAUGUAGAUGAUCAUUCGGGCUCCUCUUGUAACUCAACAUUGGUAUCAGAGCCGGGGUUCUUCGAUCUUCUCCUUGUGUCGAAAGUCUUCAUGAUAAGGUGUCUAGACGGCGUGUUCAGUUGUAUACAGUUAAGAACAUUACUAAGUUAUAAGUCUCACAUUGCUUAGAAAAGUGGUGGCCUUAAGGUUUUCUGAUAAAAAUGUUGUGUCAAACUCACUUGGGUGGUUGCUUUGAGCCAAAUGUAGAUGAUAGCCGGGCACCCCUCGUAACCCAAUACAAGAGGGUUGCGGAAUCCUCGUCGCGUUUCUCGGUGGAUCGGUGCCUUUCUAGUUCUUCUUGAAUUGGACCUUUUGUUGGGACGGUUGCGGUUGUUUUUGCUUGUGUUUGUAUUUUGUGUUAGGACUUGUUUAUUUUGUAUUAGUUUUCUUUCCUAUGUGGUUUCUCUCCGUCGUUCUAUGCAUGGUUUUCCACCCGGCUCUUUUGGUUGUGACCUCUUUUUUUUUGGUUCUGCUUCCCUUGUAAUGGGUUGAAGUACAUUUUGUAUUUCCUUUGUUUUUUCUUCUUCUUCUUCUUCUUAUAUAUGUCAUUUAUCAUUAAAAGAAAAAACAUCUUGCAAUAUUUGUGUAUGUACGAAUAUAUCUUACUAGUUUUUUUUUUUUUGAAGGGAAUCUUACUAGUUUUAUUGAAAGUAGAAGUCUGGUAAUUUGAUUAUCAUGUGAAUAACCUUGAGUUCAUAUUAAUCGAGUGACAAUUUCAAUCUUCCAACAUAUGUUUUGAAAGUGUCAACUAAAAUUCUGAACCAUAAAUGUCAUGCUCCAAAAUUCUACUUGAAGAGUUAUAGGUCAACUCAUAUAAACGUCCGAGAAUCAUGUAUGAUCAUGAAGACAUAGUCGACACAAAAGUUACGUUGAUUAUUAUGAUAUAUUUGAAGCCAAUAAUGGAAUUAUAUAACUAAUCUUUUAUCGUGUUCAAGACUUGGCAAUAAUUUAGUCUUUACUUACUAUCUUUCUGUUAGGAUUAGAAUUUCAAAAAGGAAUGACCCAGAUCGGGUUGUUCUCACCUAUAGUAGUGGUCCCUAACACCUCAAUUAAUAUACAUAAGAGUGGUUGAGUUUGAGACAGGCUUGAAGAAGCAAACAAAUGGGGUGACUUAUGGAUCAACCGGCAUUGACUCCUUCACCACCUUUCAUUUUUUUAAAAAUUGGAAUAACCUAAUUAGGGUGUAAUUAAGUAUUUUACAAACCAAUUCUGAGUGAAAUUGAACUUAGAUUCUUUAAACAAGAUUUCAUAUUUGAGUCUUAUGAAUAAAAAAAGAGAAAUGUUAACUAAGCGGCAUUAAUUAAGGACCUUAAAUAGUAACUUUUUAUGAAAGUUUGUUGUUUUUGUAAUUUGAAAAUUACGACAGAGCUUUGAAACUAUUACCGGGGUGAGUCACGACCAGGUCGCUUUCUUUAAGACGUUUCGCGGCACUACCUAAGUUGUGCAAGGUAGACUAGCAACCGCGCCGUCUCCAGGAUAAAACAGCACAGAUUCUAACUGUACGAUUAAAGGCUGCACUGCCAGAAAUCGCUCGAGAAUAACACCUCAAUAUGGUUUCGAAAAACCACUCUAAUAUGGUUCGCAGACCACUCGAGAAACCAAAGAAGGAGGAAGAAAAGAACGGUUCGUCAACACAAACCGAUGGAGAUGAGGGGGAGAAAACCAGAGAAGAGGAUUCGAUUCUCGGUUUUGGAGUGAAGAAUCCCAUUCCCGAGCUCUCUAUUUAUAGAGGGGAUUUGACCUCGUUUUCUCCGCCGACCCGGUUCGCGACCCGCCAAACUUAGCCCACGACCCAGUAAACGGUAACCCACGACGCGGAAACGUGGAGCUGAAGCUUACGCAUGUGGAAAACGUGUGAGACUUGGUCCUCCGCGUGCAGGAAUCUCGGAGCAGCAAAUAACGCGCGCGUCUUAUAUAUAAUUUUUGGCAAGCGCUCACUCCGUUCACAAAAGUGGGUACCCCAAGGGCACACCCUUGGAAGUGAUCACACAUAUAUAAACACUACUAGAGUGUGUGAUCUACCCAAUGUGGGACAUAAAAUUUUCAAUUCACACUUUACACUAGUUUUUCCAUCCUUGUGUUUACAUUCCAAAGGCUUCACAUAACAACUAGUAUACUCCAAGUUUUUGCCAAUAUACACUAGUGUUCCAACAAAGUUUGUGUAAUUAACGCAUUAGAAAUUGAAAACUUUAACUUUUUUUAAAUAAUAAUUACUUAAUUUAUAAUUAGAAUGAUUAAAAAGAGUUUGGAAGCACUCGUUAACAAGACCCAUAAAAAAAUGUGAUAGAAGGGGGGACACAUGUCUAUUAUGGAAUAUGGAUGAUCAAUUAGAUUUAAAGACCGUUAACCAAAAAAAAAAUAUUACUUCUCCUAAAAAAAAUAUUAACUUAAUUUGGCAAUCAAUUAAGGAUAUAAUUAAAGACUGACCAGUCGAAUUAAAGAAAGCCAAAACACAAGAUGAUAAAACAUAAUUUGUAUGAUCAAGGAGGACAAUAUGUUUUCUUAACCUUUUCCUUUUUUCUUUAUAUUUUAUUUCAUGUAGUUAUAUAAAUUUUAUCACCUUAUUACUUUAAUUGCAUGGAACAUGUAUAAAGUUAUUAUUACUUUAAUUCACAUAAGGGGCCUGUGUCAUGACAUAAUAAAUUGUAGUAUCAAUUUAGAGAUUGCACGAUAAUCAUAAGAUAACUAUGUAUAUGUAAAGAUUAGUAAAAAAAGAAAAGUUAAAUAAAAUUUAGGAAUUUUUAAAAAAAUAAAAUAAAGAAAGUUUAGAUGAGUUGGAUUUAGGCUCAACAAAGCUAAAUCAUCAAGAUUCAAAGAACGUUAACAGAGGAAUUUGUAGAUUAUACAUGUAUAUAUAUAAAUUUCUGAUGGUGCCACAAUUGAGAUUUUUACAUCAACAAUAUGAAUUGAACUCACGACUGAACUAACCCCUUAGCAAUUGCAUAAACCUAUGUUUUUUAAAUUUUUGCGAAUUAUUAGAAGGAAAACUUUAAAUCCAUAUUUUAAAAAGAAAGCUGCAUUAUUAACUUUUAUUUAUCGUAUUUUAAAGAUUGGGGAUGACAAUGUAGCCGGCUGACAGAAGAGCAGAUAAUAAUAUAAUGGAAAUGGAAGACAAAGUCAAUUUACAAAACAAAAAUGCAAUCAAGGGUGGUGGAGCCAAUUCAGUUCUGCGUGAGGGACCUUAUGUACGUUUGAUCAAUAAUCUAGUUAUCUAUCAUUGUAAAGCAUUUAAGGCAUGUCUGUUAUGUUGUAUAUCCAUGGAUACUCACACAAGUUUCUCAUCAAAUAUUGAAUAGUUGAAAGGAAAAGAGUAGAGAGUUAGUAUAAAUAUAAAGAGUUAUAUUAAGCGUAUGUUUGAUUCUGCAUCAUAAUGAUUAAAAGUGAGUGUUUGGAUACGUUUGUGUGAAAAUGAAUUAAAUUAUAAAUUUGUAUGUAAAAAACAAUUUUGAUUCAAAAGCAAUAAAUACCUGUAAAAAAGAAGUCACAAAUCUUAUCUUCAAUUAGAAUCAAUUAUAAAGAUAAGAUCGCGAUUCUACGAAAAAAUAAUUAAACAUGUCAUAAUUAAUUAUACACCUACAAGAUCAAUCUUAGCAACUCUAAAAGAAGAAUCAUACAUAGACUAGUCUUUUUUUUUGUAACAAAAAAAAAAGACUAGUCUUUUCACCUCAACAACCGUAAUCUUUGUUGGUGUAGAUAGUUGUGUUUUUUGAGAGUUUGCAAUUUUAUUUUAUUUUUGCAAGAAUUUUAAUUGAUAGGGUUUGCAAUUUUCUGUAUGUAAAAAUUACGCACUAAAUAAUAAAUUUUAUUCUGACUUGCUUUUUGGUUAUUUUUGUUUCUCAUGUGUAGACAUUUUCUAGAUGCUUUUCAACAACUUGAAUUAGAGCAAAUGUUCCGAUAAAGGGAGGAAUAAAAGUUGCAUUGCACCAUUCAUUUAAAUUGAGAUUAAUUAUCAUCUUAUUCGUGUAUUUUCUUAUAUAAUUUUAUGGUUACAUUGAAGUUAUAAGUUUCUUUGUUUGUUUUAUGAACCUCUCCUCAUAACAACGCACAAUCCAAGAUUAUUUAGUCCAACAAGAUCUUGAUUGUUCUCUAAAAAAAAAACAAGUGAGAUGAAAGAAUCAUAGUGGAGUAUAAUAAAAAAAUGUUAAAUAUGUUAUUGGUCCCUAUAAAUAUACCAACUUUUUGUUUUAGUCUCUCUAAAAUUUUCCUUCAACUUUUAGUCCCUAACAAAUUUUCCAUCUUCACUUUUGGUUCCUCUUUUAAAGUAAACUCAUAUGUAGAAUUCAUAUUUUUGAAUCAAAUUUUCCAGAAAAAUUCAUAAUAUUAUAAGAAUCUCUUCAAAAAAAAAAAAAGAAUUUUUUAACAAAACAUGAAUUUAAUAUGAAUUUUUACAUUAUUUAUGGUUAAAAAUUCAUUUCUGUACAAUUUCAUUAAAAAAUACUAAAAUUUACUUUGAAGGACCAAAAGUAGUGACUCAAAAUUUUAUAGGGACUAAAAAUUGAAGAAAAAUUUUAGAGGGACUAAAACGAAAAGUUUGUAUAUUUAUAGGGACCAAAAACAUAUUUAACCUUAAAAAAAUUACAAAAAGAAACUUCUCUAGAGAAGUUGUGGGAUUUGUUAAAAUUCAAAUUUGUGUCAACAACCAUUCAAUUAUUUUCGCAAUUAAACUUAUGAAUUUACAUCACAUAUUUAAAUCUAUUGUUAUCUAAGAGCAUGUUUGGCCCUCCUUAUUUUCUACUUAUUUUUUAUUUUUAAGGAGAAGUAGGGCCAAACACAAUUUUAAAAAAGCUCUUAUCAAAAGAAGUCUCUUAAUUGUAUAGAAGAAUAUUAUGUAGAAGUGACUUUUCAAAUAAGUUGUAGAAACGAACUUUACAACAAUUUACACGGAGGUUAGGCAACGGUGGUUCACCCAUCGAUUUCCACAUGGGACACUUUUUAUUUUAUUUUAUUAUUUCUUGUGUAAAUCACCCACACCAGAUUCCUUUUAUUUAUUUUAUUUUGUUGAAAGUUCUUCUUUUUUUUAACAUUUUGGUUACGUUCUUUUAUUUUUUGUUUACCUACAUAUUUACAAUAUUUUUUUGUACGUAAAUAUAUAGAGAUAAAAUAUUAAUGAUAGGUAGUUUGACAGUGUUUAAAAAAAAGGUAGUUUGACAGUAUAUUUUUAUGAUAAAUAUAAUAUAUAGAGAUAAUAUAAUAUGAUAAAUAAUAUUUUUAUAAAAAUAAAAAGUCCUAAGAGUAGAAAAACAAAUGACUCACUAUUGAUCAAAUGAAUUGGUUUUUUCUUUUGAAAGGAAAUGAAUUGGUUAAAAUACUUUUUUUUUUAACAAAUGGUUAAAAUACUUUUAGGAUUAUAAUUUUAUAUAUUUAGAUUUAUUUAUGAAUGUUGUUCUUAUUUAGUAUUAAUUUAAUUAUAUGUACUCAAUUAAAACAUUAGUUUGAUAUUAAGAAAAUGGAUUUUAUUUUAUUUAUGAUAAUUUAUAGUAAAAUCUCAGCUCUUUUAGAAAUAUUUACCAAACAGUUUUUAACUUAAAAGUAUUAAUAAAAUUAAAAAAAAAAAACAAAUAACAAACAACUUUAACUUUCACUUUUAAGUUCUAAUUUUUAACUUUAUUCUUAAAGUAACUUUUAGACCUCGAAAAAGUAGGCCAAACGCACCCUAAGUCAAACUCUCUAAUAUUUUGUUAAAUAUUAAAAUGAAGUUUAUUCUCGUUGAUUUAUUAAUUCAUUAGUGUAUUGAAACACAAAUGAGAUUACUCGUUUAUCUACAUUAAUAUGAAAUAGACUUUUUAACAGACUAACAAAUUAUACGACAGCUAAAAGGUCAAAUCUAUAUAAUAUAUCUAUGAAAGGUUAUAAUUCAAAUUUAGAUAUAAACUUUUUGACAUACAAAACUUAAUUAGGUCAUAUAAAGACGAACUCGGUUGAGUUUAUUCCCACCUUUAGUUGUGGUCAAAUGUUUUUUUUUUUACUAGCGUAAAUGUGCACGGAUGCUCGUUAUAGCUUUAGAGGAAAAAUCGGCUUCAUGCGUUUCUCUAUUUUUAUUCUUUUUUAUUUAGGAGAAUGAUUCCCUGUUCAUAAUUCCUUGACUUUCUCAAAAUUAAGACAUCUAUCAGACUAAUAAUAAAAUCAACUUUUGAUGCAUAGAACUUCACACACCCGGUAAGCUGUCACAAUAGAAAGAACUAAUGUAAUAAUUUGAUUUGAUAAAUAGGACUUCACGUGUUUUUACGCUCAUUCCGUCCUAAAUUAAAUGAUAUUUUGGUAAUUUUACAGAAAUUAAUAAUUUUCAUUAAUGCUAUAUGGGAAAGAGAAAACAUAAAUAAUUUUAUAAAAUUAUCUUUCAUUAACGGUGCAAGAAAGAUAAAUUAAAGAAUAGAAAAAAGUGAAAAUAAUAAAUAGUUGAAAGUAUAAUCUAAAAAGUAAUAUUUAAUGUUGCAUUGAUAUUAUAAAUCAACAUAUAAUUUAUGAUAAAUAUUUUUGACAAAACGACAUAUAAUUAGAUAUGGAGGAAAUAAUAAAUAGUUUCAGCCAUUAAUUUACGACCAAAUAGCCCCGAUUAUAUAUAUUCACAAAUUUAGGAUUGAAUUAUUAUGUAUCGUAAACAAAAAAAUAAUUUUACACACGCAUGCAUUUAAAUGUUCAAAACACAUUAGUUGUUAAAUUCAUUAAUCGACAUAAUAAAACUUUAUUAAAUGGAUGUGUAAAAUAGUGUUACAUUGUUAGUGUAUAGAAAUUAAACUCUUAAAUCUAUUAGUGAAGUAUGAUGAAACAAAAAUUUAGAGGUUGUUUUUUCAUAAAUAUUUGCUGAUUGAAUUGGAUGAAUUAAAUUUUGUCAUACAAUAAUGAACAAUAUAAUAUUCAAAAAUCAAAAGAAACGAUAAGAGAAACGACAAAAUAACAAAACAGUGACGAAUGGGUUGAUAUUAACCAGAUGCAGUUUAUAUGGACAAGAUAAGGAGCAAAUUUAUAAGGGUGUUCCCGGAAUAGAAUAUUCAAACCGCAAAGAUAGAAUUUAUCAACAAAAAAGAAAAAACCUUAAACUCAAAGAAAGAAGAAUUAUAAGAAAAGGAAAUAGGAUGCUUCCUAGUAGCAUCAUCGUAGCGCCACAGUAGAAAGACGCACACUCACUCAUUAUUCAUUCACAUUUCUUUUCUCUAUAUAUACCCUUUUUCUACUCAACUUAGACAAACACCAUCUUCUCUUUUCUCUUCUCUUCUCUUCUCUUCUCUCUUCAUAAUAAUUCAGCAACUUUUUACUUUUUCUAAUAAAAACAAUUUCAAUUCAAGUAACAAAUACUCAUGGCUAAUUUUGAAGAAGCUUCAGCUCUAAAACGCAUCAAAAUGCAUCUUCUUGGUGAAUUUUCUCCACUUCCAUCUCCUAUUUCAACACCUUGCUUUGAUUUUGAUUUUGAUUUUGAAUUUCAAACAAUCCCAAACAUAUCUCAAUCUGAAUCAAACUCUUCCACUUCUGAUUCAUCAAUCUCUUUGGAUCAUUAUUUAACUAACCUCCUUGAAACAGAUACACAAAUUCCUCUGUUUGAAUUUGACACAAAACCUCAAUUAAUGGAACAUGAGAGCCCUAAAGCUCUAACAUCAUCUCAUCAUGUUAAUCAACCUCAACGAACAGUAGAGAAGAAGCCUAAACUGAGCCGAAAACCAUCGCUGGAAAUCGCUCUACCGAAGAAGACUGAGUGGAUCCAAUUCGGUAAACCUGAUCCAAAACCGGAGGUGGUUGUUCAGAAACCGGAAGUUGCUGAGAAACAACACUACAGAGGUGUUAGACAAAGACCAUGGGGAAAAUUCGCCGCGGAGAUCCGUGACCCGAACAAAAGAGGUUCAAGAGUUUGGCUUGGAACCUUUGAAACUGCUAUCGAAGCAGCUAAAGCCUACGAUUCAGCUGCUUUCAGGCUGCGUGGCUCCAAAGCGAUUCUCAACUUUCCACUUGAAGUCAACGCAGUCGCAGCAUCGGCGGAAACCACCGUGGAAGGCAAUAAGAAACGGUGCCGUGAAGAAGAAGAAGAAGAAGAGGAAGAGGUGGUAGAAGUAAAACCGGUGGUGAAAAAGGAAAAAAUAACGGAAUAUGAUAUGAACUGUUUUAAAGAGAUGCCGUUAACGCCGUCUUUUUGGACUGGUUUAUGGGACGGUGAUGUCAAGGGUUUGGUCAGCGUUCCACCGCUGUCGCCGUUACCUUCCUUUUGUUUGUCACCUUUAGUUGUUGUGUGAAAUUUCUAUUCUAAGGUUCCUUGCAUCCUGAUAAAUUAGAGAUGUGAAUUUGUACAAAUUCAUGAAAUGAUUUCAUUUAUUCACUAAAUGUUUCUUUGGAUAUACUUGACUAUUUUAUAUUUUUAUUUUUAGAUUGCUAGUAUCGAAAAAGAGUUGAGACAAAGAGUUUAAAUUCUAAAUAAAAUUGUUAGGAUGCCUUUUAUUAGCAAAAUAAUAAGUAUCAGACGGAACAUGCUUAAGAAAAAAGUAUUAGGUAGAACAGUGUUAGACAAAACAGAAUAAUACAAGUUAAACAUAAAAUUGAAUAACAAAUAUAGAGAUUAUAUUUUUAUUUUUAAGAAAUAAAAAUGGAUUUAGUGAGGAACAUGGAUUCAUGUAUUUAUUCAAUCCGUUGCUACGUGUUUUGUUCGGUCUCGUGAUCAAUUUCUAACUCAAACACAAUAAAAAUUUGUCUGGUAAAUCAUAUGUUUUUAGUCAAUUAAAUGCACCCUUAAUGAAUUGAAUUUGUACAAAGCUGUGAGUAUUUUCAUGAAUUUUAUCACAAAGUCUCUUUGUCUUAGGAUUGUUGGAUAAGUCUAAAUGACAUAAUCCUAAUCAAGCUAAGCUCUAAGCCUUAAUCUUAUGUAACCCUAAUUUCUUAUCUAAAUUCACCGCUUUAACAUGAAUCAACCAUUAUCAAACUGUGGAAACGAAAAUGGAGGGUUUGAUAAUUGUUUAUCCAUCAUCUCAAAUAUCAAUUCAUAAAACGAAAGUGGAGCUUUGAUAUUCGAACAAGUGAAUUUAGACAAGGAUUGCAAAGGCAGCGAAAUAGUCUUUGCAAUCUUUGAGAUAUAUAGUUUCGAUCUUCAAGGGAACUAAUAAUGAUCAAGUCAGCGAAAUAGGUUUGGUUGUUAGAGGAACCAAAGUCUAAUAGUAAUCAAGUCAGCGAAAUAGGCUUGGUUGCUAGAGGAACAAAAGAGAAACUGUCUUGAGAAAUUAGGUCUAACAUAAAGUUAUAAGCUUAUAGUUUGGUUUGCGAAGGACUUGUUAUUUAGAUGAACCAAUGAUCCCAAGGCUCCUUUUAUAUUAUUAUCUUUCAAUCGUUGAAAACCCCAACUUACAACUUGUUUCUCCUCUAAUCACCAUCAAAGGUUAAUUGAAUUAAACUACUCCCUGUCGGAACGAUACUCUUUUCAUACUACUUCGGUAAGACUGUGCACUUGCGGUUUUAUCUCAUCAGAAAUCACAUAAAAUCUUCUUUGUCGAUGUAUGCAGGAACAAGAAAAUUCAAUAGCAGUAACAAGAUGAGAGAGAUGAAGGGAAGUGAAAUAUAUGGUAGAGAGUUUUAUGUGUUGAUGAAAAUGAUUUGAUUUUGAUGAUGAGAAUUUUAUUUUAUUUUAUCUUUUGAUUUUUUUCUGGGUUAUAUGAAAAUUGACUAAGGAGUAUGAAUGUGUUGAUGAAGGAAUGUGUUGAUGAAGGAAAAAGAAGAAAUAAGAAGAAGAAAAAUUAGGUGUUGAUAGUUCAUCGUAAGAUACAACAUACUUAUAUGAUCAAACGGUUCUCUUUUUGAAAAAAAUAUCGAAUGGUUAAAAUUAAAUGAAUUUAUAAGGUUUAUGGUGGACCACCUUAGACAUUUGAUGUUAAAAAUUAAUGGAGAGGAUCAAAACGGUAAACGAAAAAAUAUUUAUGAGACCAAUUGAAAUAUUUUAUAGUCAAGGGACCAAAGUAAAAACCAAAAGUAAGUUAAAGGACUAAAUUAUGAAUUAUCUAUAACCGACUGUGUCAUAAAACCUACUACUAUAGAAAUUUUUGUUGCUUCUAUUUUCCUCUAUUCCCCUUUAAACUUAUCUCCCAAUCAAAUUCUUAAGGAGUGACACACCACCUCUAUCGUGCAGUACUUGUAAUAAUGUUGUAUAUUUUUAUUUUAUUUUGGAGUGGUUCGUUCAUUAUUGUUCUUGUAUAUAAGUAAAAUUGUGAAAAUAAGUAAAAGACAAACCUAUCGCUAUGACCCCUCAAAAAGAAAAGGCAAACCUAUGACAUCAACGCAAUUGCAUCGUGACGUGCAAUAAUAUAGUAAUGGAAAAAAAAAGUUAGGUAAAUCAAACGUAUGUCUUCCCUUAUUUUAAAAGUUUAUUAGAUCAAGCAAAUUCAAAUUAUAAUUACUCGUGAGCUUAAGUCAGUUGAUUAAAACAAUGCAUAAAAUAUACAAGAUUUAGAUUUAAACUCCGGUCACUACUAAAAAAAUCCAAAUUAUAAAUUUUUUCCUUUCAUUUUGAUACAUUAAUAAUUGGUUAGUUAUUUCAACGUAACCAAAAAAAAUUUCCUCUCAAUUUGCUUCACUACAUCCUGCUACCAUUUGAUUUUAAAUUUAGAUUUUUAUACCUCACUAAGCUUGCAGUAAAUAAUGCCCUCCCAUCAUCCCUUAUGAAACGCCAUUCAUAAUGCAUCUAGCAAAUCCUAAAAUCUAAUUUUUUUUCCUCCCAUUUUGAAGCAUUAGAUGAUUCGUUAGUUCUUUCUAUGGAACCAUUUUUUUUCUCUUUCAUUUUUACUUCAUUAUUGCAAUCAUUUUAUUUUGAAUUUUGAUUCCCCCGUUAUUUCACUUGCAAAAUAAAUAAUGUCCUUUACCCCCACCCUCCUCCUCCUCCUCCAAUAAAAAGCCAUUCAUAACGGCUCUCACAAAAUCAUUUUGUAUUUUACUUAGAUUUUUGUUUUUAAUAGGACCAAAUAGGUUUAUGUGAAGAAAUUUGAGAGAUUUUUGAGUCGAAACAACAACUGUUGAUUUAAAACUACUUUUAACUUAUUUUUCGCUUGUACAUGUUUCACAUAUUCUAUCUUUAUCAAACAAACAAAAAAUUGGAAGACCUCUUACUAACUCAAGCUGUGAUAUUUUUGAAAUCAAUUUCAUAUUUACAUAAUCGGCUCUUUUGUGUCAAAUUCAUUUAUCUUUUUCAAAUGACAUGAAAAAUGAUUCAGAUGUGAUGUGAUGUGGGUAACUCUCGAUCUUGGGUGAGUUAUCCUCGGCCUGCAUGGGCGUGGGUAACUCCCGAACCUCGUGAGCCACCCUUGGUCUGUACUAUGAUCCGAUGAGUUUUAGGUGUGUCUAUCGUAUGAUGUCGUCUUCUUAAAGACUCAGGUCGGAUCUGAGGGGAGCUAGAUUGGGCUUUAGGCCAGUUCGAAACAGUAGCCCCCCAGGCUAUAGGCUGAGGGAAUCAUAUUGUAGUUUGAUAUAAGCUCUCUAUUUGGAGUCUGUCUUAGAGGUCAGAGACUGCAUCUGUUGUUGUGACUUUGGGCUUUUACGAGCUUCGCCAGACUUUGGAGUUUCCUUGCGAGGUUUUCAGAAUUACCGAGACGUGGCUUAAUGUCGUCUAGUAUGGGGUCUCUCAUGUUUGCUCCACACUGAGCGUAUCAUUAUAAUACAUCACUAUAAAUACGGGUCUCUCUCACAUUUAUGAUCACUUCACCGACUCACUUUGCAACCUGCUAACAUCCAAACUUACUUGUGUAACGCCCUAGUUGUUAUUAAUUAUUUUUCAAUUUAUUUUAGAGUCUUUUGUAUGAUUUUAAUAUGAAUUAUGUUGAUUGGUGUGUGCUAUAUUUUAUUAUAUGAUUUAUUAUGAUAUUUAUUAAAAUAAUGUGAGAAUUAUUGUUAUUUUGAAAAUUGGGGAGUUAAUUAGAAUUUAAUUGAAUUUAGUGGGAAUAAAGUGUAAUUAAAGGGAGUUAUAGGGAGUUAGGAAAUAGAAAGGAAGUUAAGUUAAGAGUUAGAAAGACAGAAAACUGUCUGUACGUACAAUUGAACCUUUGGGAAGAAAACAGAGAAAACCAAGCCAAGGGGAGAACAAGAGCAAGAGGGGAUCGAUUUUUGCUGUAGCUUUGUUUGUGCAAUUGAAUUCAGGUAAGGGUGAGGUUUGCUUCAGUAGUGUAGAUGUUAAUCUCUGGUUUUGAAUUUAUCAGGUUUUGGUGAGAAUGGGAAAAGAUGGGUUUUUGAUUUUGAUUUCUAAAUUAGAAAUGUAUAGGAACCAUGUUAUUUUAGACUUAGUUGUGUUCUGGGCGAUUCUAGGAUUACAUAACAUUACUGUAACCUGUUUUGGGGUUUGGAUUGGGAAAAAUUGGGAUUUUUAAUGAAAAACUACAAAAUUCACGAUUCUGGAACUGUCACGACUGGCCCUGGCGAAGCCAUUUUCGCCAUUCCCUCGCCAUUGGUUCACCCUGGCGAAUGUGUCCAGAAAUUUUUCCCGAGAACACUGCCUUAGUUCGCCAUUCCAUCGCCUUUUGUUCGCCCUGGCGAAAGUGCCCAGGAGCUUUUCGUCUUACGCUCGCCAUGGCGAGUAGCCUUUUUGUUGAAUUUCGCCUGGCGAAAGUACCCAGAACUGAAUCAUAAUUUUUGGGUUUUGUAUACUCAGUUGUACGCAUUGUUUGGUUGAUUCUUUUGACUGUGCUAAUGGUUAUAUAUGACUAUAUUAUUUAUCGAGAGUAUGAUUAAAUGUUGAGUGAUGAUUUAUGUAUAUUUACACUUAAAUAAAUUAUACAAAUUGUUGGUGCUGUUCUGAAGUAUGUUGUGUUUGCUAAACCAUACAUGUCGUUUUAUUCCGGAGUCAUAUGAGAAUGUAUGCAUGGUCAAGUUGUAUGUAGAUAUACACAAGUGGGUCCAUUGCAUAUGCAUAACAGCGGGAAGACUCAUGUCCUGGAACACUAGUUGUUCACAGCGGUGAGGGCUUUGGUCAUGAUGAAUGCUUUAACCAUUCAAAAGUGGUGAGGGCUUCGGUCCAGUUUUGGUACCACAUGCAUAAUUGCAUUUAUUGAGGGGUCUUAGUGGUGUCGUUAUGUCAUGCAUGAGUCUUUGUUGUUGGUUGUAAUUGCCAUAUUGAUGAUGAUGAUGAUGUUGAUGAUGAAUAUAUAUCUAUGUAUAUAUUAUGAUGAAUUGAUUUUGAAGAUGAUGUAUUGAUGUUUAAUAGGGUGUUAGAUUCAAUUGAUGAUUUUAAUAUCUAUAUUUUAUUGUUGUAAAUCUCACCCCUUCUGCUUGAAAAUGUUGCCCUUCCUAUGGGUAACUUGCAGGUGAUUCUGAGUAGUAGGUGGCGGCUCAAUGUCUAGGACUCUGAUACGUCUGGGAUGGGGUCUUUAUGUUUAUGUUUAUUCUUAUGCAUCGAAUUUUGGAUUAAGCUGAUGUAGCUCUUUUGUUAUUGUUGAACAAACUUAAUUCUUUGGAUUAUGUUGAUGAUGAAUUUUAACGUUGAAAAUAUUCCGCUGCAAAUUGAUGUUGGUUUAUUAAAUAGUUUUAUUUUCUAUUUAAGAAAUUUUGAAAUGUAGUGUAGCAUGCCCGUUUGAUGAAUUACUCUGAUGAAUAUUUUGUAUUAAAUUACUUUUGGGUAACGGGGUGUUACAACUUGGACAUCAGAGUGCCUUUUGCAUGAACAUCUCCCCCUCUUCCUCGUUCAAUGACGAGGCUUACGACCAACCGUGGUGGACCAGAUCCUUAAUAAGAUCAAACUUUAUACUAAGAGGCUAGCUCAACUUGUUUAACCUAAACAAUUACAAUAGAAAAUUUAAAAACUAACCAUAUUUUAGUUAGACAUUUUUCUUCUACAAUUUUUUUCUUAAUAAUCUAAUCCAUUAUUUAAAAUUUAAAUUUUGAGACACGUAAAAUGAAUUAAAUUAAAUUUAUAUUUUAUAAUAUAAGCAUAUACAUUUAAAUACAAAAAAAAAAUGUGAAUAAAUGUGUCAUCUUUCGCUAUAAGUAAGUGUGUUUUUAAAAGUAUUUACAAAAACACAUGAUGAACAAAAUAGUAAUAUGCAUUAAUCAAAAGGACCGCCAUUUGUUUUUAUUUUUAUUUUUUUAAAGAAAAAGGACCGCCAUCUAAAGACAACAAAAUGGACAAGAUUUAGAAGUAGACAUGGUCACAUGGACAAAAUGAGGAGCAAACUACAAAGGUGUUCCCUAUCGUAGAAGAUUGAAAUUUCAAAUUGCAAAGAAAAGUAAUUAGGAUGCUUCCUAGUAGCAUCGUAGAACCACAGUUGAAAGUCGCACUCUCACUCAUUAAUUCAACAUUUUCCGCUCUAUAUAUAUCCUUUUUUCCACUCAAAUUAGACAACACACAAUCUCAUCCUCUCUUCUUAUCUUCUUCUUCUUCUUCUUCUUCAACAACUUUUUACUUCUUCCUAAUCAUUUUCUUUUAAAAACAAUUUCAAUUCAAGUAACAAAUACAAAUACUCAUGGCUAACUUUGAAGAAGUUUCAGCUCUUAAACGUAUCAAAUUCCAUCUUCUCGGUGAAUUUUCUCCACUUCCAUCUCCUAUUUCAACACCUUGCUUUGAUUUUGAUUUUGAUUUUGAAUUUCAAACCAACCAAACAGCAUCUCAAUCAGAAUCCAAUUCCUCCACUUCAAUCUCUAUGAAUCAAUAUUUCACUAACCUCCUUGAAACAGAUGCACAAAUUCCACUGUUUGAAUUUGACACAAAACCUCAAAUGAUGGAACAUGAGAGCCCUAAAGCUCUAACAUCAUCUCAUCCUUUUAGCCAAUCUCAACGAACCACAGAGAAGAAGCCUAAACUGGCUCGAAAACCCUCGCUAGAAAUCGCUCUACCGAAGAAAACUGAAUGGAUCCAAUUCAGUAAACCGGAUCCAAAACCGGAGGCGGUUGUCCAGAAGCCUGAAGCAGUUAAGAAACAGCACUACAGAGGAGUUAGACAAAGACCAUGGGGAAAGUUCGCCGCCGAGAUCCGUGACCCGAACAAACGAGGUUCAAGAGUUUGGCUUGGAACUUUUGAAACUGCUAUUGAAGCUGCUAAAGCCUACGAUUCAGCCGCUUUCAGGAUGCGCGGAUCCAAAGCGAUUCUCAACUUUCCACUUGAAGUCAACGCAGCCGCGGCGACGGAGACCGCAGUCACAGCGGUGGAAACCACCGGUGACGGCAAUAAGAAACGGUGCCGUGAAGAAGAAGAAGAGGAGGUGGUAGAAGUAAAACCGGUGGUGAAAAAGGAGAAAAUAACGGAAUAUGAUAUGAGUUGUUUCAAAGAGAUGCCUUUAACGCCGUCUUUUUGGACUGGUUUGUGGGACGGAGAUGUCAAGGGGAUGUCCAGCGUUUCACCGUUGUCUCCGUUAUCUUCCUUCUGUUUGUCACCUUUAGUUGUUGUGUGAAAUUUCUAUUUUAGGUUUUUUUUCUUUUCUUUUCUUAUGGCAUCCUGAGCAGAGAUGAGAAAUGUACAGUUUAUGAAAUUAUUUCAUUUAUUCACUAAUUAUUUAAUUUAUUCACUGAAUUUUCUUCUUAUUUGAUCAAAUAUUCUAUUAAAGUUAAAGAAUAAUUAUUUAUUUAAUUUAUUUAUGGAUUUAUUUUAGGGAAAAGACUUCAUAUUCUUAAAUUGACUGCCAAAUUGUUGUUGGAAGCUAAAAUUAAUUGAGAUCGUUGGAGUUUUUUCAACUAGUAUUAUCUUGCUUAAAUGAUUAACGUUGAGGAGGAACUUUAUUCCCCAAGCUAUAAGUUUCUUAUUUCUCUAAUCAAACGUUUGGUACAAUUGUGUUUGAAUUUUUUGAACUACAUUAAUAAAAUACAUACAUAGAAGUACAAAGAAAAAGGGAUAAAUUGUGCAAUUUAUAAACAUAUUAUUUACGGUAAAACUAUUGUCUAUUAGCCAAACAUCGUAGUGCGUAAUCUCUAUUCGACUAAUUUUUGAAGCUGUUUGCAUGAUAACUCACUUGGUAAUAGGAUCGUGGUACUCCAAAUUUGGCCUCAACUUUCUCUUUUCGACUUGAUCCGUUGACAAGGAUCUUUUGUGUGCAACUCCAUUAGAGGUCAUAUCCUUCCCCUUAUUCCUCAUAAUGGUUACUUGCACGGAGAGCACAAAUCAUAGGUAAAUGUAAUUAUCGAGUCUCACUAUGUCUUAGACUUAUAUUUAGUAUUUGACGACCCACAUCAGUCCUUUACUCAGUUUCUCUUGCAUCGUUUAUUCUUCACUCGGCUAAGGAGUUUCCUCGCCUAACUAUAAUUGUCAAAUUCGGCUAGUAAGGUAAUUAUCUUUAGGUGUAAAUACAAAUUAAUAUACUAAUGAGACUAUGCUUCAUUUCGAUAUUUAACAUGACAUAUUUUGAGAAUCGGACUUGCGACUAUGAGUUUGGAGAGGAACAAACUCCACAGUCUCAAGCGAUCAAGGAUCAAAAUGAUUUACAUAUUUCAGAGAAUGUAAUUUUGUAUGAUACAUAUUUGAAUUGUAAUUUAAAAUAAUACAUUUAAAUAUGUAAAAGCUUAAUGUGUGUUGAUAUGCUUAAACUACUGGAAAUAUUAGCAAAUUUAUAAGUUAAUAUAAAAUAUAAAAUCUAAUAACAUAAUAAUAAUAAUAAUAAUAAUAAUAAUAAUAAUAAUAAUAAUAAUAAUAAUAAUAAUAGUAAGAAAAUAAAUAUUAUCUAUGUUUACUAAAUAGUUUAGUCUCACAUGCCUCCUCUCAACAAAAAAUAAAAAUAAAAAUCUAACAGGCCUCUAAGACUUUUUUAAGACAUGUAAUUUGACAUAUUAACCAAAUAUAAAUAUAAGCUUCUAUAAAUGUCAUAACAUUCUCCAUUUAUAAAAAAUGUACGACAUGACAUGUGUGCGACAUAUAUGAAGCUGUAAGCCUUUUUGGGUUGACCAAACCUCUUUCCACCCUUAGUUUUAGAGUGGAGAAAUAAAAUGUGAAUUCUUAUUUCUGAAGUAGAAGGGAGGGAAUAAUUGAGCAUUUUUUUUAAACGGUUAUACUAAAGAUUUACAAUUUUUUUAUUAAAUAAAAUAAAGACUUACUUGAUAAUAUUUGAUAAUGGAUUUUUAAUUGAUUAUAGUAUAAAAUUAUUAAGAGUUAAAACUCUUAAGAUGAGUUUGUCGUCCAUUUAAAUCUUAUAAAAUUAAAAACCAAUUUCUACAAUUAUGUGUGAUGGAUACCUGAAUCAUACUUGCAAAAAUUCUCCACACUUAACAAUACAAACUACAUGACAACGUGUUUUUUUUGUUUGUUACAACAUUGCAACGAUGGUAACCUUUUGAUUAAGAGAUAAUAUUUGUAUCGGUUAAUACAAUGAUUUAUAACUGCAUAAGUAUAGAGAAUUUAUUUGCUUCUCUUUUUCCAUAUUUCCCUUUCAAACUCCUCUCAUGAUUAUCAUCUCAACUUCCAAUCAAAUCCUUAAUGUGUGGCCACCAUGUUCCUGCACUUGUAAUUAUGUUGAGAAAUGAUAUUUGUAAAAUAAUUUAAAACAAUUUUUAGGAUAACUUAUUUCCCCUUAUUCUUUUAAAACAAAAACAUUAAAUAGAGAAAGAGAGAGGAAAAACACAAUGAAAGUAUGAAAAAGAUGCCUCAAAAUAAUUGUAUAAAUAUAAUUUCUCAAUAAUGUUAUAUAUUUUAUUUUAUGUUGGUUUCAUUCGUCUACGCAUGUUUUUGUAUGUAAGCAAAAUUGAAGAAAUUGGUAUAGGACAAACCUGUCAAAACCAAUCCAACUGCUUCGUGAUGUGCUAUAAUUUUUUUUUUAAGGAAUAAUAAUAUUAUUAUUAAAAUAUGACAUAUAUAAUUGCAUUCUAAAAUGCUGGUCAUUAUUAUUUUGAGGACACUCAAUUUUUUUUACAAAACAUCAAUUAUUCACCAAGUUAUUGAACUUAAUGUGAUUCGUGAUUUCCAAAAAAAAAAAAAAACGAACCGUUCCGGAGAAUUCGAGUUGAGUCUUGCUAGCAAGUAUAUCCUAAAUACUAUUUAAGCAUUUACAAUCAAGUUAUUAUUCUUUAAAAAAACACAAAUAUUUCAAUUUUUAAUGUAUGAAUACAAACAUUUUCAUAAAUGUUUAUCUUUGGUUUAACCUUUUUUUCUUUUACUUGUAGUGCAAGUAAGUAUGGGUAUUAAAAUUUGUGUGCCAUCCAUGCUUCACUCCCAUACUACUGUCAGUUCAGUUCUCGUCAUUUUCUUUGUUAUUCAUUUGGUCAAAAUUCAAACUAGGAACAUAAAUGCUUUGAUUUUUCUUUAAUUUUGGAGCACGUGUUUUGAAAUUGACUAUUCUGUGUUUGAUCAUUCAUCAUCUCAUGCAAUGCAAUGUACCCAGAAAACAUGGUCAAUACUCAAUAGGGUGAACUGAAUUCACGUGCGUCCUAUUUGUUACCUUAAACUAAUGAUGACUAGUUCUGAUAUAUUAAUGAUUUGGUUGAGUUUUUACCUCCAAUCGCAAGAUAUCUCCCAUAAUAUAUUAAGUCAAGGCAUGUCUUAAAACAAACCUUGUCAAGUUUCACUUUCUCCACGUAUACCUUCAGGCUUGGUUGGUCAAAGUCAUGGUUUCAAUUUUCUUUGAAUUUUGUUCAGAGAUACGUAUACAAAAACCCUUGCAUAAAAGAAAGACAUAUACGAAAACUUAAGGAAAAAAAAUGACGAGUGAUGAUGUAAUAGAAGUUAAAUAAAAAAUAAUCUGAUUUUUUUUUCAACUCUCUCAUAAAAGUCGAGGCUUCCUUCUUCUUGUUCUUUUUUAUUGGCCUCAAGUCUUCUUCUCUCGUGUACCCUAAUUAAAACUAAUUAAAAGAAGAGUUAAGAAUCAUUUCAGUACUUGACAAAAUAUGGAGUUGUUAAAUUAGUCCUUCAUAAUAAAAUGAUCAUGUUUAGUCGGUUAUAAAUUAAUCCUUCUCUCAAUAUUUUCUCCAACCGAUUUUUUUCUUCUAUUUUUGAACUGUGAUUUGACAUAUGGGACAGUCAAGUUGUACAGUUGACUACCACGUGUAUUAUUUACAAAAGUAAGGGAUAUUCAGGUCCAUACUUGUUUUUUUAGGGAGAAUUUGGUCCCAAUAAAAAAAAGAAGCGAAAUUAGUCAUUAUAUUUCAGUUUUUUCAUAACACCAAAAAAAAAAAUGGUAGCUUGACCAAAAAAAAAAGGCAGUUUUUUAGAUUUUAAGGGAUAAAAUUGGCACUUUUAUUUUUUUGUCGAUCAUCUUCUCCGGUCUAAACAAUCGUCAUCGUGGCUGGUACUCGCCGAAAAUGAAAGAGUGUGGGAGAAAACGAAAGAAAGAAUCCAAAAAAAAAGGACGUAUGUUUAGGGUUUUUCAAUUCAUUCUUUGUUUAAGCGUUAAACAAUUCAUUCAUUUUUUAUAUGCGUUAAACACAACGAUUCAUUCUCUUCUUGUGAAAAAUGUUUAGUUCUUUGCUGGGUUAAAUAGUUUAUUCAUUUUCUUUCUGCGUUAAACAUGACUAUUGAUUUUCAACUUAUUGUAAAAAUUGUACAAUUUUUUGUUGGGUUAAAUAAGAUUUUAGUCCAUAAAAAUACAGCGGAUGUUUUUGUGCUCCCAAAAUUUCCCCUUUAGUCUUUGGUCCCUAAAGUUCAUAAUAAUGUCAAGGUUGUGACCCUUUUAUAUUCAUGACAUGUCCAAUUUUUGAAAAUCUAUUAUGUCAAACCCCUUAAUGUUCAUAUUAUAUGCAAGAAACGUCAAAGACAUAUCAAAAUUAUGUUCAUUUGAAAUCCAAACACCCCAUUUAAUAUUUUAGAGACUAUAAUAAAAAAAAUUGUAACUAAUAAAUUUGGAAGGACGAAAACAUCCCAAUUCAUUUUGUAAGGGGACUGGAGUAUCUCAAAUUGGAUGAACUGGGAUAAAUUUUUGUGUGUGAUUCUCUAACUCUAAUCUCUUUUAAAUUCCAAUUUCACACAUUACACUUGCCAUAUUUAUUAAAUAUUAAUUUCUACUAACCUACGAAUCCAAUCCACGAUAUUUCUUGAGAAUUUUUUUUAUUGCAAAUUUUUAAUAGAUCAUAAUUUAAACCCGUCUUUCUUGUGAUAUUAUUAUACUUCAAUUCAAAUGGGAGAAUAUAAAAAUUGUAUAGGGCGCAAGAGAGGGUUGGAGGGUGGUAACCGAAAUUCCCAGUUUUGUUUCUACCAGCCCAACAAUCUAACCAAACAAACGCACCUUUACUGGACCUGAUACCAUUCUAAUGGGAGAGAAACUUGCUAUUUAGGCAGCAUUGUUUGCUCUUGGCAACCUGAAAUGACCAUUUUACGCCCAACGAUAUCCCAACGACAUUUAAUUGUCGUUCACUUGUCUACGAUAGUUAAGGGUCGUAGGACCCUCAAAGUGUCAUGUUCUAAAGUUAUUAUAAAGUAGUAAAUGAGAAUAAUCUCAUUCUAAGUUAUUAUAAAGUAAUAUUUAUCCAAGUCUUCUAAAAUGAAACUUGUGAUCAUUGCUGCCACUUAUCAAAUUGAUUCAUUUUAAUGCAUAUGUAAUGUAAUAUAGCUGCCAAAAUCUUUGAAUUACAGGGGUAAUUUGUUGUAUUUUCACAAGCCAAAGCAUCGUGCAGAUGUUGGUGUAUGUAAUCUAGAGAAGGAGAAAUAUUACAACAAUGAAACAAUAACUUGGAGAAACAUUGUCAUCAUACGUGUUCUUGGCUACAACAACUUCUAGGGGGUUGAGGCUCCUACGGUACUUAACUUUUUCGUAUGAGUGUUUUUUUUCUUAUUGUAUGUGCAAGUUUGGAUCUAAAACUACAGUUCACUACUGUAGACCAUCAAAUGUGGGUGCCUGAGCUGAGAGCAAAUAGUGAAGUCUAAAGAGCAAUUUUCAAUGGGAGAAGCCAUUCUCAAUUUCAGAUCCAACAUUGACUCUAGUAAAAGCCCAAUUGAAGAACAUGCAACAACGAGUAUUACUUUUUCCAUUCUAUAAGAUUCUCGUGCGCCGUGCGUUUUUUCCAAAAAUGCUCUUGAGGUUUUUGGAUUUCAUAAUCUGAAAUCAUGUUUACUAUUUCGGAUUUUAUAAUCCGGACAAUUCUUAUGUAUAAUCAGCCAUCAGAAUCUCUCACAUUUCAGUAGUUUUGAGUUUUGCUUUUAAAAACAACAAAAAACUAAGUAAAAAAAUGCUAAAAACCUGUCAAAUAAAAUCAUAAAAAUACCACCAAAGAAUUCUAAAAAUCAAAUAAAACUAGUGCAAAUUUUUUUUCUUCAGAUUUUUCUGAUUUUUUGGGGAAGUUUCAGAACAAUCUGAUCAAGUAGCCCGAAAACCAGAUUUUUGAUUAAGAACAUGUAACAAUGACCUAAAACAAAAUGAUAAGAGUUAGGAAGAUUAAUAUUGUUCCUAAAAUGACUAUACAUGUUACAAAUAUGUUUAGGAUUUGUGCUGAUACAGUUCGGAUUAUAUAUAAUCCGAACUAUUUUACCUUAAAAAAGAGUGUUUAGGGGGUUUCCGGAUUAUGUAAUCCGGAAACAUCAUGUAACGCUCCUAUUUUUUGAAGUUUCCGUAACUCCAUUUUUCACCCUAUAACAAAGAAAAACACUAUUCCGGAUUAUGAAAUCCGAAAAUCUCAAGGACAUUUUUGAAAGAAAAAAAAAUCCGAGAAAAAUAAUACUCAGCAACAACAUGUGCUAUCCAAGACAGACUUAGGAUGACUUUGAAUUAUUGGAUUUUCAUCUUUUAAUAUAUUUUUUUUAUAGUUUUCCAUUAUUAUUAUUAUUUUAAUUUUAAUGAAAGUAAUCACUUGGAAUUUUAGGGGUGUGUAAUGAAAAAAAAUCCGCAGAGCACUAACCAAUUUUUGUAGGAAAAACUAAUUUGACAUGGUUGCUUUGCAUGUGACUUGGUGUAGUGGCAUUGUGACCAUGAGAGAAGUGGAAUAUGGAACAAGUUACAACACUUAUCGACAAUUAUUACUGAUCCUUGGCUUGUUAAGGGCCACUCUAAUGAGCUUGCUAGUUAGAGUAUAACCCUUCAUUAAUCUCUUCAAUUAAUAAUCCCGAGUUUAUUUCUCAAUUUUGUCCUAUUGCUUUAUGUAUUGUAAUUUAUGAAAUUAUUACUAAGGUGAUUUAUUGCCAACAAAAUUAAACCUAUGUUGGAUGGUAUUAUCACUCUGUAUUAAUCCAAUUUUAUUCUGAGUCGUACCAUUCAUUAUAAUAUUGUUGUGACUUUAAGAGAUGGUAUUCUACAUUGACUAAAUGGUGUGGAUUUAACUAAAAGAAUGGAUUUCAUUAUCCCCUCUAGGCCUCUACUAUUUUGAUUUUAUUAAUCCGUAAUGAAUUAGAACUUCUUGAUUAUCGGUUUACUUAAUGUUGUUGAUUACUCCCUCCGUCUCAAAUUGUAUGACAUUUUGACCAUUUCACACGUAUUAAGAAAUGUAAUUAAUAUUCGUGUGGGGAAGAGAAAUUAUGAGUUAUUUUACAAAAUUAUCCUUAAUAAAUGGUAUGAAAAAGAUAAAUGAAAUAAUUGAAAGAAGAGAGAGUAAUUAAUAAUUAAGGAUAUAAUAGGAAAAGUAACAUUAAUAUUUCAUUGGUAUUGUAAAACGACAUAUAAUUUGAGACAAUUUUUUUUUUCCAAAGUGACAUAUAAUUUGGAACCGAGUAUAUUUUUUUUAAUUGGGAUAGUUCAUCAUUCUAUUGCUAUAGUUUGCUGCAAUAUUUUUCCUUUCACAUCGAUUUUAUCUCAAUGAAUUUUUCAAGCAAGUUAUUUAAUUAAUUAAGGCAACUGAGUCUUAUCUUUGUUCCCUUGUGUGGAUUUUGAUCUAAUCUUCCAAAACUUUUUUUUUUUCUUUCUAAACGAAUAUAUAUUUUUUAUCAAAUACUCUCUCCGUAUCAAAUUAUAAGCAAAAAAAAAAUCACACUUAUUAAGAAAACUAAAACAUAAGAAUAUGGAGUAUAGUUUUUUGUGUUUUCUUUGAAAAAAGUUUUAUAGGAAGAUGUAAAAACAAUUUUUAUUGGCUAUUGAUUAUGAAAAAAUGAAAGAGAGAAAAAAUUGAAUGUAAUUUGCAUUUAAUUUUAUAAGAAUAAACAAAAAAAUCUUGAAAAAGAUAAAAGUUUGUCUUUUUUACUUAUAUUUUGGGACAAAGAAAAUGUUUUUUUUUGCUUAUAUUAUAAAACGAAAGAAGUAGUAUAGUAGUUAAAAAUUUAGUUCUUAGUGAAUAAUUAGGAAAUAUAGUAUUUAAACCUCACCCAUACAUUAUAAUUUAAUGUCUAUUUUAACUGAAUAAAGCUCACUAAAAAUAUAUUUAUUACUCUCUCCGUUUCUUUUUAAGUGUCAUUUUUGAAGAAAUUUUUGUUUCUAUUUAAUUGUCACUUUCAAAGUUCAAUGCAACAAUAAAUGUUGUUUUACCAACAUUACCCUUAGCUAUUUAUUAUGGAGAGAGAAAUAUAUGAAAUAAGAUAUUAAAUGACUAAGACUAUUAUAGUAAAAGUAUGAAUUAUUAUAUAAGAAAAAGUAACAUUUAUUGAGUGUCUUAAUUUGUGUAAAAUAUUAAAAAGUAACCGUUAAAAAGGAACGGAGCAGUACAAAUGAUAGAUAACCGUUUUAAAAGUACCAACAUAAUUGAGAUUUCUACUCAAUGAUGCAAUGACUUUGCACUAUAAUUAUAAUCUACGAAAUAUUUAAUACAUAUUUGUGAAAAAAAUUGUAAAGUGCUAAUGCUGAUCGCAUUUGUCCUUAAAUUGCUUUCCACGCGGUGCACACCAAAAACGUCACAAAUUUUGAUGAAGGGUUUGUCCUUCUUGUUGUGAAGAUGUUCCCUGAUCUCUCACUAGCCAGUAAUAAACUAACCUUUAUUUCUAUCUUUAUUUUAAGGGUUUUUAUAUCAUGUGCAAAUUUGCACAUGAUAAUAAGUUUAAAGUAGUAACUUUGACUUGAAAUUUGUGUUUUUUAUAUUAAAUAUGUAGCUUUUAAUAAAUAAUUGUUGAUUUUCAAUUAAAAGUUACUACUUUUAGUUGCCUUAGUAAUAAAUUAAGGGAAAUAUUAACGAGUGCUCUAGGAGCACUCUUUAAGAACCAUUAAUAGUAAAUUUUUAUAAAAAAUUGUUUAAUCAAUGCAUUGUAAUUUGUAACUUGUGACUUUUUUAAAGAAUAUUUUCUAUAUUUGGAAUCCUUAAAAAAUGUCCUGGAGACACUCGUUAACAAAACUCAUAAAUUAAAUAGGUGCAUCCCGACUCAGAUCCGUUAGGUGUGUUUGUUACAUGAAAUGAAAAUGUAUUCCCAUAAUUAACUUUCCUAGGAAUGUUAGAGUGAAAAUUUUAUUCCUAAAAAAGUUUGAUAAAAGUGUUUGUUUGAUGAUUUGAAUUCCUGGAAAUUCUUUUUUAAAGCCGUGAUAUAAUUUAUUAAAAUAUCCCUACUAUGUAAAACGUAUGUCUCCUCAAUUUUCUCUUUUUUUUAUUUCUUUUGCAAAGCAUCGAAUAAUCAAACACUACAAGAAAAGUGCCCUGUCCCUACGGCCAUUUUCUAAAGUGGGGUAGUUUUUACCAACGGACAUAUGAAAAACUGUCACUAAAACCAUUUUAUUUAUUUUAUUAUUUCUAUUAUAUUAUUAUAUAAUUAUUAUUGUUAUAUUUCUUACAAAUAGAGUGGAAUUUUUUUUCACAAACACGUACCGUACCAUUCACACGCUCAUCAAUCUCAAAUCUCACAACCUCAAAAUCGCUUUUUCUUCAUCUAUCUCAAACCUCACAAACUCCAUUGAUCUCAAACCUCACAAACUCCAUUGAUGUCAAACCUCACAAACCUCAUCAAUCUCACCUCAACAAUCUUCUCAAACAAGCUCUAAAUCGAUUCCCUACUGUAUCGAUUUUCAAAUCGAUUUUGUUGUUCAUAUUUUGUUCAAAUCGAUUUAGAGAUCUUCAAAUCGAUUUUGCUCUUAAUCGUUCUCAAGCUCACAAACUAAAUCGAUCUCAAUCUGUAUCGAUUUUGUUCAAACUGUAUCGAUCUCAAUCGUCGCCUUCAUCGACCGCCGGACCGCCGAUCUUCGAACUCGCUCUGGAUCAUUUUCAAUCGCUGUGAGUAAUUUUCGUUCUCUUUGUUUUAAUUCUUGAUAUGAAUGUGGUAAUUAGGUAUAGUGUUGUUAUUCUUGAAAUUAGUAUACGUAGAUGUGUUUUUGAAUUAGAUUUUGGGAGUUCAUGUGUAUGUGUUUUUGAACUGGAUUUUGGUAGAAUUUUGGAAUCAGUUUACGUGCGUGUGUUUUUGAACUGGAUUUUGGGAAAAAUUUUGUAUUCAGAUUAUUUGUAUGUGUUUUUGAACUUGAUUUUGGUAGAAUUUUGAAAUCAGUUUAUGUGCAUGUGUUUUUGAACUGGAUUUUGGUAGAAUUGUGUUAACACUAGGAUAAUUGAGAAUUGUGAUAACAUCAGGAUAACUGGAUUUUAGCACCUCUUAGAUCUCUCUCCAUGAAUUAGAUUAUUUUAAAAGUUCCACUGUGUGUGACUAAACAACUAACUUCGUGGUAAAGCUCUAGAGAAUCCAAGAUGAGAAUGAGUUGACUUAGGUUGGCUUUUGGUUCUACCAAUGAUUGGAAUUUAAAUGGUGGACGUAAUUCUGGUUCUUUGGAAACUGAUAUCAGAAGGUCUAGAUGAGAUCAUGAAUUCAUUCAGCUUCCGCUAAAAUAAUUUUUGUGUCCAUUAAUGUAAUGUAUGUACUUAAUUUAUUGUGUUUUCUAUUGAAGUAAAAUGUACCAAAGUUGAUAGUACAAUUGUUAAUGUUAAAUGAAACUCAUAAAUACCAUUUUAAGAUAUAAAAAGAUUUGUGCAUCAUUUAAUUUGUAUGUUCUUAGUGAGCAAGGUUUGUUACUAGACCGCUACUAUUUAUAACCAACGAUUGAACUCAAGUGAUUAAUGAACUCUAGUUAAUGACGAAUCAUUCGGAACCACUAAAGUUUGGUUUCUGGAUGAAACAAUUAUUGAUCAGAUUUUACUUAUUGCUUAUUGAAUUUUGAAAUACUAGGGUUAUUUUUGCUCAUAACCAGAAAAGAAAACAAAGUCAUACUGUUAUAUCAAGACACAUUUAGUUGGUGCACAAGUUGAAACUUAAACAACCAUAAGUUUUAGAAGCAAGUAAUUAAGGCAUAUACUAAAAAUAUCAAACUCUUUCAUGAUGACAAUAGAAAGGGCUUCUACACCUCGAACAUAUGUCUUUGCUAAGUUUUUGGUUAUUCACCUAAGUCAUAGUUAGGCAUCCAUUCUCAAAAUCCUCACGAGUUACUAGUAGUCCAUGAUUCAUCCUCACAGUUUGGGCAAUUGUGCAUACAAAAUUUUCUUUUUAUUUGAUUAUGCUGUUUUAAUCAAAUAGCCUUUAGUGACGGUUUUUGCCCGUCACUAGAGGUCAAGUUUCUUGUAGUGAAACUAACAAAUUUGAUAAUUUUAAUUUAUCAUACACCAAUUCAUCCAUGUCUAUGUACUGUUACUGAUACAAUCAGAAUCACAUGAGUUUUGUUAAGUUCUAAUUGAAUAUCCACCUUGAGUAUUACAAGUGUGUAAUUUGUAGCAAAACCUAUGUAAAGACAAAAAGAAAACGUGACACAUAAGUAGAAAUGUGGGAUGCCAUGCGGUUACAAGGGGUAGAAAUGAACUUUUGAGAUAUUAAUGGAUGUUAACUGCUUGGAAUAAGUCAUUCCCAUCCUUUCUGUUGGGAAUAAAAUAUGGGAUAAUAUAGUUAAAAAUAAUUACCGGAUAUAAUUAAUUUCUUGGAACCUUUUUGUAUGCAUGUGUACCAAAUAUUGGAAUAAAUAGUUCCCAUCUUACAUUCCCAGGAACUUAAAACGCCCCCUUAAAUUUAUGGCUAUGGACUUUUUUUUAGGGAUAUGGUUAUGAACUUCAUCCGUAAUUGGUGGACACUGUGAAAUUACCAAGAAACAACUCUUAAAUGUGUUAGGAGGAUACCUAGGAAGAAAACUAAUAACAACAACAACAUAUGAGGAUGGUAAUACUUUUCACUCCUGCGACACGGUCAAUAAGAUUGCUCACGAGUUAGUAAAGUUGAUCAUAUCUAUAUUUAGUUGAAUAUUGUUCUCCACCCUGCACAUUUUGCUCGCGCCAUGCAGCCAUGCCUAAUAUACCCUUGUGCACCUUAAGUAACGCCGCGCAUCUUAACUCAUGCAGUGCAAGUUAAGUGACGCAAUGUUACUGUUUACAUACAAAACCCAUCAGUCCAAACUCCAAGCACCAUUUUCUUUCCCUCCACCUUCAAAAACCCAAAAAGUGCGAUUUUUUGGGUCAAAAUCCUCAUCCCAAAUCAUUACAAAUCGUUAGGACGCAAGUUUCUACGCUCAUCAAGCACCAAAUAUCAGGUAUUGUAUCAUAAAAACUCAUCUCAUUUUGCUGGUUUUUGUGCUUGGUUCGUUUGGUUUUCGUAGGCAAUAGGGCUAGGUGCGCAAGUUAACUUGCGCAAGUGGUAAAGGCUGCGUGACACAAGUGUUAAAGUGUUGCGUGAAUUAAGUCACGCCACUGUGCAGUCCUGUGUUUUGCGCCACUUUUGUUCUUGGUUAGCUUGUUCCACAAGUAAUUUAUUUAUUCUUCCUUUGUAAAUUUUUUUAUUCAAUAGAUAUAUAGUGAGAUGGUUGACAAUGUCACGGGUGAUGACGUUGAACCGAAAUCGGCCAAAAAUGAAGCUUCCAGUGAAGGUUCCGGCGAUGUCAAACCAACUGUUAAUUUGAAACCGUUUAAAGUCCAAAUUCCAAUUCAAGCUCGAAUUGGUAAAAUUGAAGAACCUAAAUCGGUACCUAUCGGUGUUGUCUGUGAAGCUCGCGACACCGCCUCAUUUUUUUACAACAAAUGCAAGAUGGAGAGAGCGAGAAGAGUUACUUGCUUAGGUUCGUCAACAAGGGGUAAAGGCCGGAUUUGAUGUUUGUAUAAAUAAAUCCGUUUUAAAAAGGCCGUACUUGACGAUGCAAUGUGGAAGGAGUGGGAUAUACAAGCCACCUAAGACAAGGAAGAAAAUGAACCUUGAAGGCAUCGGCUCAAGGAAAUGUAAUUGUCCGUUUAGGUUGAAAGGUUUUUUUUGAUAAAGAUACAAAUGAUUGGUGGCUUGCAAUGCUUUGUGGAAUGCACAACCAUGACUUGAAGGAAAAGUUACAAGCACACCUUAUUGCGGGUAGACUUAGUGUGGAGGAGAAGAAAAAAUUUAUCGAAAUGACAAAGAGCUUGAUGGUGCCUCAGAAUAUUCUCACCAAUUUGAAGCAAAAUAACAAAGAAAGUGUGACAACUAUCAAGCAAGUGUACAAUUUGCGAACAAGAUGGCACAAGGGGGAAAGAGGUGACAUGAUGGAGUUGCAGUUCUUGAUUUCGAAGUUGGUGGAGCAUAAAUACGUCUAUUACACAAGAUGCAAUAGUGAGGAAACCACUCUUGAAUAACACUUUGUAUCUUUUUGUCCGAUCCGCUGAAGUGUAAUCAUUAUUUAAGUGUAAUAGUGUAAUGUUUUCUGAAUUUGUGUCCAUAUUGUUGAAUUUUAAUGAAUUUGUGUUUAUGUAAUUUGAGCGUUUAUGUGAGAUUAUGUAAUUUUAUAAAUUUAUGGACAAAUUUGUGUAAUUUGGAUCGUUUACGUGUCAUUAAGUGUGUUUAAGUGAUUACGAGUCAUUACCGGCGAAUUUGUGUAAUUUGGACCGUUUUGGAUCGUUAUGUGUGAUUAUGUGAUUGUGAAAAAAAUGAUGUUUUUGUGUAAUUUUGAUCGAUUGUGUCGUAUUAUCCAAUAAUCUUGUUAUACAGGCGUAAUUCAGUUCAAUUACGAGCAUCUUAAGGUUACAGACACAAUUUGCAUUCAAUGCAUAUCAGUACAACAUUUAUUGUUGUACUGAUAUAUCAGUAGAGCGUGAGUUAACACGCGCAUGUGUUAACAUGAUGCGUGAGUUAACUCACACAGUGUUUUACACUUACACAAGUUAAGUGACGUAGCGUUAGUUAACUAGCGCAUAGUUUUACAUGCGUUACUUAACUAGCGCAAGAGUAAAUUUGGAACGGCUGCAUGGCGCGAACAAAAUAUGCAAGGUGAAGAGUAGAAUUCUAACUAAUUUUCAUAUUUUCACUGAUGUAGUCGUUUGUAUUAAUAUUCUUAUUAUUAAUGAUGUAGUCGUUUGUAUUAAUAUUCUUAUUAUUAAUGAAAUGAGGUAAACUUAUUGAAGUAAAAAAGUACUUUAUCUUUACUAAUGGAAAUGAGUUAAAAUCGUUUCAAGAAUAAUAGGAAAGCUAAUAAGAUGAUGAAACGAUCAUAACCCCAUUAUUGAGAGGAUGAAAUGAGUUAAACUUGUUGUAGUUAAAAAAAAAAAAAAUUUAUCCAACAAUGGUUUGUUCAAGUGGUAAGAGAUUUGAAUCCUACAUAUUCAAUCUCUAACAAAUUUCUAUAGAUAAAUUCAGCUCAAAAGGAAGAACUCUUUUUUUUUAGACAAAAGAUAAAAUAUAUAAAUAAAAAGAACGAGAUACAGAGACUUGGGGUAUUAGACCUGACUCAGGUACAACCUAAACGGAAAUACGUCGUGAUAUAUCAGACCAAGUGGAUCAACUCUAACCAUUCAUAACAAAUAAUCAUCAUACGAGCGCAACCCAGCGAACCCACAUAUGAGCUCGAAACCAAGUUACAACAAAGAUGAAAAGUGAACGUAUGUAAAGAACAGUUAGGGAUUCAUACAUAGCGUAUGGAUCGACCGCCAACACGGUAACAAAAUCCACGUGCCAACAGCUCCCUGAACAAAGCAGAAAGCAAAAGAGCUCUAUUGAUCGAGCAUUAACAAUCCAAACAACCGCAAAAGACUGAGACACAUGAGUAGGUACCAAAGUGGAGGCAGCCAUGACAUCUUAACUCCUGCGGAUCUCAACAGUAGUUUCAAUCACAAUAUUUUCAAUCAAGAGAGAAAUGAAGAGGCCAGACCACCAACCACAAUAGUUUCAAUCAAACAUGUUAGAACUCCAAUCGAAGCAUGAGUCCAAUACGUUAGUAACCAAAUAAACCUUUUUGAGUUAACAGGAACAUACCCUUUCGGGUUUAUGAAACCGAACAACAUCAAGUAGGCACAAAUCUUCAACCAAUCCACAAAUCUCUUAUCAACAACAACAUAAACAUAAAAAUACACCUCAAAACCGACAAGUCGAUGGAGAUUUAGGUUAAACGGUGCUGAAAAUUUUGUGCAUGUAACGUGAUAAUCCAAUAAAUAAUAAUAUCCCCAUUGCUAUUACAAGUUUACAAUCCUCUUCUAAAAAUUAUUAUUUCUUGUUUUUUUGGUAGAAAAAAAAAUAUUAUUUCUUGUAAAUAACUUCCCUCGUUUUCUUCAUUUAUUUUAUGAUAUGCCAUAAUUAUUAUAAUAUGUUUACGCAACUUUCUAUUUUGGAUUUUUUUUACAAGUAUCUUCCGGAUGAUUUUUUGUCAUGACCACUCAUCGCCCAUUUUGAACCACUAGUUUAUAACUUUCCAACAAGCCAAGUUUUGCCACUACUCGUGAUUUAAUAUCACUUGUCCCUACGUGUCAAAUAGCAUUAUCACAUAUGGUCUUGUUUGUGCCUAAUUGGAUUAUCUAGAUUUUUAACUCAAAAGCAUAAUAUGAUAUAUAUGAAACGCAUAUACUACACUAAAAAAUCAUGAAUCACAUGACAUGACCAUGAUGUUUCUUUAGUCAAGUAUAGUUCGAUACAUGCUAAGGUUGCCUUGAUUUUAGUGAAGAUUCUCUGCUUUAUAGUUUCCCCUCACAUAGUAUUGUGAUCUCUCAUUGGAGACUGAAAUUGUGGUAAAUAGUGUCAGUGAUCAAGAUGGAGGUGAAAUCUCUCUCUUCCAAUUCUUUGUCCACAUUUGAAGUUGGAAAAUUUUCUUCCACUUUGUUCACAAGUUUUAGGCACAAAUUUGGAGUUAGAUACUCUCCUAAGUUCAAGUGCCGCAGAGGUAACUAAAAAGCUAAUUAGAUUCUCAUAUAAGCUUUUUAAUUUGUGUGUGUUUUUGCAUAAAAUCUCAUGGUUAAUUUAGUACUUAUUUUUGUCUUUAACACUCCGGUUCUCAGGAAACGACCCUGAUAAUCCGGAGUUUGACCUCGAGGUAAGUAAAGUCUAAUCGAGGAUUUUUUGAGCUGAUAUUUGAACUUAAUUGGUGUUUUUUUUUUUUUUUUUCCAACUAAAAUGUUAAAGAGAAUGUGGAACAUGGGUUUAAUAGUUUAUCAUCUUUAAUUUCAGGGUUGUUUCUUAAGACUUGUAGUGCCUCAGAUGACACUUAUUUGGCAGAUAAAGCUGUGAUUUUUUCAGAUGAUUUUGCAUCAGAAACAAGUUCUCAUUGUAUUAAUGGAUCAACUUCAAGCUUGUAUUACAGAAAUCUUAUACUUGAUGCCUUUGAUGAUGAGUAUGGAGGGAUUCUCAUUGAUCCAAAUAGGUUACCACAUAAUCCAUAUGCCUUUGCAUCUAUGCUUUGUUUAUCUCUUUCUCACUGGAAAAGAAUGGUAAAAUCAUCUAUCCAUGUGCAUUAUCCUUGUGAAAGCACCAUCCAGCAUUAUUGUAAACCUAACAUUAUGAGGUUUUGCAGGGAAAGAAGGGAAUUUGGCUUAAGCUGCCUAUAGAGCAAUCUGAUCUUGUUCCAGUUGCUGUCAAGGUAAUUUAACUUCCUAAAUUUCUACUAAUGAAAUUAUUUACCGUUAAUUUUCAUUAAGUAAAAAUGUCACACCUAAAUCACACAAUGAUAUUUGUUAGAAUUUGUUAAAUAUAUUGUUUAAUGUAAUUACAAGUUAGUUAUGAUUGGUUGCAAGUUGGUUAUAUUAGUUGUCUUAGGAUCACUAUAUAAAGUGUAUCCUAUGGUCGUGUAUCAAGUUUUUUCAUUCUAUUAAUUUCAAUUUCAAUUUAUUCUUCUAUUUGUUGGGUUCUACCAUACUUUUCAACAAUGUUUGUAAAGCACAAAGGCCGCACGUUGGCGAAAAAGUUCAAUAUCUCUCAAAGUUUACUUUGAAGUUGAUGAAAUUAACUCAAAGAAACAUUCACAAAAUGACUAGCAAAUUUGAUCAAAUUUUGUAGGAAAUUUUUCAGUCUUUACUCUUUAUUUAGUUAAAAUUUUGUUUUCGCUAGUUGAAGUGUUACUGAAUCUAUGAGGUAACUAGACUCAUUUUGGUCUCAGGAAGGUUUUCAAUACCACCAUGCAGAGCCAGGAUAUGUGAUGUUAACUUACUGGAUUCCGGAAGGACCUUGCAUGCUUCCAGCAAAUGCAUCACAUCAAGUCGGAAUUGGAGGAUUUGUCAUCAAUCAAAAUAAUGAAGUAUUGUUCUUUCUUCUGUCAAUAAUGAUAUUCUGAAAAAGCUUUGCCAGGAACUGUUUCAAAUUUGUUUGCACUUCUUCUACAUGAUUUCUAAACAGUUUUUAUCUAAUUUGAUUCAUGCAAGCACUAAUUUUUGUAUAAUUUCUUCUAAUAAAUCUGUAAAGGUGCUUGUGGUACAAGAGAAACACUGUUCUCCUGCAACUCUUGGCCUUUGGAAAAUACCAACUGGAUUCAUUCAUGAGGUAUGUAUGCUUCACUUAACUUUCCUAAAUGCUCAAUAAACCAAAUAGAAAACCGUUGGAAUAGAAACCCUUAUUUAAUGGUAAACAGAUGUGAAAAGCACAAACAGAUAACACAUGAUAUAUUUGAUCACGUUGUUCAGUCAAUUGUGCUUAUGUCUGUGACUGCAAAACUUUUUUUAUUCAAUCUUAUGGUUUAUAUAUUACAAUUUAUGUUUAAAUACUACGGUCCAGUUAACAUAAGCUAAACUAGAGAUAGUGUUGAACUGUGUUUCCACUUACGUAAUGUUAUUAUGUUGCAACUUGAAUUCAUCGCUUGUGCGAAUAAUCUCAGGCAGAGGAGAUUUAUACAGGAGCUGUAAGAGAAGUGAAGGAAGAAACUGGGGUAAGAUUGAUUUAACUUUGAGAUAAUCUUAAGUUUUGAUGUAAAUUAAAUUAAAAAGCCUUAUAUUGAACUUAUUCAUAAGGUUGCAUGAUAGGUUUCGAUUGCUUAAAAUGAAGACUUUCUUUUGAUGUUGCAGAUAGACACAGAGUUUAUCGAAGUCAUAGCAUUCAGGUAACACCAAUCAUGUCAUCAAGAAAUUUACAUAAUUUUGAAUGAAAUAAAUUUGAAAUAGUUACCAUUGAUUCUGUGAAUAUACAUUUAUACAAUGUAGUUAUUAAUUCUGAUGAACUUGAUGAUAAAUUCUAGGCAUGUACACAAUGUGGCUUUUGAGAAAUCAGAUUUGUUCUUCAUCUGCAUGCUAAAACCACUAUCAUCUACGAUCACUGUGGAUGAUCUUGAAAUUGAUGCAGCAAAAUGGAUGCCACUGGUUGAGUUUGUAGAGCAACCAUUAAUACAAGAAGAUUCCAUGUUCAAGAAGAUUGUAGAUAUCUUUAUCGCUCGUCUUGGGAAACGUUAUUGUGGACUAUCAACUCAUCAAGUAGUUUCCAAGUUUGAUGGAAAAAUUACUUCCCUAUACUACAAUGUCUUUGACAAUGAUGAUUCCAACUGUGUUGGAAAAUAAUUUAGGCUCUAAAAACUGAGCUAACCACUACAUUACUAUAGAUGUCCGGUAGAAUAUGUAACAUAUAAUUGAGGUUUUAUUUGCUAAUGUGUACUGAUAAUUAAUGUAUAUAAAUGUUAAUAUCAAUAAAGAGUUGUUGUGGAAUGGAACAUGAGGGAACAUUACACUUGUUCCUCAUUUCCGUUUGGAAAGUAGAAGCAUCAAGCAUGUAUAGAAUAUGUUUAUUUUGGCCUCCAUUUUGUAAUUUAUUGAACCAAUUAAGAAAAUCAACAUGUAUAUUUGAAGGUUAACAUUUUAUGUUAAGAGACAAAAUUGAUUAGUUACCGAUACGGAGUGGAUCAGAGAUAACGGUCGGAGUUGGUGAUGCAUCUGCAAACAUUGUGACGUCGAGUAGAAUGAUGGAUUUAUUAUAUUUGAUUGUCUACCUUUCUCAUUGCAUUACUGAGAGAUUAUCAAAGCAAAUUAGUGGAUCACUGACGAUGAUCAUGCAGUGAUUGGCUACUAGAGGGAUAUGAUUUGGUCCAUUGACGGCGCAGCGUCCUAACCUGUGCCCUUGUAGUGAAGUCUAUAGGGAUUGGGUCUGGGAUUAUUCCGAAACAAUGACCCUUUGGGAUAUUUUAUGAAUAUAGUUUUUUUUUUUUUUUUUUUCAACAACCAAAUCCUUAAACAUUAUGAACUCGAUAUUCGACUCAACAAACUACUAAUACGAGGACCAGAGAACACUUGAACACUUAACAAUACACAUUAACAGUCUAUGUGGUGAAAAUUUAAUCCUGAUAUUUUGAAAGAAAUUGCAAAGAUAUUUCUCAUCAUUCAUCAAUAUCUCUACCGCUAUCUAUUAUUAACUCCAUUUUUGUUUUCAAUGGACGUUUAGCAUUGGAUUUUAGUUAAAAUAAUACAAUUAAUUAUAGAGUUGGAUUUGUAUUGAACUUUCAGUUUUAGUCUCUCACUAUCAAUUAUCAAAACGAACCCUUGAUGAAUCGUGACGUGUAAUUUAUCACACAUCUUUUUUAAAUAAAAUUGUAUAUGUGCGUUGCUUUCUUUGUCCUCUCAAAGCAAGUAACAUCAUGGUCAACUGUUGCAUUAUUAUUUAUACAUACAUGCAACAAAAUUAGGAGUCAAAUUAGGGAAGAAAUUGCAUGAGGUCUGUUGGCGUCUUCUCACAACCAGAGGAAAACAACGCCAUGUGAGCUAUCACAAGCUCCGUAGAUAAUUAUUAAGUAUCAAUUAUUUUUCAAACAAAAAUUGGUGGUGGUCCAAUCAAUUUGGACAGACAUGAUUUUUUAUUUCAUUGUUUAAAUAGUGAAGUCUCAUUUUGCUCCUCGUAGAAUACACGAAAUUUGUCCCGUGAUUAACUCAGUUGACACAGAAACAAUGUAUGGCAUAUGCAGAGAUCAGAGUUUGAACUCUAGACCCCACUCAUCCAGGAUGAAUUUGUAGUUAUUAGGCUACUUGACAAAAAAAAAAAAAACAAAAAAAAACAAGAAAUCUAGUCCAUUAUGUCUUAACUUAACUUGAUAACAAUGUUAGAAUUGUGUAUGUGAGAUUUCAAUUACUACCGUCAUUUCAUCUAUCUACAAAAAAAAAAAACACAAUCUAGAUUAGUCCGAUAAAGAAAAUGCAAUUUUUAAUCCUUUUAAAAAAAUAACUCAAGACAUAUUAGUUUUUUUUCGAUUAUUUUUCACAACCAAUUUUUUUUGGAUGUUAAACGAGACUAAGAGUGUUUAAACGAAGAUUAAGAAAAGAGAAUUGAAGUACUGUAAUCAAUUUGAUUUUAUGCAUGGGUGGUCGACUUUGGAAGCAAUUUACUUCAUUGUGUGAUGGAGCGAUAUCAAACGCAUAAACACGACUUGCACUUGGUAUUCCUUGGUUUCGAGAAGGCGUGUGAUAGAGUGACUAGGGAGAUUCUGUGGAAAGCUCUAGAGAUGAAAGGGGGUUACAAUUGCUUAUAUUUGAGCUAUCAAAGAUAUGUAUGAGGGAGAUUCAACUACAUCAUUGGGUUCCCGACGAUUUUUCCAUAACAAUAGGAUUGCACCGAGUGUCAACCAUUAGCUCUUAUUUUUUUUUACUUUAGUUUUGGAAGUACUUACAAAACACGUCCAAGAGUUAGCACUAAGAUGUAUAUAUAUUUUUUUUUUGCAUAUGAUGUUGUCCUACUUGGAGAGUCAAGGGAGGAAUUGAAUGGGAGUUUGGGAUAUAGUUUAAGUGUAUGAUUUCUACCUGAGUAGAAGCAAGACAUGGUAUAUGAAAUGUAAUUUCAGCAAAAAACGAAGUAGUUCUACCUUAAAAGUGAAAAUUGAAGAUCAUAUCAUACCCCAAGUUACACGACUUAAAUAUCUUGUGCUCAUAGUACAGAAUGACGGAGAAAUAUAAGCAAGUACAAACAUCACAUUCAAGUUGGGUGGUUGAAAUAGAUACGAGCCUCAGAUAUUUUAUGCGAUACAAAAUACCUCUCAAGUUGAAGGUAAAAUUUAUUGGACAACUGUCAGAACAACGAUGUUGUAUGAAACAGAGUGUUGGACGAUUAAGAACCAACAUAAGAAUUAAAGGCAAGACAAUCACAAAUUACUUCUUGAGAUUACCAAAAUUCCGAAAAAAAAAAUGUAAAUGUUACUAAGUUUGGCCUUCGGUGAAACUUCAUAACGACCCAACUUUGAUGUGGCAAUUAGACACGUAAAAUGUAAAUUGCUCACUUUAAAGAAUUUUUUAUUUGCUCUAUUUUAUCUUUUUAGGUUUCAACUUUGCUACCACGGUUUGGUCAUUUCUGUUGAGAAUUUAAACUCUUUGUCAAAACCAACAAGAACAAAGACAUAGAACAAAUAACAAUGACAAUCAAUAAUCAAAUUGUCAAAGCAGCAACAAUAAACAAUGUGUAAAUCAAACCCAUAAUCAAACCAAUCAACAAGAUAAAGAGAGUAGAAGAUCAAACAUACCAAGAUUUGUUUAUCCAAAUCGACCCAGAUUUACUUAUGUAUCGGGGAGAGAGUAGUUAUCCAAAAUAUUAUGUUUCAUACAAAGAGAUACACAAGUUACAAGAAAUUAACUUCAAAAUCAAAGAUGUGGAGAAAAUAACAAAAACAACCUAUAUAAAACAAUCCAAUUAACAAACACUAAUUUCUACUUCUUACUCUCUUUCCUUGAACAAGAGAGUUACAAUAGUGACAAUUUUUUUCUUCCAAUUGCUCUUCAAGAGUAAGCCCUAAUUUCUUUUCUUUCCUAUCUAAACUCACUCAAUGAUAAUCACUCUCAAGGUAUUUACUAUUUACUAUGUGCUUCCAAACCCUCGAAUCUCCCCCUAAAAGCACUCAAAUUUUAACCCAAAGUUUCCCUUUUUGGUCUCCAAAAAUUCCACUGUCGAAAAUUGAAAAUAGCACUAUAUUUAUAUAGAAUUUGCAUCUGCCUUGCUCGUGCACUAACCGCCUCGCAUACAACUGAUUUGGUGAACAAGAUUUCACCUCUUUCUCACCCGCCUCAUGGAUCAUCUCAGCCACCUCGUGGAAUGAGACAUAAUUGAAUCAAUUUUUUUUAGAAUUUUGCAUCCAUCGAGAUUUCAAGGCAUAUACAACAAUUUUCCACCUUGCCUUUAAAUUGAUGGCGAUUUCAAUUUCAUCACCAACCACAUUGUUGCUUGUCAUUGCCUUCAACUAUGUUUUGUAGCACCAUAAGAUUUCACCUUUACCUCUUCAAUCCUCGGAAUACCUUAUGUCUUCUUGAAGAACUUGCAUCCAAUUAUCUUCGAAUUUUUAGGUAGAUCUACAAAUUUUACCACAACCUCUAAAAUGAUCAUUUCCUUCUUCCUGGAGAUUCCCUUGCUCUCAAUUAUAGUAUACAACGUAAGGUCUCUAUAGGUGUACCGCUUUGGUGCAAGAAUAUCUCUCAUUUAUCUAUCUCUGGAUAGCUAUGAGUUAUUGUUUUGUUUGUCUUCUUCACGGUCUCUCCAAACCACAAGUGCUUAAUGUCUCACUAGACUAACUAUGUCUUGGUGAUACACAUUACCUCCACGGUCCUCACUUUCGCAAUUUCACUCAACUCUUUAUCUUUAGACACCAAAUAAUGGCACUCCCUAUCUUGUCCAUCAUUUCGGUUUUCUCUGAUUCUGUUAUUCUUAACCGUUGGUCAUAUGUGUUAGAAUUUAGUGCUUUAAUUGUUAGGAUUAAGAGUUUAAUUUGUUAAUGUCUUUUAAGCUUAUGAAUAUUUUGUGUAUGAGAAAUAUCCCAACUUAUAAUCAAUUAUUCUCCUGUUAUUUUACCAUUUAAAUAAAACUUUUCUUCACAAGAAAAAAUGAAACUUAUUUUACACUAAAAAAUAAUUAAUAAUCUCUAAAAUAAAAUUAAAAAAAAAAUCUCUAAAAUAAAUUAAAAAGUGUAGUUGCUUUUUAAAGAAGAAAGAAUAAUGAAGAACGCCCAAAAGGCCAAAGCAAAGAGCUUCUGAUUUUAGGCUUUGUGGUAGAGUCACCUUACGUUUUGUUCUUCAACUUCCACCCCAAAUUACUCUCCAAUUUCCAAUUUCUACCCUUUCCUCUUCUCCCCUCCCUCUUCUUCUAUCGUAAGUUUCUCUCUCUUCCAUUUUCCAUUGAUCCUUCUCUCUCUUAAUAAUCUAUCUGAUUAAAGUUUUUCGGAUGUCAUUGAGAUAAUUAUUAUUAGGUAAUUUCAUUAUAAUUUCAACCUCAAUUGCAUUUUCUCUGUAAAACCCCCAUCAUAAUAAUUGAAACGAUUUCAAUAAAGUUUUGUUUUUUCUCUCCUCAAAAAUCCAAUCCCAGAUUUUCUACCCAAAAAAACAAAACCCCAGAUGAAAAUUUUGGAUUUUUAAUCUACCCUUUUGUUAAAAAUUAUAUAUUUGUAGAUGGGUUAUUUCCAAUUUUGAUAUAUAUUAUUUUGGACAAUGUUUUUAGGCUUUGAGGGAAGAAGAAUGAGGUUGUGAUUUUUGUAGUGUAAUUUAAGAAUUAGGGGAGAAGGAAGGGAGGAAAUCAUACACAAUGCCAUCUUUCCCAAGGAGCUCUAGCUUGGAAAGGGUGCCAGAUAGCGAGAAAAAGAGUAAUACAAUGGUGUACCUCAAUGUUUAUGAUCUUACGCCUGCGAACAAUUAUCUAUAUAUGCUUGGUGUUGGGAUCUUUCAUUCCGGUAUCGAAGGUUUGUUUGCUUGAUCUUUUAAUUUCAUGAUAACUUUUCUAUUUUGUGCUUGGUUUGAUAAGAUAAUUAUGUUUUUUAUUUAUUGGUAUGAAAUUGCUUUGGCACCAUGGUGGAAUGUUUAAUCGUUAAUAUAAUUGAAUACAACAUUGUUAUGAUUCAUAUUUGUUGAGAAGUCUCACAUUUGAUGAGAUAUGACUUGAAAUUAUGUUUAUACGCUGUGGUUUUGGGGGGUAGUCCUAAACUUAUGAACCAGUUUUGUAGGUUUGACUUAGGCCCAAUAUAGAAAACCUAAUAUGGUAUCAGAGUUUAUUCAAGAUCCAUUUGAUACCCUUGUUAUGGAGCCAUUUGGAUCACGCUCCAGGUGGUGUGUUUAUAAGUGGAGGUCAGUCCUCACUUUACAAACCAUUAUGUGUGUACUGGUCUGUUGAGAAGAAUGGUAUGCGAAUAGGUUAUCAGAUAGUUGGUCAUCCACUCAUUCAUUGAGGUUUCUUGUAGUUUCAUGCCUCUAGAGAAUACUACUUGGUGUUGGAAAUAGGAAAUGUUGUUCAAAUGAUUGGUAUAUGAAGUACAUAAAUUGGGAUGGUGAACCAGUAAGGGGUUAUUUUUUGUAGCUAUCACCGUAGACAUUUUACUCUUUGGUCAUCUGAUCUCUAAUAUACUCAUUUGGGAAUUUACUUAAUUAUUUUACAUAUUGUUUUAUAUCAUUUUUAAGUUCUAGUUAUAUGUGCACUUAUUAUUUUUCAAUAUACCUGUUUGAUCAAAACUCUUGUAGUUUGUCUAGUUAUAUGUUUCAAUAUACCUAAGGAAUAUGUAUCUAUUUAGAUUACACAUACAAGGAAGCAGUUUGUCUGCCUUUUUUUUUAAAAAAAGAAAUUGAAUUACUUUGUCUUCGGCUUCAUUUUCUCUCCUCUGCUUUUUACAUAUUCUGUCUUCUUUGCUAAGAUUGAUUUUGGAAAAUUCAGGACUACCUUAAAAUAUUUUUUAUAUAGCCUUUUGUAAAGCCUUUUAUUUUACUGUCGUUGUCAUCCUUGGCGACAUUUAGGAUGGCAUGGUUUGAAGGUCGCACUUGCUCGUGGUGAGCUGUGUACACCACAAAGGACUUGUUUCUAAAUAUAAGUGUAGUUUUUAUGACCGUUUCUUUUGUAAAAUCACAACCAUUUAACUAUAGUUUAUUCAAAGGCUGUUAAUGAUGCUUCACGGGUGAGACAUCUGUUAUGGUACCUCACCCUAGAUGUAGCUCCCUGUCUUAAGUUAAUCAAUGAUAUAGAAACCUUGCACACUUGCUACUUCUGGGUCUUUGAUUCCCAUAUGUUGAGCCUUUACCUAUCUAAAUAUAUAACACUUAUAGUUACAUGGAAAUUUUCAUAUCUAUUUUCCAGGACUGAGAUUCUAGAAGGGCUUAUGAGUUUUAUGUUGCUUCUAGCGUGCAUUUUGUAUUAUCACGUCAUGGAUGAUCAACUAUUUUGUGGGGGUGGGCUUAUGAGUUUUGUGUUGCUUCUAGCGUGCAUUUUGUAUUAUCACGUCAUGGAUGAUUGACUAUUAUCACGUCAUGGAUGAUUGACUAUUUUGUGGGUUCUGAAUAAAAAUAUUUCAUACAAGCAGAUUUUAGUGUUUUCAUUUGAUUAAGUAUUUGCUAUGCACUGUUUGUUUACUGAUUUCUUCUUAGUUGUUUUGACAAGUUCAUAGAGCAUUAUGCUGUAUCAAGCAUUUGCCUUUCAUUGCUGCUAGCUUUUUCUAGUGGGUCAUUUUGUUUGUCAUUCCAAAACAUAAUAAGUUGAUAUAUUAUGCACCAAGUGAAAGAAGCAGUUUAUCUUAUAAUAUACUUUUCUAUUUGGAUGAUUAUUAUUUGUUUCAUUUAUUUUAUUAAUGUGAAAGUUUAUAAAAUGGAAUCCUUUAUGCCCACAUUAGGAUUUUUUAGUAUGAAGUAAUAGUAAUAAUAUUUACCAAAAGAUACAUCUAACGCUGAAGACUUUCUGUUUGUCAGACUUCGAUUUCUGUUCCAAGUUAGUUUUCAAGUCACAAAAUGGAGUCCGCUUCACCAGAUAUAUCACACAAUCUUAACAGUCGUAUUUUUCUGAAAGAAAUUUCAUUUACAGUUUAAUAUAGCACAAAAAUUAUAGGCACUGCUCCUGCUGUUCUCUACUAAAAGUAUAGUAUAACUGUCACGAAUAAUUUUGAAAGUUUUUUUUUUAAGAAAAAAAAAAACACCUCGUUAUUAGAGAAUUAGCAAGAAUAGUGCACUCGAUCUAAGUUUUGUCCUUUAAUAUAACUACUUCAUUUAUUGUUAAGUUACCAAAGUUCAUCCUCUUUUGACCAGGAUCCUGAUUUGAAGUAAUUUAGUAAGUAUUGUAAGGCAAAGGGAUAUAUCUUGAGACUAAUUAUUGAUCGGAAUGUGGGUGUACUGUCUUGUUGUUUUAGCAUCCGUGGAACUAACUUUGUUCAUGGUUUUCGCUUUUCAUAACAGUGCAUGGCAUGGAAUAUGGGUUUGGAGCACAUGAGUACUCAUCAAGUGGAGUAUUUGAGGUGGAACCUAGAAGUUGUCCGGGCUUUAUCUUCAGACGAUCAUUAUUGUUAGGCACAACGGAUAUGUCUUAUUCACAAUUUCGUUCUUUCAUUGAGCGCGUUUCAGCAAAAUAUCACGGAGACACUUACCAUCUGAUUGCUAAGAAUUGCAACCAUUUUACAGAUGAAGUUUGCCAACAGUUAACAGGAAAGCCUAUCCCUGCGUGGGUAAAUCGGUUGGCUCGUGUCGGUGAGAACUCUCUUUGUCUGUGUGUAUUGUAUAUGCAGGAUAAGGCUCCUCUGAAGGGAGCAAAUCACUUUAAAGAGCAAGUGAGAAAAAUCAAUCGUUGGUAAACAAAUCAACGGUUGAUCUUGUUUGCACAUGCAUAAACCCUUGAUUUUCUCCCUUUAGAACCACUCACUUCAGAGGAGCCUAAUUCGUAAAUGUGAUAUGCACAAGUGUGUUUUUUUCCAUCAUGAUAUUCUAUUUGGAUAAACAACUAGAUUAAGCGCUUAUACCAUAAUCAAUUAUAAAGUGGUGAUGUUUAAGCUAUUUCUAUAACAAAAAAUAAAAUAAAGGCACUGUUUUUUCACGAGUUUAUGAAAACAAGCUGAAAGCAACUUAUGGUUUUCCUAAUAGUCUCACAAUCACAAAUGCUUAUGUCAGGAGAUAAACUCAAAUAAGUCAAUUCAAACAGACUCUGAAUCUUGUAAUUGCAUCUACUAGUUUAGUUUUUAGCUGAUCAAAUGCACUUUGAAGUUUCAGGUUCUUUUUGCAAUUGUCUUCUGCCAGAAAGCCUUCAGGUUGAGGCUGUUAGACAUGAACCUGAUCAUCUCGUACAUUCUGGUAAGCUAUGAAUGAAGACAACUAUAUCUACUAAUUGUUUUACAAUCUUCUAUCUUUCCGAUUGAUUUAUUAGAUGUCUCAGAAGAAAAAUCUAAUAUGAAUGGCACAUAGCAUAUGACUAUUGUUUUACAAUCUUUCAUUUUUUUUUUUUUAAUUGGAAAGUAACACUUUUGGCUAAUAACAUUUGUUACUGCAGAUGAAGAGGAAUCAGAAUCUGAUAGCCAUUCCGAGUCAGAUGAUAGUGAAGAGGAAGGUUCCAAACACCAUUUGCUAAAUUCACAUAAUGGUGAUGUCUCCUUUAUAAAGGAAAGACCAAUGGACGUCGAAUGAUUUUCAUGUGUUGCUUUAGUUGUGAUUAUUAUUAAUAGUUAAUUAUUAAUAAUAAUAUUUAUUAUUUUUUUCUUCCUUCAAAUUCAACUGUCUCCUUUCCGAGUCAAUUGUAUCUGCAAUAGUAGCUCUCAGUGUAACAAGUUUUCACAUAAUAGUCUGUAUUGAAUCUCCUGUAUGUUGUGUGCUUCCAAAUGGAGUGGCUUGCGCUGUAAAUGCUUUCUAUGUACAGACAAAAUUGUUCUGAUAUGCCGUUCAUCUGAUGUGUAGAGAGAUCGAGUGUAUUUAUGGCUUUUUUUUUUCCAUCAAGUUUAUACUUCUGAAUGUUUGUAGUACAAAAUCACCUUUUCAUCUCUUGUUUGGGUUUUUAAAAAUGUUUUUUGAAUGAGUAUUGAAAAAAUCACCCAUUGAAUUUUUUUUUUCUGUGUGGAUAGACGGAGUGUUAUUAACCACUUGAGAACUCACGCACACAAAUUUGGGAUUCCUGGUUUGAACUUGAAUCAUAGCGUCCAGUCCAGGAAUUUUGGCAUUUGUUAGUUGAACUAUGACUUAUGGACAAUCAUCCAUUGAAUUUAAUGGUUAAUUGUUUUAUUAGAAUAAACAUGGCAUAAGUUGUACAAGGACCAUGACACAACCCAUUUGCUCUAAAAAUAUAUAUAUAAAUUACAAUUAAAAAUCACACAAAUCAAAGUACUACUCCAUAUUAUAAGUCCAAUAUAUCGCUGCUGCCCCAUUUUUUACUAAAUUUUCAUACUGAGCAAUCCAAACUCUUGAGGUUUAUUUUGUUUUAGCACUAACCAUUUAUUUUUUUUAAUAAUAUCAUAGAGGAGGUAUUUUGCUUUAAAAGGACAACAAGAAAUUAUAACUAUUGAUCAACAAAUGGUUAGUGCAGAUAUGAACAUGCAAAUGAUAAUGCUCUCAACACUUUUUCCCCUGGGGGUGGCGGCAGCCCCUUUUAGCUAUAACCUGCCUCCGUUCCUGAUUAUUAGCCUUUUCAACAAAACACGAAUUUGUUUAUUUUGGUGCAUUAUUAAUACCAUCUUUCCCCUUGUUUUUAUGACCUUUUACUUCCAAAAUUCCAAGAAUUUGCUCUUGUAUAUAUAUUGUUUUAUUACAAUUUGAUCAAUGUUUAUUUUCGUUGGAAAUUUUUCGUUGCCACAUGUUCUUGAAUUGAUAAUCAUUCAAAAUCCUAAUAAAAGAAGACACUUAAGAAUUUGAGAAAAUCGUCACUUUUGUUAACCAUAUGAAAAGCACUUAAGAAAAGACACCUAAGUUUUUUUUCCUUUUCCAAAAUUAAUAUAUCAAAUAUGAAAAUCUUAUUUGUGUCAUUCUUAAUUCCCACUCAAUUCAUUCUUAGGCAUGGACUGAAUAAAAUAACUAUGAAUAAACCUAAAAACACAUUGUAGCGAUAUUAGUCAGGAAGAAAGCAUUUUAUUGGGACUAUUGUUUCACUAGUGCAAAUUGAACAAUUUUGGCCUGUUCAACUUCAAGUUACAAAUCUUCGGCUGCAUAGUAGAUGGUUAAUUUUAAAAGGCAGCAGCGUGAGUGAGCAACAACAUGUUUGUAUUCACAAGAGUGAACCUCAAAACAAAUCUGCCAAUUUUUUUGAGUAACUGACAUAUCGCAAAACUAUCUAGCAACGGAAAUACUUCCCAAAACUAACUCAUUAUUAGCACAUUAUAUAAAGGAAGCACAUCCACUUAAUUGACCUGUAUGACACUCAUCAUUUGCUUUCAAAUGAACAAAGUAGCGGAGAAUAUAUACAGAUGAAGAAAACACGAGUAAUAGACUCAGCCCCGUCAUACAUGAAUUAUUAUUGGGCCUAACAGAGGGACACGUGUCAAACUUAGAGGCUGCUUUUUCAGUACACAUGGAUAUCAACAUUAAUUUCUCCCAAGUGAUUAGUUCUGAUUGAGCAACUGUUUUCCAUGCUCAGUUUUCCCGCAGAUAUCUUCUGGUCGGUACCAUAUCGCAACCAAAGGCAUGAUAUUCUAGCCAAUGCUGCCUGUCCAGCAACUCGCACACGGUAAACAACACUUAAAUCUGCCCAUAUUUCUCUUGCCGUGGUAUCUGAUUGACAACUUGGGUCGUAUCCUUCGAGAUCUUGCUCUGUUACCACAACUACAGAAUUGUCAUCAAAAGGUACAAGAUCUUGUGAAGCUGCUGCAAACUCAGAAGCCUUUACAAAUAGUUCACCUGCGGGUGCAAAUCCAACAGCCCUCCUCACAAUAAGGUGGCGGUAGUAUUCCUGGACAGCCUGAAAUUUAAACAAUUAAAUGAAUGAAGAUUAAUGAUCACCAUUAAUUACUAUUCUAACACAUAUAAAAAAUAUUAUUGGUGUAUAAAAAUGGAUUCAUAAAGAAUAAAAUUGAUACUCCCUCCGUCCCAUAAUAACUGAGCUUUUUGUAGAAAAAUAUUGUCCUAAAAUAACCGACCAAUUUCACUUUUCAAUACAAUAUUAAUUAUUUUUUUCUAAUUAUAACUCUAAUUAAUACUACUUUCAUCAUUCGCAAUUCAAAAUAUUCUACUUUGCAUUUAUGAUAGUGGAGAAUGCACCAAUACAUAACAAAAGCACUUAAAACCAUUUUUUUCUCUCUCUCACUUAUACACUUUUCUUAAUAUGUGUGAAAAGCCAAACUGGCUCAGUUAUUCAGGGACGGAGGGAGUAGUAGAUAAAUUUUGUUCAUUUCCAGCAACAAACUUGAUAAAAUAUGAUAGGUAAACUGGAGCUGUAAUAUCUACAAAAAAAAAAAACACAGACAAGUUUCACACUUACUUGCCACUGAGCAGAAGCUAGAAGCACCCUUGGACGAAUUGACUUCACAUAUUCAUAUGCAGCAUCAGGUGACAUCAGUUUGUGGUGCACCUACACACCAAAAAGAUCGUAAUGUAAGAACAAUUUUCCUAUUUUGAUCUUUCUACUCAGUUCUUAAGUUUGGGAACCAACCAGAUAACAAAUAACGAUAGUUGUGCUGCGACCCCGUCCAGCUUUGCAGUGGACAUAUGUAGUGCGUCCAGAUAAUGCAUUUUCUUCAUCAAAACAACCAAGUAGAGGGAGAAAAAAAAAGUCAAUAAUUACAAACAAGUGUAUUAUAACUAAAUUAUAAUGAGUGCAGCCUGCCUGUAAAUGAAUUUUUUAUAACUAAAGUCAUUAUGGAUUUUUUUUUUGUUUUUUUUAGUUCAAUUAUUAGUUUUGCCCAGAAAUGGGAGGUGGAAAGACUUCAAGGGUAGGUAAAUACAGUUACAAUUGAGCAUAACAGCUAAAUUUUAAUGAGAAUCGUUGCUAUUAUUAGCCUACCAGUAGAUGCAUUUUACUACUUCUGUGUACUAGUAGAUUUUUUCUGACUUCUAUGAUUAUUAUUAGUUUUACACAGGAGGAGGAUGGCGGAAAGAAGUUGAGUCAAAGAGUAUAAAAUACAGUGUACAAAGUAGAUAAGGAAACAUCAAACACACUAGAUCGAAUCAGGUUAACAACUAUGCAACAUUUUACAGAGUUUAAUCAUCAGUUAUCAUUUUCCACAUAGACAGAAAGAAACUUGUGUGUGCCAACAUUAUGAUAUUAUCAUGAAUUAACUUUGCACAGUACUCACUGUGUAUGAAGUCAACAGCACGGCGAAUGUCAUUUAGUUGUGGAGCAAAGCAGUAAUCUCUAGUAGGAAUCACCAGAUGAUCAAUUCCAUGAGCCUGCCAAAUUUAAACAAGAAACUAAGAUAUUGAGAAUGUUAAAGAACACGUGAAAUUUGGCACGAAAACACUCAAGAUGCUAUAACAACCCCAGGCCAAAAUGCCUAUGUAGAUAGAAUAUGCAUAAGACCUAGAGAAACCCAAUUUUCCUAAUUAGCUGCAUAAAUAAGCAUUGUUUCUUAUAUCACUUUUCUUGAAGCACAAGAGCAUCCCAGCAGACAGAGGGAGAGAGAACAUAUCACAGCACCCAUCCUUUAGGAAAUAAAACAAGUCUUGUAUCCCAAAGUAUUAAGCUAGAAAGCAGGUGAUAAACAAUAAUCUAAGAUUCUAAAUCAACCCUCAAAAUACUAAAACAGCCAAAACCAGGGAUAUGUUGAAUACUCACAUGAUAUAAUGUGGUUGGAACUAAAGUCUCAUAUGGCUCAUUCAAAGUGAUGACCCCACGAACACCAAGAUCCUUCAAGCGAGGAACAUCGAUAGGAAAUGGAACAGCACCUAACAAUAUGAACUGAAAAUUAAGAGGAUCAGAUUCACGAGAGCCCUAAUUCCCAUACAGUAGAAGACAAUUUCAAAAAUAAUGAAAUAAAAACAUGCAUGAACAAGACACCAUAGAACACUAAAAGAACAUUUGUAUCCAAUACCAGCACAAAACCCUUUCUUCAUUAAUGAUAACAUCGUUGGCACAGAAAACAAACCAUGUAUGGACAUGGAUAACAAAUAGAUGAUAGCAACAAACUGAACCAAACUCAAAGCACCUUUUUUGCAUAGUAUUCUGGUGACCACAUAUUUGAUCAAUAAAUCCACAAAAUGGAAGAGGGUUAAAUUGCAGCACACAUAUUCAAUCAAUGGUAUAAUAAAAUAUAGCAUUAAAAACCUACAUAUGCAAGCAAUCUUCCCUCUAUAUGCAGAUAAUACCACACAUAAAUUCAAUGGUGCAUUCACUAAAACAAACAAAAAAAUCCAAUCAAAAAAAGACCAACAUGUCACAAAUCAUGCAUCCACUUAAUAAAAAAAAGACCAAAAAGCAAUAUCAAUAUCAAUCAAAAUCACACAAAUUCAUGGCAAAUCUCAAACAUAUGAAACCAUACCUCAUCAAUCUUAUCCCACCAUCGAAAUUCAGCCUGAAGCCUAUUCCUAACAACAUUAUAAACAAGCGUGGGAUAAAAUAGCGCUCGAGCGCCUGCUCCAACCAAAACCCUUUUCGGAUCAGAACCAACAAAACUCCAUUUUCCUUCCUCUCCACCUUCUACCACCACCUCACCUCCCUUCAAUUCCUCUAUAUGCAUAACUCACUUCUAAAUCAGAUAAUCAAUUACAAAUUCACAAUAACCUAAUUCACAAUUACCAAAAAUAAUUACAAAAUAAACCAAAAUAGAAAGAAAUCGAAUUUUUCCCAAAUUGAAAUAUGGGGAUCACGGAUUCGAUUAUGAAAACCUAAGAAAUCGGAAUUGUACAAGAAAUUGAACAAGGAAAAAGAAGGGAUUGAUUGAUAAAAAAGAAAGAGGGAUUUUCCCGGGAAAAUAAGAUCAUGAUGAAAUUUGUUGAUUGAGAGAGAAAUAUGGAAAUUGAAAAAUGGUGAACCCUAAAUUUGGUUGAUUAAUAAAAUUGGGAUUUGGCUUAACAAACUAUGAAUUGGAAAGUAAAGGAUGGAUACGAAAAAUUGGGUGAAGAGGAAAAAGAGAGAGAAUAAUAAUGAGGUGGUAAGGAAAUUAUUAUAAGUCACCUGAUUGUGACACAAUGGGAAGAUCAAAGUCAUGGAGAGAAUGACACGUGUGGUAACAGUCUAGGGGCUUCGCUUAUGGACGAUAUUGCCGACAGCCAAUAGUUUUCUUCCUACUCUUUCAUAAUUAUUGUGACACUUCUUUCCUUUUCCUUUUUGUUUUUUUCUUUUAAUACCAAUCUCCUUAAUUUUCUUCCCUAUUUUUUUUAGAAGUUGAAAAAAAUUUCUUUGUAUAAUUAUCUCCUUGAUAAUCAAAUUAAAAAACGUUUGUUUAAUAAGUGCAGCUGAGUUGAUAAAAUAUAUACAUCUAUUACGAUGUAUGUUGAACCACAAAAUGAAUUUGAAAUACCCAUCUUCUUCAUAUAUAUAUAUAUAUAUAGGUUAAAAUAUGGUUUUAGCCUCUGUAAAUAUUUCUCGUUUUGGUUUUAGUCUCUGUAAUUUUUAUUUUAUUGUUUUUGGUCCUUGUAAAUAAGCCUCGUUUUGGUUUUGGCCCAUGACCCUACUUUUGUGAUGAUUUGCACACGUGGCACAUGAUGACUGAACCCAAUUAUUAGAAAAAUAGACCUUGCAAAAUUUUUUGAUUUUUAAAAAGUCCCUGCAAAAUAUUUUGUUUUUGAAAAUAGUCCCGGGAGGGACUAUUGUGGGACAUGUAUUCUUCCGAGUCGCUUCAAACAAAGUAGUCAAACAUAAGAAAAUGUGUUCUAACAUUCAACGUGUUUUUAUACUAUUUACAUUUGACACUUUGUUUUCUUAAAAUAAGAUGUUGUUGACUUUCUACAAAAAGUUUAUAGGAUAACAAUUUUAUAUCUCCUAAGUCUUUGUUUUAAAGAUGAUUGGUCGUAAGAUUUUGUAUUAAAAAAAAAAAAAAAAUUCCAUGAAUUGAACAUGUAUUAGACAAUGGAUCCAAUUCAUUUCAAAAUUAUUCUUAUUCUCUUAUAAUACAAAAUCGGUAACCAACCAUUAAUCAAGAGUAUAAAGAGGUAGGUAUAUUAUGUGGUUUUUAUAUAUCUUGAAGUAAAUUUUGAUCAAGUAAAUUUAGCAGGGGCAAAGGGAAUGGUGUUAAUUAAUUGUAUGCAUGUACAAGUGUCCCUUACUUUACUUGAGAGCAAGGAGCAGUGGAGUGGUAAUAUCUAACUAAAGUAGGAAACAAUUCCAUAUAACAGGGCAAGGAAUUUGAUAAAGUUUCAUACUGCACUGCACAUGCUCUUGCUAGCUGUACCUUCCCCUUGUCUUAUUCUUUACCAAGUUUUGUUAUGCCUUGCUGACAUGGACCAAACAGUUUAUCGUCAAUUUUGUUUACAGAUAAAGAGUGAUGCCAACUUUGAUCCAAUUAGAAGCAUGAGGAUGAAAUGGAACUCAAGUAAAGCAAAGAUUGUACUCUAUGCAUGUCCUUACACACUUCCUUAUGAGAUUAAAUUCUUCAAUACGAAGCAAAAGAUAGAUCAUGCAAGUGCAAGAGUUACAACCCUUUAAUAUACGGAAUAUAAAUAUAAAAUUUUAAAUGAAACGCAAACUUCAUUUUCAACCCUUUAAAAAUAGGAUUAAAUAUGUGAUUAGUUUAUGCACUUUUAAUAUAUUUUGAUAUGGGUUCCUGCAUUAUUAUUAUUUUUUUGUUUAAGUCCCUAUAUAUUGUAAAAAAAUUGAUACUGGUUUAUCUCUUAGUCUAACAUUAAAUAAAGGAAAAUUAAAACUAAUAGAAUGUCACGUGACUCAGUUAUUUCACACCACAGGCACAUGGCACACAAUAAGAUAAAUUACGAAAAUUAAAAUAAGUUAAAAAAAAGUUAAAUAUAUUUUUUUGUCCUUAUAAAUAUAUCAAUUUUUUGUUUCAGUCCCCCCCUAAAAAUUUUGUUUAAGUUUUAGUCCCUCAAAAAUUUUCUAUCGUUAUUUUUUUCUAUACUUUUUAGUCAAGUAAUAUCUAGCCUUCAUAUUUUUGAUGAAAUUUUUCAAAAAUAUUUAUAAUAUUAUGGCAAUCUCUUCUGAAAAAACUGAAUUAAAUAUAAUUAAGUGUAUUUGACUUAUAAGUGUGUUUAAUCAAUCUCUCUACCACAUCCUCAAGGUCGGCCCUAGGCAUAGGCCGGGGGCCGGCCCAGGGCCCAUGCCCGUAGCGGGCCUAAUUAUUUUUAUUUUUUUUAUAGUGUGAAGUGUAUAUAACAAUACUUUCUAUAGGGGGUGCAUAUAAAGAGGAUCCAACCUUUUAUCAAAUAUCAGCUCGUAGUCUUUCACCCUUUUUAUUUUACAACUCAGCAUCAUUCAAUUUGCACACCCCCAACCCAACACUUUCAUUUUCACACCUCUAGCAUUUCAUUCGCCAAAACGCAAAACAUGAAAGUAAAACGUAAAACUUAGAAGCAACUUGUAAAACGUAAAAUCUCUACUCCUUCUUAGAAACUAAAUUUGUUUUUAUUUUUUUAUUUUGAGGAUGCUUUUUAGUGUUUCAAAUUGAAACAACCCUAAAUUGGUAUUUUAAUUUUAUAAUAUAAUAAUGGGACUUUCUUCAUGAAAGUUUCAUGCUUUGAACAUUAAAUUUGAUCUUGUGUGAUUUUUUUAUAAAUAACAUAUCAUAUUCAUUGGACAAAUGAUAAAAGAUUUUUAUGUUACUAGGUAAGAGGAAAAUGUAUUUUACUAAGCUUUUUUGGAGUUUGGUUCCGUCCCCAAGCUUUUUUUUUUGUUUUGUUAUUCAUUUUACUAAUAAUAUAUAGGACGGAGUGUAUUUAACAUUGAGUGUUUUGGGUGUUGACAUAAUUAGGAUUUCAAAAGAUUGGUAGUAUGGUGACUAAGGGUGCCAACAUAGCUAAAAUGUCAAUUGUCAUGAUUAAUGCAUAUCUCAUUGAUCAUUUAUAAAGAAAAAAAAAUUAUGAUAUAUUAUAUAAAGGGCCUCUUUUCUCAAACUUCAUCUAAUACCCAUAAAAUGCUAGAAAAAGACGCCGCACAUCCUCCAUCCGAACUGUAGUGCAGCGAAGUCCAGGGUCGGUCCUAAGAUUUUUGGUGCCCGAGGCGAAAGAAAAAAAAUUAUACCCUUUUAAUUAUUCUAAUAUUUUUCUUCUACUAUUUUUUGUAGCACAAGUUAUAAUCAAACUUCUCUAAAAAGAUAUUUUCAGUAUAAUUAAUCAAAGUAAAUUAAAAAUAAGUAUAUCUAUAUUGUACUGACUAAAUAAAAAUAAUAAUUUUAAUACUCUUAAAAAAAUUGUGGCCUAAACUCUCGCCCCUCCCGUCCUCAGGGCCACCCCUGCAACACGAACCCCUUACAUGUCAAAAGUGACAAAUGAGAAGAGACCAAUAGAGAGACCAGAGAAAGCUGAGUGUUCUUUGUUACUGCAAUGUCAAUGAUGCAAGCUUAUGUGGCGUCUAGUUGUUGCUGAUCUGUGUUGACAGGAUAGGAGAGAUAAGAAAGUGAGAAGGACAUAAAAAGUAUUUUGUGUUGAUAUGAUUAUCAUCCAUAGACUUUUUUUUUUUCAAGUAAUGUAGUGGGUAGAGUUCACACAAUUUAAUUGUGAAGAAGUGAGGUGUCUGGGGUUCGAAUCCCGACCCCUGUAUAUAAUAUACAAUAUCUCUAUCAACUGGACACGGGGAUGCCUUUAAUAUCAAACAACUAAAAUAAAAUUUUCUAACUCAACUAUCGUAGAAGAUCAGUCAAGGUCUUCCAUGCUAUAUAGAGCUAUCUUAUUCGUUCUACUUCAAAAAUUAUUUGUUAUAUGUAUUUUUUUGAGUUACAAAAUUAUUUGUUACUUAUAUGUGUUUUUUUGUGUUACUAGUAUGCAUUUUUCACCAAGUAUUCUUUAUUAUUGUCAAAAAAAACUAAAUAUUCUUUAUCGAGUUUUCUUAAUGUUGCAGUAAAGGGCAUCAUAACUCAAACUCAUACAUAUUCUCAGAAAAUAUUCAAAGGCAGAUGGUUAGGAAUCAGAUUCAUUGCCCACGAGUCUUCCUAAUAUACUCUUCUCUCCUCAGCUUCACCUACACAAAGAAAACAAACAGUAAAUAAAAUAAAUACCUAUAAUGCAUAAUUCUCAAUUAAUUAAAAUGUGCAGUCUUUUUAUAAAAUAAAAAUAUAUAUAUUAACAAUAUGCAUCCUUUAUAACUAAGCAACAUCAUCCAUUUGCUACUACUUUUUCUCCCAAACUAGUGGUGUACUUAUUCUUUCAUCCUAUACAGACAAAAAAGUCAGCACAACCUUAAAGUUCAUCCUGUUAUAUCUACAACCUACAGAAAUUCUUGGUCAAGUGACCUGUAAAGUUAGAGCAUAACUGAAGUGUAUUAAUAACUAGUAACAUUCGGAUAAAAGAGUUGAUAAUUAUAAUUAACAAAUAUGAUCUGCAAUAUUCUAUUUGAUUUGUCAUCUCCUGAGUCAUCCAAGUUCACAAAAAGAAAGAUUGCUGUAAAUAGUUAAAAGUAAAUGACAAGUUAUAUAUGGUAGCAUUGAAAAAAUUAAUUCUAAUUGAAAACCUGGAACAUGUCAAAAUCAAUUUUAAAUCUUUAAAAUAAUUUUUUUCCUAUCCAAACUUGCAAUUACUCAUCAAAAUACAUGGGUCAAGAAAUUUAUCAUAUCUUUCAAUAUGUGUAUGAUUAUACAAAUCACUAACUGACCGAUCAUCUUAUUCCAUCUCCUUUUCCAAUUUAAACAACGGUGUUUAGAAACAAUCUUUGGCAUCCACAUUGGUUCACUGCGUAACAUUUAAGAGAAUCAAAUUACAGCAACCAAAAUCAGAAUAAGUAUUAAAAAAAAAUAUUGAAGAGAACCAAAGCAUUCCCUCCACGAUUGCAAACACAUGCUCGAAUUUGCCUUUUCUUUUUGUCAUCUAAAUGGGAUGAAAGCCAUCAUAUACUGUCCAAAAGUAGAAUCAUGUGACUAAAUCCAACGCUAACCAUUUGCACCUUCCAUUUUUUUUAUUCCCAACUUGUCCCUUUUAGUUCAUUCUCUAUCUAAGUUUAAUUUACAACUAUUUCUAGAUGCAUAUGGACCAUUUGCAUAUGUUCCUCCAAACUCUGCUUGGUGUCAUGGACUUAUUGAGCAGAACCUUCAACUAUUAUCAUAAUUCAACAGUAAUUGUCUUAAGGUUUUAAGUUAAAUGUGAUGUUCAACUCACUUGUGUGGUAGCGCUUAGCCUAAGAGGUGGUGUGACACGUUGAUGUGGUGGGUGUUAAUGAUAGUCCAAGCAAGUGUAUGAAAAAGCUUCUGCUUGGGAGGGGGGCUUAAUAAAGGGAAUGUUGAGCAUUAUCUUAGCAAGACGACUUAUAAAUCUAUUGUCUUAAGAUUUUGAGUUAAGGUGUGAUGUCCAACUCAUUUGUGUAGUUGUUUUUAACCCAAUAAAGAUAAUCCUCGAACUCCCAUCAUAAUCCAAAAGGCAUAUCAAUAUAUCAUUUGUACUAAUAAUCAUAAUCUUGCUACUUUGGAGUCCAAGUUUCUUGAAUAGAAACCUUGAACCCUUGUCAUGGUUUACGACUCGAUGCAUAACUAUUGGUUUACAAUGUUGUGGAACACGUGUCGAACCAAUGUUCGAAUUGUUGAGAGAGAUUUCAUGUUUAAUUAGUGAUAGUUUCUUAAAUAAGAUUACCUGAUGGGAGAAAAUUGAUGAGAAAACAAACCAAAAAGAACUUUUAUGACCUAGUGCAUUAUGUUAUCAGAUUCCACUUAACCAUAGGAGGAAGCUAUUGAUCUAUAAAUGAUCUAAAGCUCUAGACAAAGCAUUUUAUUUUAGAACCGAAAGCAAAUGGUGAGAAGGAGAGAGAAAGUACCAAAAGAAUAAAGGCAAGGCUACACUUGACAUUUUUGUCUUUGACGGUUUUGAAUCAAACAAAGGCAAAAUCUUCAAUCUUACACACCACCUUUUUCUUCCCAUAAGAACACACCUUCUUUCCUCUUUGUUCCUUUCCUCAACUUCAACUCUCUAAACUCUCUCCCCAACCAAUCUCUCUCUCUUCCCACAUACCCUUCUUCCAAUGUCAGCUCCAACUUCAAUCCAAAUCACCAAACAUCAAAAACCAACCCUUGAUAAUGUUAAACAGAACCAACAAGAACCAAAUAAGUUUCAUUACAAUUUUGCAUACAAAGCUACAAUAGUUCUCAUAUUCUUUGUUAUUCUUCCACUUUUACCUUCUCAAGCUCCUGAAUUCAUUAGCCAAAAUCUUCUCACAAGAAAUUGGGAACUCCUUCAUCUUCUUUUCGUUGGUAUUGCUAUCUCUUACGGCUUGUUCAGCCGUAGGAACCAAGAACCAGACAAAGACAACAAUAAUAACACAAAGUUUGAUAAUGCACAAUCACUUGUUUCUCGGUUCUUGCAAGUUUCAUCGUUUUUUGAAGAUGAAGUUGAUCAUCAAAACCAAUCUGAGUCUGAAGAUAUUAACAAAAUCCAAACAUGGAGUAAUCAAAAUCAACACUACAGAAAUAAACCCAUGGUUAUUGUUGCUCCUCAAGUACAGCAACUACAAAACUCUGUUUUUGAAGAUGAACAGAGUAGUUUCAAUGAAAAUGAAAAGCCUUUGCUUCUGCCGGUUCGAAGCUUGAAAUCCCUUUUAUCUGAUGAUGAUUGUGUUGUUCAAUCUCAAUCCGUUGAUGGGUUGUCUAAAACAACUACCAAAAGAUUUUCAAGCAAUUCUUUUAAUAGAGUAAGAAACUAUGCUGAAUUUGAAGGUUUGGUAGAAGAUAAACUGAAACAGAAAGAGGAAGAGAACGCUGUGCUUCCUUCUCCAAUUCCAUGGAGAUCAAGAUCAGCAUCAGCAAGAAUGAUGGAACCUAAACAAGAAGCUAUUGAAAAAGCUUUAAAGGCUUCAAUGGUGAUGGAACCUAAACAAGAAGCUAAUGAAAAUGCUUCUAAGCCUUCAAUGGUGAAAACUUCUUCGAUAAAAUUCACUCCUUCGGAAUCAGUUGCGAAGAAUUCAGAGGAUUUGAUAAAGAAAAAGAGCUUUUACUAUAAGUCCUAUCCUCCUCCACCUCCACCUCCACCACCAACAAUGUUUUAUAAAUCAACCUUCUUGAAAUCAAGGUAUGGUGAGAAAAAUGGAAGGAACAUGUCAAUGGGAAAAUCUAUAGAAGAAGGAACGAAUGAAAAGGAAGAUGAAGAUGAAGAAGAAAAAGAAUAUUCUACUUCAUCAAUGCAAGAGCAAACAGAUAAAGAAAGGUUUAUUGAAAAAAGGGUAAUUUUAGAAGCUGAAGAAACGGAUAGUGAUGAAGAUGAAGAUGUUGGAGAACUAAAACAGAGUGUUAAAAGUGUAAAAACAGAGGAACCAUGUUCUUCAUCUUUGAGUGGUGGCAUAGACACAGUGAGUGAUGAAGGACCUGAUGUGGAUAAAAAAGCUGAUGAAUUCAUUGCCAAAUUCAGAGAACAAAUAAGGCUUCAAAGAAUUGAAUCUAUCAAGAGAAGUACACGAGUUGCAAGAAAUUCUUCAAGGUAAUCUUCAACUUGAAGAUUCUUCUGAAUAACUAUUGGAGUGUUAUUAUUAUGAUAUUAUUUUUUUCAAAAUUUAAAUGGGAUGUAAUUAAAAUGGAUGUUUUCUUUCCAUGGUAUUAAGUAAGGUUGUAAUUACUAAUUGGAUUAUGUCCUAAUUCUCUCUAGUAAGAUCAAGUUAAGGAUUCUGCUGUCCUAUUUCUUAUGAUGUUUUUGAGAUGAGUUAGGGGAUAGGGCAACUUGUGUUUGUUCAUCUCUUGAUGCUAAAUUGCAAGUAGCUCAAAUUUUUAAAUUUGUAUUUCACAUUAGACCUACAAAACUCGAAGAUGCAAAAAUCCGAAUAAAAUCAAGUUUGUAUAAACUCGAAGAAUGAAGAAAUGCAAAUCAUAUAUGACUACUGAGAAGAUGUAGUUUUGUACAUUCCUCGGUUUAGAGUGUUACAACUUACAACAUAUAUAUAAUACUUUGGUUCAUGUCCCAACAAUAUCACUGAACCAUACCACGAGUGGCUGUCACCCUCAGUUGCCCCGACAACAAACAAUCAGGUCAAACACGAGAGUUGGGGGCAUGGUGAGAUUGGAAGCAUCCCACAUUAGCAUUGUUCUUAAGAUGCAAUUCCGAAAAUUCAAGCACAUUUUGGUCUUCAAACAGAACCGUUAAAAAUAAACUUGAAACAAUCUAAAAUCAAUAGCAUGAUACAAUUUAAAAAAAGUAAAACAAGACAUUCAAUCACCCACAAACACAUGUACUAUAAUAGUUCUUGAACCAAACACCACUAAAGAUUCCAGGCCACAAAGUUUUCAUUAAGACUGAUGACUCCCAGUCAUGAGAGGUAUUUAGAGCUUUUACAGAGUAUUUUCAUAAAAUUUUAGAGCAUCUAGAGUAUUUUUAGCUAAGGUUUGCAUAGAGUUGGAAAAUUAACAAAUGUUUUGAAAAAUUCAUUGUUGUGCUUUAAAUUUCCCUUAUCAGCGAACUUUGUAGUGUUCUGUAUUUUGAUAUUAGUUGAAAGGGUUGAUUAAUCGUGGGUGCCAUUAUGGAAGUUACAGAUAUGAAAAUUCAUGACAUAGUGAAGCAUUAGCUCAUAAUUAAAUUUGUGAAAAUCUGUCUCAAUCGUCUCGCAAAGCACUUUGAGUGCAAGGCAGAUUUUUCUCAACCUUCUGUCUUAGACGCCCCUCGUCUCAACCUUUCCCUCCUCGUGGUUUUGCAUGAGUUGGAUGUGAAGGUCCUUUCUGCCCUAAACGCCUUGCGCCUGUAUCCAAUCUGUAGGGUUUUUUUACCCGAGUUGAAGUUACCGAAAUCCUCUAUCUCACUCGCCUCGCGUCUUAUCCUAAGGCGUCAAAUAUCUUGCAUGCGGUCAAAAAUCUUGAACGCAAGGCGAUUGAUACUCAAACCUAAGGCGUUUUGCAUGUGAUUUUUAUAUUAUUUCUAAGCCAAACCUCGUCAGAUUGCAAUGGUUCCAAAUUAUAUAUUGAAAAUACGAUUGAGUGCGAUUUGGAGGCUGAAGGUGGCGAUUUCAAGUCUUGGGAACAAGACUUAAUUAAGAGCUCAAUUUCUCCCCUUUGAAUGUAGAAAUUUAUAAACUAUUUUGCAAUGUUGUAAAUGCUAUGAGUAGUUAAAUUUCUCUCAAUUAGGAUAGAUGAACUUGUCUGGAUCUACUAAAACUAUGUAAUUUAUGAGCACCUUUUAUGCAAUUAAAAACAUGUGAUUUUUCAAUUACCUUUGAAAUUGAACUUGAUGAAUAAUUCACUAUUAAUUAACCUUAAGUUUUGCAUUGGACAUAAGCUAAUUGUUCACUAGAUAAUGACUUUAGAAAUAUUGAAUCAUCUAUAUAUCUACAUGUGAUAUAAAAAAUUAUGACUAUUCACGCUUUUGAUAACAUUAGUUCACAUAAGACAUUAGGGUAUGUUAGAUAAAUGAGACUUUGAGUCAAUAUAUUGGUCUUAGUUUACCUUGCUAAUUUAUCAUGAUCGUAGAUAAGUCAAUUGUUAUAGAUGGAACCUUUAUUACCAAGCAGUGACAAAGAGAGGAAUCAAAAAUCUAUAAGUGGCUUUGGUUAAGGUAUUUGUUGAUGGGGGAACAACCCUAAGAGCAUGAGGCGGAUGCCGUGGAUCAGGUGAUGGGCACUCCCAAGGAGAAAAUUAAAGGUCGAGACAUUGAGGGGAAGAGAUGAUAUGGAGGAGGGUUUUGGCUAGUUGUGGGCAUGAGUUUCAUGAUCAUGAGUGUUGGCUUGAUAAUGGCAAGAGGAAAGCUGAGAUGGAGAGAAAGUCAUUGGGCUAAACUUGGUGAAGGAAGCCCGUAAGGACAUAACGCAGUUCACAAACAGUUUAUUUAUAGUGAAUAUGCAAUUAUCUAUGUUCCGCAAAUUUUCAAAGUGGAACUUGUGGGGGAGUAGUAGUAGUUCCACAAGUCUAAAUUUUACCUCUUUCUCAAAGAUGAAAUUUUAGGACUUGUUUAUUAAAACGAUUCAAAGAAAUAAUUCACGUUAUUACAACCAUUGAGGAUGGAAUUUGGUUUGCCAGAAACGAUAAAGUUUCUGAUCAAUGAUACAAAUAAUCAGAGAAAUUAGAACUCAAAAAAUAAAGAAUCGAAACUGAUCCCCCAAACUAUCGUAAGGCGAAUAUUUAUGUUGUUGGGUGUGGUGAUUCAAGACGCCAAUGGUGCUGCUGCGACCUUUAAAACUCAAGGGAUUUCAAAUGCAAGCAAGGUUGAAGCUCAAGCUGAUGUGAAGGUUUUUAUUCUUGAAAUUAAAUGGACGUGGUAAUGGUUCUGCAAAACAAAUAAUUCCCUUGAUAAAUUAAUUAAUUGUUUAUCACCCUAUUCCAUCUCUAUUGGCAUAUAUAUAAAUAACAGUUUAGUCUAAAUAAAAAAAAAACUAUGAGAUUUAACUUGGUCCUUGGGAAAAAUAAAAGAUUUUUUAGUCCUUGAGAAAGAGAUAAAUUAAUCAAUUCCUACUUGAACUAUUUUACAAAAGGAACAGUUAAAUCUUAAACGAUAAUUAAAAGAAAAUCGUACUCAAAUCAGAGGAGCCCCUAAUAUGGACCUCUUUCUUUAAGGUCCACCCAUGGUCCUAAGUAAAUGACCUACAAUAAUGGGUAGAUACAUUUCCUUUCCGGUUUACAUGGGUGCAUACAAAAUCACCUUUUCAUUUUCUAUCCCCUAUUUCACUUUGUACACCCUCCUCCCUCCAUGUGAAGGUGAAUUUUCACCAAAAUUAGACCCGUGAAACCACUAUCUUUCAUCUUUCUAAGCAUAACAGUAGAAACAACCUCGACACAGAGAAAGUAACAAGAGGCAUAAGAUGAAGAAGAAUCACUAUGAAGUUCACAAAUCUCCAAUCUUCAAAAUGGUUCCCUUGGUUUCUCAACUUCACUCAUUUAUCUCUUCACUCAUUUUGGACUGCAAGUUAAAUUGUGAAUUUGAAGUUAAACAUUUUUUUUUUGACAAAUUGAAGUUAAACUAUUAUGUGAAUGAUGAAAUAAAAGUUGUGUUAACCAAAAGUGAGUUAGCGAUGAUUCAUUGAUCUCUGAUUACAAAGCUCUAGCCAUGGUAAAUAUUCAUAUGCCAGGAGUAGGGUGUACAGUAUGAAAUGGGGGUUAGAAAAUUAACAAGUGAUUUUGCACCCGAAAAGUAAGUGUCUACUCACUAUUACAGGUCAUUUAGCAAGGACCAUGAGUGAACCUUAAAGAAAGAGGUCCAUAUUAGGAGCUCCCUCAAAUCAGAUGAUGUACUUAUUUGGAUUGAUUUAUUUAAGUUUAUCAAUUGACCUAAGUACUUGUGCAAUUGUUUGAGAGAACUUGUGAAAACAACUAUGAGAUGUGUGCAGGUAGCAAAUGGCCGUGAGGAGGCUAUGGGUCUCGUACUUAUCCAUAAGUAACAGGCUAGAGUGCCAGACCACUAUCGCAUAUAUAUCCAGUGGCGGAGCUAGGAAUUGUAUGUAGUGGGGGCAAUAUUCUACGUAUAUGUAAUAUAAUAGUUAAGAAUGAAGGUGUACAUCAUAAUAUUCUCUACAACUAUCUAAACUAUAAAAAUACAUGUUUGUUUUAUAAAAAUGAAGAAUAACAAUUAUUUCAUUUUUUUUAAUAAGAAUAACAAUUAUUUCUAACACUUCCUUAAAAAAAAUCUAACACAAUCAUGUUAUAUAUUGAUUGUUAAAAUAAAUUAAAAUUGCCAUUAUAAAAGUAUUUAGAUACAAAAUAUGAAAUAUAAAUUUAAGUAUACUUGUGUUUUUAAAAAAUAAAUUGAAUUAUACUUGUCAUCAAAUUAUUGUGAGGGACAAAAAUUAAUGAGGUGGAAAUUUUUCUCAUGCGUUGGAUUGCUGGUAAGGAAAUUGAUUAAAAUUUUAACUAAUUAAAACUACCCCAAAGUUCCCUUAAAAAUAAAGCACCCCAAAGUGGCUGGUAUAUAUAUUGGAUUGAAAAUAAUAGUGCAGGCAGGAGCCCCCACACUGAUGUGAGUGGCUCCGCCCCUGUAUAUAUCGUUAUUUUGUUUUGCUAUCAAUUGACCUAAGUACUUGUGCAGCUCUUUGAUAGAACUUUUGAAUACAACUUGAUGUUCAUUAACCGUUUUCAAUUUAUUUUCAUAAAACCUCCAAGUUAGCUUAUAUAUGUAUAUAGUCACGUAUAUAAUCGUAAAGUAACGACUAAAAAGGAAGGAAUGGAGUAUGAAUAUAAGCGAAUUAUUAGGCUUAAAAGAACCAAACCUAUACAUGAUUAAUUAAUUAAUUAAUUAAUUAGACAUCUCUAAGCACUUUACACAAAGUCUAUAAUAAGCCUUGAAAUGGAAAAAGUAAGUCAAGUAGAAUAUAGAAACUAAAAACCCUCCUCCUAGCCGUACCCAAUAAAACAAAUAAUAAUGGGUCAAACUGAUACAAACAUUAUAGACCCACCAAAUCAUGUUUUAAUAUCCUAGCACAUAAUUCAAAAGCACACUAUUACAACCUAUUUCCUCGUUACAAUGACCAAAUCACCCUUAAAACGCCGUGAUCAUUGACGGAAAACAUCAAACAUUCUAUUCGUGAGUGGAGGAGCAGCAGAAGCCCAUGGGCCUAUAGGUACAGCCCGAGGAUGGGCUUGGGCCAUAGAAUGGUGACGGUUAGAUGCAUCAACACAAGCAUUAGAUGGAACAGCCACACGUUCACAAGAAGGGCACAUAGUAAGAGUAGUUGGUGGUGUCAUUUGCAUGUAAAAUUGUGGGGAAAGUUUCAGUGCUCUAAGCUCUUGUACUUCCUUCUGUAGUCUCCUAUUCUCCUCCGUUAGAUUUUCACAGCACCUUUUCAACACUUCACAAUCAACCUCUGUUUGCUUCAGCUUUGUCCUAUAAUUAUUUCAAAUCAUAAAAAAAAUAUUAAUUAUAAACUAAUCCAAAAAUAAAUUAGUUUUUUAUGAUUAAAAAUAAAAGUAAAAUUUUAAAUAACAAACCUAGCUCUUCUGUUUUGAAACCAGACUUCUACUUGUCUUGGACGAAGACCAAGUUGCUUUGCAAGUGCCAACUUUUGCUUCUAAAAAACAUAAAAAAUCAAAUUAGUAAAAAAUAAACAAUAGUAAAUUAAUAAAAUAAUUAAGGAAAUUAAUUGGUAUUGAGGUAGAUUAAUUACGGGAUUAAGGGUAUUGUGUUCUUUGAAGGUUUCUUCAAGAAUAGCUGAUUGGUCUUUAGAGAGUCUAAGUUUUUUCCUAGCAGUUUCAGCGUCUUCUUCAUCACUGAUAUUCUCUCUAUUUUCCACGUCAUGAUCUUCUUCUCUUAAGCUUCUUUUUCCACUAACACUUGAAACUGUGCUGUUUGGAGAAGAAACCCCUGCUUCUUCUUCCUCUUGGCAUUCAAUAGCUGUAGAUGGUAACCGAUUCACGUCGAUACCUCGUAGGUAUUUUCCACUUUCUCCUCUGCAUGUUUCCAAAUUUCGAUCUGUACGAGGAAAAAUCAAACAUUAUAUUAGAUGUUAAUUGAACGUUGAAUCAUUUUGAAUAUCAUUUAUUUUUUGAUGUAUUAAAAACUCUGAUAGGUCCGUAAGACCUAACUCAACUGACAAUAGCGAGAUUGUUAGGUUUUAAAAAUAAAAAACAAAAACUUGUGUGGAUCUGGAGAAUGGGAAAAAAAAAUGAAUACCUGAGGAAGUGAAAGUUUGGAUGGAAGAGGAGAUGAGAUUGAGAGGGUGAGGGUGAGGUUUUGGGGUAUUGUAAAAGAAGUUCAAGCUAAGACUCAAACCCAAGUCUUCCUUUUCAACCAUCAUCAUAAAGCUCCUUUGUUUGGUUUGAAGAAUUUGUGUGUUUGUUUGGAGAAUAAAAGUAGAAAGUGAGGAAGGUGGUUUUGGUUUUGGAGUGGGAGGAAGCGUGUGGGAGGGGAUUAAAUAGAAAGGAGAAGGAAAUGGGGUGGGAGUGGUGUGUAAGUUCAAUCAUGACUUUAUGUCAGCAAGGGCCAGUUAUAUCAAUCAUGGCAUUUGUGAUUCAAAUAAUACAUCUAUGUUUCUCUGUCUGUCCACCCCUCAUUUACUGCUUUAUGCACUAGUACAUAUCUUACCAUUGUUACCUCUACUCUAUUUUCGUAUCUUUGACCAUUUGGUAUAUAUAUAUAUAUAUAUAUGGAGUUGGAGAGUGCUUCUUUUUCAAAUAAAUGAAAACAAGUAAAAAUAAUAAUUAAUAGUAAAUGCCGACUCUUGUGAACAAAGAAGAUAUCGAUCGAAUGGAAUAAAGAUACUCACGGUGGUAAUAAAUUAGUGAAACAAGGUGAUGACGGCGAAGGCUAAGGAGUGAAUCUAUCUGUAAACACUCUAACGUUUAAGUCAAUAAAUGAUUGUGGUAGGUGGAGAAAUUAGAGAAUAUGUACCUUGCGAGAUUUGAUGGGUUGAUUAUAUAGGCGUUGAAGAGGCCGUUGUAUAGUGAUGACAGAGUCAUUACAGUUUGUUUUGAGUUAAAAAUUGAUAUUGGAUGAAAUUGUAUAUAUUGAGCAUCAUAUAAGUGAGUUAUUCAUAUGCAUAAUGCAUUGAAGUUUUAGAUGAAAAUGUUGUGUCUAGCCUCACUUGUAUGUUUGAUCUUACCUUAAUAUGUUGAUUCACUCUCAAUAUUUUAAAACUCCCUCAAAAAUCUCAACAGUGGUAUGAGUUAUAAGUACCACAUUAAAUGAAAAAAUAGAUUUCGAACAACUUUAAGUGAUCAAACAACUUGUAUACGAACACACUCUAUUGAGUUUUUAUUAUGCAUGAGUUUUGCAUCUUAGUUUUUUUGGUAGAAAGCUUUCCGUCUUUGGUAAAAGUAUAUAGAUAGAAACACUUAGACAUAUUAUUUAUUCUCUAAUUGUUAUUGUAAUUAUUGAAAUGUAAUAAAACGGAAGUGGAAUACAACCGGUAAUGGGGAGAUAUAUGAAAAUGAUAGCACCUAUAAAUUUCCACAAGGUAUGUUGGUUCAAUUCCAUAAUAAUACAUGUAUAAUAUAAAUAUAUAACGGAGAAAACCUGUAUUUGGCUUUUGAUAAGACGAUAACUAUAUACAUCACAUCAUUGUUCACCUUACAUUAUUUUCUUUUGGUUGAUGGGACUGGUUGUGGUUUUCGUUCCCACAUUUUGUGCCAUGUACGAUAAGACUAAACAUCAAUCAAUUAUUUAACACUUCUAAUUUUUUGCAACGAACACUUGUGGUUUUGGCAUAAUAUAAACAGAAAAUUAUAAAUUAAGUUUGCACUAAUAUUAUGUUUAAAAAAAGUCUUGUUAACCGGUGUCUUCGGGGCCUGAGACGGAACCACACACAAAGUUGUGUGGGCUUCUACCUGCACGAAACUUUCAUAAUUUUUUUAUAAUACUAUUACUAGAUUUAUCCUAAGCAAAAAUGAUGAUAGAUGUCUUGAAGACAUUGCAGGAGCUUAAGAAUUUCAAGGAGUUUUAUUUGUUGUUACAAUCAAUUUGUAUGGUAGCAGACAACCGUAUUGAAGGAAUUGCAAAUUAGAAAGCAUGAUAUAUAGACAAAUUGCUAUAUCCAGCAUUUUCCUUCUAAAAUAUGACAAAUAGUAGAGAAUUUGUUUAUUAAUGCUUUCCAAAAUGAAAUCUAAAUAAACUUACACAAUUCUUCCUUUAACUUAAUUUUAAGUAAUAGUUUCUUCCUUUAAUUUUUUUAACUUUUGUAAAAAGAAAAGCAUAAAGAAACCAAAAAUAAAAAGAAAAGUCAAAUUUUGCAAUAAAAAAAAUACUUUUUUAACUUUCAAAAAAUAAAAUACACAAUUUUCAAGAUAAAAUUUCUUUUCAUAAUUCUUUAACCAAACCCCGACACAGAUUAACCUUUCCCUUAAAAAAAUACUACCCCAGUGAUACUAGGGUCAAAAAAGAAAUAGUGACUUUAUUGUAGCAAAUCGCAAGAAAUCUUUAGCAUUUAACCAAGUGGACCAGGUCGCACCUGAAGACUUACCAAAUGAGUUUCCUACAUCAACGGGUGAGGGUCACAUAAUAAUAGGGUAAGGUAAGAACACACUCAUGAUGAUCAACAUCAUCACUCGACAUCCAUCAAAAUCAGCACAGCAAACCAAAUGGUCAUGAUUGGAAUUUGAAACCAAACAGAUAACCUUUUCAUUUCAUUUGUGUUGUCCCUGAGUGGGUCCCCCUUUAUCCCUUUUCCCAUUGCUUCACCCAUGCCACCAUCACGAGGGUCUUUCCCCAGCCAACAAAGUCAUUUUCUCAACCUUUUUCUUCUCUUUUUAUCUUUUUCUUUCUCUAUGUAUUUUUUUUUCUUUUCAAAUUCCAAUCUCAGAUUUGCAUAUAUUAUCCUUAUAACUGAAUUAAAUUUACGGGAAUAUCUUUCUCUAUGAUUUGAUUACAGUGUGGUGAUAUAAAACGGUUAAAUAUAUUUUUAGUUUUUACAAAUAUAUCAACUUUUCGUUUUAGUCCGUUUAAAAAAUUUCUUCAACUCUUAGUUUCCGUAAAAUUGUCAAUCACUAAUUUUAAGUUAAUUUUUAUAUUUUUUAAUGAAAUUAUGCAUGACGUGUAGAAUAUUGUAAAAAUGUCCCAAAAAAAUUAGAAUUUUUUUAACAAAACACAAAUAUAAAUUUUUAACCGCAAAAAUAUAUAAAAAAUCAUAUUUAAUUCAUAUUUUUUUUAAAAAAAAAAUCCAUUUUUUUUAGAGAUUCUUAUAAUAUUAUAUAUAUUUCUGCAAAAAAUUUCAAAAAUAUGAAUUCUACGUAUGAGUUUACUCUAAAGGACAGAACAAAAGUGAAGAUGGAAAACUUUUGGGGGAAUAAGUUGAAGAAAUUUUUUAAAGAGACUAAAAUAAAAAGUUGGCAUAUUUAUAAGGACCAAAAAUAUAUUUAACCCUAAAAAAAGUUUGCUUCUUUAUUGUGUCAUACAAAUACAAAUAGAGAUGAAAAUAAGUCGAACCGAUCAAUAAGACUUUAUGUUUUAGUCUACUCAAGACGUGUUCUGCCUGAUUAUAGUGAGAUAUAUUUCUGAUCAUGACUAACUACUGGUGGAGUGUUAUGAGAUGGGAAGUGUAAGAUAAAGUUGGUUGUUUAUGAUUUCAAGAUUGGUACUUUGAAUAUUCCUGAGUUUCAAAACAACUAUGAACGGACAGACCCUAAUAUCUACAUUGAGAGUUUAAUAUCACCUUAAGCACGAAUUCAAAUGCAACGUUGAUAUGGUUAAUUUUUGUUUGUGUUAUUUAUGUCAUGUCUGCUCUAAUACCAUGUUGAGAGGACUUAGAGGGAAAAACAAAAGGAUUUCUGAAAUGCUUGAGUGAAAUUCCACUCAGCUAAUCUAUUUAUAUACACUCUAGAGGUUAAAUACAAUAUGGGAGUUACAAGAACAUUAAUCAACUUUCUAGUUCCUACAUAAAUGUGAUUAACUAUUGAUCUUCUAGCUGCAUGAAUAAUUGUACAUAUUCCUAGGUAUUUAUUCUAUAAUUCUGACAAAUCGAAUACAACAACUAUCUCAUUAAUAACCUUAUCAAUAAAACUCAAUAGAAUAAAAUCACGGUAAAAAACAAAAAGAGAGUAGUGCAGAACAACAUGUCUCAUGGUUGACAAAAUUUAAAUUCAAUAAGUCCGAAUGUAUCGUUAACAAAGACAUCUAUGAUACUUCUUUUUAGUAAAAAGACGUCUAUUAUACUAGAAGUAAUGAAAUUUCAUUAUUGCAUUCCAUCAAUCUCAAAAUUAAGAGUCACUCACUCUUGUCCUUAACCUAAGAAGAAAAACAAAACAAAAAAACAUCAAAAUCAAAACAAUCAUUAAUUGUUGCAACUUUUUGAGUGUUUUUACAUAUAGUACCCUUAUAGAAAUCUGUCAAGCUUUAAAUAUACUCACUAAACACUAACAUUAAAAAGAAACACUGAUCAUUUUCUUUUCUACUAAUACUCCAUCUACAAUAUUUUAAUCAUCUAACUAUCGUAUUGGUAUUAUAAAAUAGAAAAAUAAUUUGAGACAGAGAAAAACAGUAAAGAGGACACCUAAUUUAAGACGGAUGAAGUGUAAGAAAUCAAAGAUAUCCCUAAAAAAAAAAAAAGUUUAUCAUAAAACUUAUGCAUUUUAUAUUAAAAAGGAUGCAUAUUAGGGGCCCCCGUUUACCGGUGUUUUUGGUAAACAAGAAGGGAUGGUUUUGGUUAUUAAAAGUAGGAUCAAACCAGAAAUUCCUGGACUUGUUGUGCAAAGUUUUUCCACAAAAUGAGUGAACGUUCAUCAAAUUCAUAGGUUGUUUUAUGAACAAGACGAAUCUGUAUGGUGUCUUUUGACAGAAAAAAGAAUAAAAACAAAAGAAAUCGAAGUAAAUGCAAGUAAAAACUAAAAGUUUAAAACGCAAAAACUUAAAGAAAAUUGUAUUACAUACAUUAUGUAUGACUCUUUUCUCUAGACGCUGAUACUUCGAGUGCUUAGAAUUUCUAUAAAUAAUUUGCGACUCAUUUUCCAUCGAUUAUAUUAUUAAAAGGUUUGCUUGGAAAAAGAAUAAUAAAUUUAUUUAAAAGCUUGUAAAAGGUCUUAUAGUAUAAGACAGAACCUUUCUCUAUAAAUAUUCUAACAGGGUACAUCAAUUUUGUUGAACUCAUUAUUUUAGCAGAGUUUAAUCAAAUUUUAUUUGUACAACUAUUUGGUGAUAACUUUUGAAUAAUCAUCUCUCUCAUACUUAUAUUAUGUUGAGUCAAGGUCCUUUAUUAUGGUCUUAUUCUCUCUUUUGUUUUUUCUAUUAUUUUUUACGAGAGAGAGAGUUGUCACAAAAAUUAUCAUAAAUGGUUAUACAAAUAUCACUCAUCUUUAUAUAUACCUCCCACCGUCCAACAACCAACCUCCCUCCUCUCCAUACCUUGCCGACAACACUUUAUACCAAAAACUUUCCUUUUCAACCAACAACACCACUUCCCCAAUAAGGUACUAUUAAACUCCCUAAAUCUCCUCACCCCAAACCAUCAACCUCCUUUCUCAAACAAACAAAAUUCAAAUCAACCCAAGUUAUUCAAAUCAACCCAAGUUAUCCCCAAUCUAUAGAAUCAUAAGCUUUCUCGAAAUUAACUUUGAAAAGUAGCAAUUCCUUUUUACGCUUACGAGCAUCGUCCACAACCUUAUUGGCCACGAGAAUACCAUCAAGAAUCAGACGACCUCUAACGAAAGCAGACUGAGAAUCGGAAAUAACCGACCCAAUAAUCAACCGAAGUCUAUUAGCAAGGACCUUCGCAAGAAUCUUGUACAUACUUCCCACCAAAGAGAAAAAAGUAAUAAAUUGUGUAUCGAUAUUGUAAAAUAGCUAAAUAAUCCAAGACAAAAAAAAAAAGUUAGAAAAGAAGAUAACUAUUGUGAAGUAAAAUAGCAUAAUAUUUCUCUUUAGUUUUAUUUUUCAUCUGUGUUUCAAAAUAAUUUUCACUAUCAAAUAUCAAGACAUCAUUUAUUAUUAUAUUUUUAAUAUUAUACACUAAUUUAUUGAAUUUUAUCCAACUUAAUUAUUUCACUAAUCAUACUCCCUCCGUCACAAAUUGUAUGACGUUUUGGGUAUUUCACACAUAUUAAGAAAUGUAAUUAAUAUUGUGUGGGAAAUAGAUAUUAUGAGUUGUUUUACAAAAUUGUCCUCAAUAAAUGAUAUGAGAAAGAUAAAUGAAUGAAUUGAAAGAAGAGAGUAAUAAAUAGUUAAGGAUAUAAUAGGAAAAGUAACAUUAAUUUUUCAUUGGUAUUGUAAAACGACAUAUAAUUUGAGACAAAUAUUUUUUCUAAAGUGUCAUACAAUUUGGGACGGAAAAAGUAUUAAUAAUUUUAUUAUUGAAAUCAACCUAAUUAAUAUUUUGUUAAAAUUCAUGCAUAAGACAUAUUGAAAAAAAUUGAAAUAAGGGACAAGAUGUCGGGUGAUGAUUAGCAAUGUCCCUACAAAUGCAUGCUAGCUGUCCCACGUGUUCCCUUGAAUUGUGCUUGGCUUUCUACAAACCCCAAUAAUGGAUCCCUCUCCAACUUAUUAAAAUCAUAACACUCAUUAAUGCAUAACACCCCACUACCCGACAAACCUACCCAUCAUAAUUCAUCAAUCCUCCUCUUACCACUACCCUACCCUUUUCCACAACCCACAAGUGUGAAGUGAAGUAAAGUAGUACGAGAAUAUAGGUUAUGUUCACAAAUGUUUUAAGCUUGAACAUUUCCGGUUAUAAAAAGAUAGUGUAAUUAAUUACCUCAUCAAAAAAAAAAAUUGCUCCCUUCGAUGACUAUUAUAAACAAAUUUUGAUUUUUUAGAUUCAUUCAAUAAAUGAUGUAUGAGAUAUAUAUUGUAAACUACAUAAAUCAUUUAUUGAAUGAAUCUAAAAAGUAGAAAUUUGCUUGUAAAUAAGACCAGAGGAGUAGUACAUUUUUAAGAUAAAUGUUUUACUCCCUCUAUCCCUGUAUAUAAGUACCAUUUGCAUUAAUGUGUCGAGUUUGUGCGUUAAUAUUACUAAAUUGUCUUUUAUUUAUAUGUGUAUUAAAUUUGACUUUUCAUAUUUCAUGACAAGUUAGUAGUAUUAAUUAGGGUUGUAUUUAGAAAAAAAUAAACAAACGCAUCUAGUAAUUUGAAAAAAGAUUUAUAUAUAGAGACAAAUUUUUAGUCAAAAGAGUGCUUAGAUAUAAAGACGAACGAAGUAUUUAGGAUUUCUUAAUCAGUGUCCCAUAAACACUAAUUAGCGAUCCUUAUUUAAAUUUGGAGAACGCUAAAAAAAUAUUUUAGGAACUAAGCAUUCAAAACUUCAUAAAAAACAUAAUACUUGUAACUUUUAAGAAGUCAAAUACACGAUUUUUAAUACGUAUAUUUCUAUAAUAAGUUUCUUAACAUAUGUUCUUGAAGACCCAAGUUAACAUUUGCUAUAAAAUUUAUAAAUAAUUUUCUAUUUUAAAUCUUUAAUAAGUGUCUUAACGACAUUUGUUUGUCUUAAGACACUUACCCCUACCCUAUAGGUUAAAAAGACCCUUAAACACAGAAAUCAUUGGCUUCUCCCCUUGUUCGUGAGGCUGAUCCCCCAUGUGAAUUGCACGUGAAUUAGGUACCUCUCCACCUCCACUUCUCCUUUGUGUUUCGUCCCACUUUCCAUAUAUCCGACUAGUCGGCUUCUUGGUAAGAUAAACGCAAUAUAUCUAAUUUAAUAAUUAAAUACGUUUUUCGUUGUUAAUAAAUUUGUUUUUUCAACCUCGCAAGAAAAUUGGUCUUUUUUAAAUUGAAGAAGUGGUAUGUUUCUGUCCCCAUACAGUUGAGAAAUCAAAUUCAUACAACUAUUUAGUGACAAUUUUUAAAUCAAUUCUCUCUCAUAUUCUUAUAUCUUUAAUAGGUAGUCUUUUAUUUAAGGGUCAUGUUAACUUGUGCCCUUAGAGCACAUGUUAAACAUUAAAUUUCUUGCCGCUAAUGGUAAAUAUUAAAUGAAAAAAAUUAAUAUUAAAUUUUUUAAGUAAUAAAUUAACACAAUUUUUAAUACAUAUUUCUAUUACUGGAAUUCUUAACAUGUGUCCUAAAGGCACAAGUUAACAUUUCUCUUUUUAAUAUUAUUUACAUAUAUUGAGAAAAUUAAUAAAUUUUUGUUAGUUUUGACAUAAUUUAUCAUCUUUUUUCAUGUUCUCUCGUGUUUAAAAUUAUCUACACCUCUAUUCCUCUCCCACUCUUUUCUCAAUUUCCAAAACUCUCGCGUUAUUUUUUCAUGUUAAUUUGUGGGAGUAGUAGCUGUUUUUGAUAAGAAAGGGAUGAAAAGAUAGAACAAACAAAAAAAAUCAAAAGAUAGAAUAAAAAGGUGACGAACAGUAGAUGGAAAAAUAUAAAAUCAAUCAUGCAUGUGAAAGAUAUAAAGUGCAAUAGUAAGAAUAAACUGAAAUGUAUUAUUUUUUUACCUUAUUAUAUAAAUAAGAAGUUUUCACUACCUUUUUUUGAAAAAGAAAAACAUUGUCACCAUCUUUUUAUCGAUGAUUAAUAUAUGUUGGAGAAUCUAUUAGAUGCACAAAGUGAAUUCUUUUUAUGUUCAAGUAUGAGUGACCAUCGCACAUGUUUAUGAAUGACUAAAAUAUUGGAUAUAUAUAGAGAGAGAUAACUAAUACACAUAAUAUCUUAAGAUUUUUGAUGAAAAUGUUUUUUUCUUCCAUCAUAACACUUGAUAGUGUUUGGGCUUAACGAGUUAUAUUUAUCACUCGUAUUACUUUAUACUUCGCUUUUAUAAUAAUGAAAAUACAUUGACGGUUAAUAAAUAUAAUCUAGUAAAAUGACCACUUUUUUUUUUUAUCAUAUAUUUUUAGUAUAUGUGAAAUACUCAAAUGCCAUCAUUAUUGUUUGAAAUUCAAGAAUGAUUUUAAAUGGAAACAAGUUAUAAUUCUCAAGUUAGUCUCCCAUGAAACCCUUUCAAAAAAAGAAAAUGUCUCCCAUGAAAUUUGAAGUAUUUUUUUAGUGUGUAGAAAAUGUUGGCAUAAUUGGAAAUUAGUAAUUACAAUUUGAAACGAUUGUAAAAAUAAAGAUGAUAACUUUCUUAAGAACAUUCAAUUUAAUAGUGCAACUUAUUGGAGUUGCUUAACUCACAAUUUUAUGGUACCUUUUUGUAGAUUUAUCAAUUCUCACUAAGCUACGCUAGCUAAUCUAUAGUUUGAUUAAUAAACCAUUAAACAAAUCUUUUUUUUAACAGAAAAACCAUUAAACAACUAAACUGUGGGAUUCUCCACACGUGCAUGUGCAACAACAACAUCGAGGAAUAUAUUAUAUAGUAACACCCACUUGGCUUUUGAAUUAGAAAUUUUGUAUAUCUAAGUAAGUAUAUUAAACAUUAUCAGUAUUAUUAAAAAGCAUUAGUAUUAUUGUUAGGAUCUUGUUAACGAGUGUCCCUGGAGCACUCUUUAAGCAUUUUAUAUUUAGUAAUUAUUCUUUUAAAAAGUCAACUAUUACAAUUUCUUAUGCAUUUAAUACAUAAUUUUUCAUUAAAAACUUACUAUUUAAAAUGCUUAAAGAGUGCUCGAAGGCACUCGUUAACAUUUGGCUUAUUAUUAAGCAUAUCUGGCCAUGUGAUCUGCUGAGCUGGUUAUCAUGUGAUUAACGGUUAUAAGAAUCGUUUAUUACUUGGAUGUGAUAUAUAUCGUUAAUCGAUGAUUAGUUAGUGCCUAUUAGCUCAAUCACACGUGUAUUGCUGCUGGUAAGGAUUAUUAUAUGAGAUUUACAAAUGACAAUUUUUAAAAUCAUUGCUUCAAGGGACAUACAUGCCCACGCUUAAUUAAUCUUAAAAACCGAAACUUAGUUUGGAAUGAAGGGUAUAAUAGGAAAUAGAUAGAACGAUUGAAUAGAUUCGGGAGAUGAUGCUUGGUUGAAAGAAUAUUGUAUGUAUAGCUUGAUGGGGGAAUGACAGAGAAUAUGUAUUAUAUUUGUCCAAAAAAAAAAAAUGUAUUAACCCAUAUGAUUAUGGAUCAAUGAUAUAUAUAUAUAUAUUUGUUUGAGGUAAAUGAUUUAUAUAUUUCUUUCUUUGAAACGAGCGGUGAUGUAUAUGAUCCAUAAAGUAUUAAGCGCUAUGAUUUCUUUUGGAGUCUCUUUUAUUUCUUAAUUUUUGUUUUGAGGGAAUUAAAUUUAUUUUAUUUAUAAACCAAGAUAACAAAUUACAAAAUACAUAAGAUCCAUUUAAGGGUUGAAAUAAUUCAAUAUAUAAUUUUUCAUAUACAUUUAGCCAAAGAUCAAACUCAUCAAGGUUUUACUCAAAAAGAAUAUAUUUACAACUUGUGUUACAUCAUGUUGAUUUCUUUUAUUCAUUUUAAUGAUAUAUUUAUACACAAAACCACUACUAACCUAAUCAUUCUGGUUCCUUAUUCUUCAAAUGAUGAAAGGUUUAUUUACAAUUAUAUCAACAACAAAAAGGUUUCCGCACAAUAAUAUCAAGCAUGGGACAAUGAUUAUUAUAAAUUUACAAUCAUGUAAAGAAUUAUAUAAGCAGUUCAAUUUUAUUUUAUUCGUUGAAGAUCUAUUCAAAUUUAACAAAUAUUAGAAGGACCAAGGUGACAAUAAAUUAAGAUGACCAAAUGAUGAUUUAAGACAACAAGGCUGUAUAAGUAUAUGUUAAUUAGUGCAUUAUAUAGGGCCACCUUGGUUGGACUAAAUAAUGAAGAAACAGGUAGCUCUAUGCAGGAGUGUCCCCUACUGCCCAGAUUUAGUGAGCGAUUAUAGAUGAUUAUUCUUGGUGUUAAACGUGGUCCACUUGCAAUAUUUUUAUUGUACACUAUUUUAUAUUAGAGAUUGAGAUUUAAUGUCCAUAAAAUUUAGCUCAAUUAAUAAUGUCGAAAUUGUUAGGUUAGAUGUUUUCAUCCAAAUUUAAAUCUGGAACCUUGCAGUAUGUGAAUUUUAGUGGAGGUUAUCAUUUUGUCUAUCUGCCAAAAAAAAACAUUGGAAUUUAAUUGCUUGUUUUUAUUCAAUAUAUUAGUCUCGGUAUUUUUUUAAUUUUUAUUAAUAUAUUUAUCUUUUUGUCUAAAAAAUAUUAAAAAUUGCUUGUUUGUCUUUUUGACUCAAUUCAAUUGCUAGUUAUAGCUUUAAAAUAACUUGUGAUUAUUUCUUGUGAAAAAAACCUUGUUAUUAGUUCUUGUAAAAGAAAACCUUGCGAUUAAAGCGAGAAUUGGGUUUUUCUUAUGCGGUCAUUGGAUUGCUUACAAUACCACGUGAAAUUUUGGGACCAUUUGUCAACUUAAUGUCGAUGAUUAUAGGUCACGGGGAUGGAUCUCCUCCCGUGUGUUUUUCUUCGAUUUUCUGCAGUGUAGAAUCUACACCAUUAAAUAUAUUAUCUCUCUUAAUUUUAAGUUUUCAACAUUUAUAUUUUCAAGCAUUAAUUUUUUUCAAAGGUUGAGAUUUAACGGGACUCUACAGAGGAUCCAUUCCCAUAGGUCACCACCUCCUAAUGAUUAGUGAGGCUACAAUCAUAAUGAUAAGUUUAGAGAUAAACUCCAUAUUCUCUCUAUCUUCUCUAUUUUUCAUUCAUUAGACAAGAUUGAUUUUGGAUUUUUUUUUUUGCUGAAAUAACUCAUGAAUCAUAUUUUUCUUUAAAUCUAAAUGAAUAGUUUUCACUUAUAUCUGAUUUUUUAUUUUGUUUCUUCUUGAUUUUGUAGUCUGAGUACGACGUUAUCAUGUUCUUCGCCUUUGUUUAGCAUUGUUUGAUUUCUUAUCUUAUUGCGACAAUAUUGUUAGAGAAGACCAAACUUACAUGUUCAAUAGUUAAGCCAUAUUGAGUAGUAUAAAAUGCUAGAUAAAAUAUUCAAGUAACUUAGUGCAUGUUUAGAAGCUAUUGUUUCCACGAUGCCAUCACACGUUUAUCAAACUCUACAUUUUCUAGCUUUGAAAAUAUCAUUGUGUAAAAAUAAAUUUUUUGUUGUUCGAAUUAUAAAAUCCAAUCUUGUAACAAUCUCGAAAAAAAAAAAAGAAGUUAGCUACAAUUUAACCGUGAAUAAUUUAUCUUCUUUCUAAAUAACAAGAAUAUACGCUUCAAAUUCUAAAAUUUGAAAGUAGUGGGGCAUUCUCGAAAAAAAUAAGGGGCAAUAGAGGUGUGUAUGGGGAGAAAUUAUAAUAUGGUUACAGGACUAAAGAAAUAGUGUUUGGUCACACACACAUGGAGAAAUAUUUUUUAAUAAUAAAGAAGAAAUUGAUAAAAAAGAUGAUUGAGUAUUUUGAAGAGAAUCUUUUUAUGUGUGUAUGUUUAAGUAUUAUUGAUUUGAUCUUGUGACCAUGAAAGAAUACCUCGUGUUGGGGUGGGGGAGGAUUUCUCAUAAGUUAGAGUAAUCUAAUGGAAAGUCCAAUUAAGAGCUGAACAUUGACGUGAUAUGGAUCAAAUCAUUUGAUUAGAAAGCCCAAUUAGUUGGCAAAUUUAUAUAUUAAAAGAGAACUUGGUAGUUUGUUACCAACUAACACUUGAUUAGAAAACUAUGUAAAUUAAUAAUGAGAAUAUAUGACUUUCAAUGUAUAAACCGAAAGUAAAUAAGAGACAAUUCUUUACCAAUUUAUUUUAAAGUAGUUUGUUUAAAAUGUCACAACAAAAGGCACAACUUUAAUCUUCUGAGAAUUAGUUUGUAAGAUCUAAAUCAACUGAUAAUAUCGAUAUUAUUAGAUUGUACACUUUUAUAUAUGUUUGAACUCAUAAUUUUGUAUUUGGGAGUUUCAAGUGGUACUUUCCACUUGGUCUACCCACAAAAUAUCAUGAGAAUUAUGGGUGAUAUAAAUAUUCUAUCAUUUAAAAUAGGCUUAAUUACACUUUUGGUCUCCUAAGUUUUCCAAAGUUGUGAUUUUGGCCCCUAAAAAACAAUUCUUUUCAGGCUCCCUAAGUUUACUUUCUGUUGCAAUUUUGGCCCCCCACGUCAAUUUUGACCCAGUCAACGAUGACAUAGGCGUCACGUGUGUAAAUUUUUAAUUUUUGUAAUAAAAAAAAAAUUGUAAUUAAUUUUUUUUAUUUGUAAUAAAAUACAAAAAAUCAUUUUUUGUAAUUAAAAAAACAAAACAAAACUUAAUUUUUUAUUUUUGUAAUUAAAAAAAAACUUUUUUUUAAUUACAAGUCUAUUUUUUUAAAAUUAAAAAACAAAAAAAUAAAAAUAAAAUUUUUACACACGUGGUGCCUACAUGUCCGUUGACUUGGUCAAAAUUGCAACAGAAAGUAAACUUAGAGGACCUGGAAAGAGUUAUUUUUUUAGAGGGUCAAAAUCACAACUUUAAAAAACUUAGGGGGUCAAAAGUGUAAUUAAACCUUUAAAAUAAUAAUCAACUUAAAAAGUUAUUGAACAAUUUUCAAGUCUAGAUAGAAGAACUAUGAGAAUCUCUUUUUCCAACACCAAUCCUUCUUGCACACUCUUCAAAUUCCCAAUUGUGCCCCGUUUGGAUUAUAUAAAUCCAAAGUGUUUUCUAUAUAAUUUAGGAAUAUAUAAUUUGAAACCUCUCAAAACUCAUAUGAUUAGAUGUUUUGCCAAUAAAUCCUUUUUAACAAACUUAGGGUCUGUUUGAUUUAGUUUUUAAAAAGUGUUUUGUAGUUUUUUAAAAUUAAAAACUUUAAAACUUGUUUGAAUGUAGGAUUUUGUAAAACUGUUUUUGAAAACUAUUUUCCAUUUUGCUGUUUUUAAAAGUAAAAAACCAAAACAACAAAUAUGGGUUUUGCUUUUCACUUUUCAGUUACCAAAAACAGAGAACACGGAGGAUUUGCCAUUUUCUCAAUGGCAAAAAUGUAAUAUAAAUCAACUUUGACUUUUUAAAAAUGAUACACAGGAUUGACAAACAAGUUUUUAAUUCAUAAAAUGGUUUUUAAAUCUGAAAGUGCCAAACAGAUUUUUUUUAUUCUUUUUUCUUUAAAAUAGUUUUUAAAAAUUGAUUUGUAAAAGAGUGUUUAAAAACUAAAAAGCAAAACUAAAUCAAAUCAGUUUUUAACAACACUGGUCAUUUUAUUGAUAUAUUUUAGGUUAUAUUAACCAAAUACGUAAAAUAUGCAUUUGUGUUAUAUAAUUUAAAACGUGUCAGCACAAAAAGCAUACAUAUUUUUACAAAGAGCACAUAUAUUCGCAAAUUUACAUUGAUUUGCAGAACACAUCUAUUUACUUGCAACAAACACCAAAACAUAUUAUCGACACACAUAAAAAUUAAAUCAAAACAUAAAAGAAUAAAUGCUCCCAUGCAAUAUGAGGGAUAGCCAUGUGUUACCGCCUUGAUGAUAAUCUUUUCCUGCAUUAAUAGAGAUUUUAGCAUUCUAAUUUGAAUGUUUUUUCAUAUGUGAGAUUCUUCAAAUAGAAACAUUUUUUUUUCUUUUUCCUUUCAAUUAGGAAAGAGAGGCCAAGGUAUUUUCCAUGCCAGUAUUCAAGGUGGAUAUAGCUUAUUUCUUUCUACUUGUCAUUGAUUAACGACUAACAGAUUUGUAAUCAUCAAGAAUGUCCUUCAAGUUGCCAGCAUUAGUCGGAGUGGCUUUGCAGAAAUAAAACUAGGUUUAAUAGCAGUUUUAGCACCCUAAGUUUUAAAAAGUUACGAUUUUGAUCCCAUAAAAAAAACUACAAAACCGCCCCUUAAGUUUUGCCCAUGUGACAGUUUUAGCCCCCUAGGGCUAGCCCGAACGGACCGCGGAUAGCCCGCAUAACAAAAAAAAUCCUAUAAAUUAUAUAUAUUUCAAAUAAUUCUUUAUUUAGUUGAUUAUGAAAGUAAAUAAUAAAAAAGAAAAUUCAUGAAUUAACACACAAAUACAACAGUAAUAUAAAAUUAUAUUUACUCGUUUCGUUGUUUAUAAUUUUAAAGAUCGAAUAUAGAAUAAAUAUCUAUAACCAUAACGCAUGUAAUUUAUUUAAAAUUGCUUUCCUCGCCAUUUUAGUUUACGACGUUCGAACAAAAAUGUUUACAAUUUAUUUUUGUGCUAGGUAUUAUUUAAACAUAUUAAAAAUAUUAUUUAUAAGAAAUUUUAUAGGAGUAUUUUAUAGUACUUUUUUUUUAUAAAAAAGAAUGUAAUUUUUAAUACGGGCCGACCCGUUUAGCCCGUGACCCGUGUAGGGUCGGGAAUCGGGUAGUAUAUUUCAAGCCCAUUUUUCAACCAUACUUUUUGACCUGGCCCGAAA
rnacentral:lncRNA from 1 species